UUUUUUUCUAGGUCAAAAGACCUUAUAUACUAGAAGAUGGGCACUAGAGGUGGGCUAGGCUGCCCACCACCCACCAGGGCGUGCCUGGGGGGGCUGGCGCGCCUUGGUGUCUUCUGGGCACCAAGGAGCCCCCCUCUGGUAGCUCUUUCCUCUAGUAUUUUUUGUUUACUCUGAAAUAAUUCUCCAUAAAAUUCCAGCUCAUUUGGAGAUGCGCAAAAUAGGUAUCUCUGACAUAGCUUUUUCAUGUCCAGAAUUCCAGCUGUCGAUAUUCUCCCUCUUUGUAUAAACCUUGCAUAUUAUGAGAGAAAAGGCACUAGAAUUACUCCAUAAAGUGUUAUAAUGCAUUAAACACACUUUAGAUAAUAGUAGGAAAACAUGAUGCAAAAUGGACUUAUCAUUUAUUCACUUGCCAUUGCACGAGAGAGGCUGGUAAUUGGGAUGCCUAGUCCUAUAAUCAAAAUGAAAAAAAAACUCCCCUGCAAAGUUGUUGGUAUGGAGGGCACCCGUGAAUUCGGCUAGCCAUGGCUUGUGAUUGUUGGUUGAGGGGGAGUUAAAUUUACCUUUUCGCUUGGGAACCGCCAAUAAUGUGUUUAGCAUGGAAGAUAAUGAAAAUCCUCGGUCAUAAUGUUGACAAGAAAAAUACACCUCUCAAAAUUAUAUUCAUCUAUGUUUUAAGCUUCGGGCUUUGGUACCACUUCAAAUCCAUGCUUCCCUCUGCGGAGGGCCUGUCUAUUUACCUUUAUGUUAUUUACUUUUAUUGUUGAGUCAUCACCUUCACAUUCAAGCACCAAUUGGAGAGCACUAUUGUCAUUCUUAUGCAUUGGGUAUAGUUAAUGUUGAGUGUGACAUGACUGGGUCUCUUCUACCAUGAAUUACAAUUUUUAGUAGUUGCUUGAACUUCAGAGGUGCUCUGCAUUUAUGUUUUGCUGUCUUAGAAAUGGCUAGCGAGAUACCAUGUUAUCAUAUUAUAUCAUGAUUGUUUUGACAAAUUGUUGGCAUCCGAGAUAUCUUAUUAUCGCUCGCUAGUUGGUUACGUUAUUGGUAUAAAUAAAUGUGAGACCUAAGUGUUAGCAUGCACAUGGUUGGUUCAUAAUCCUUGCUGAAAACUUGAAUAUUAGUUAAACAUAUAUAUAUAUAUCAACAAGAACAAAAAGAGUUUGUAGAAGUUUUUCUUUAUCACUUUCAGUUUGCCAACUGAAUUGCUUGAGGACAAGCAAUGAGUUAAGCUUGGGGGAGUUGAUACAUCCCGAACGUAUCCACUUUUCCAAACACUUUUGCUCUUGUUUUGGACUCUAAUUUGCAUAAUUUGAAUGGGACUAACCCGAACUAACGUUGUUUUCAGUAGGGUGUUAUUUUUGUGCAAAAAGAAAAGUUCUCGGAUCAGGCUAAAAAUUUAUGGAGAUUAUUUCUGGAAUAUAUAUAUAUAUAUAUAUAUAUAUACAUAUAUAUAUAAUUGGCGAUCUCGCGGAGUCCAACUCCAUAAGUACCAUCUCGCGGAGAGAAAAAAAUCUGAGAGAAGGAAUCAUUGCGUUUUACGAUACAGAGCCAUCCCCGCCUCCUAUUCUUCAUCGGGAGGGCUGUUCUGGAGUCCGUUCGGGGCUCUGGAGGGUGGAAAUCAUCAUCGUCGUCAUCAUCAACCCUUCUCCAUCAACAAUUCUAUGAUGCUCACCACCGGAAGUGAGUAAUUCCUUCAUAGGCUUGCUAGACAAUGAUGGGGUUGGAUGAGAUUUGUCAUGUAAUAGAGUCAAUUUGUUAGGGUUUGAUCCCUAGUAUCCACUAUGUUCUGAGAUUGAUGUUGUUAUGACUUUGCUCUGCUUAAUGCUUGUCACUAGGUCCCAAGUGCCAUGAUUUCAUAUUUGAACCCUCUAUGUUUUCAUGAAUAUGUUUGAGUUCUUGAUCCUAUCUUGCAAGUUGUAUGCACCUAUUACGUGUUAUGAUCCGCAUACCCAGGGUGACAGUAAUUGCGAUUCUUUCCUGUGAUGACCUUUGUUUGAGGAGUUCGUGUAUUCACUAUGUGUUAAUGCUUUGUUCUGGUUCUCUAUUAAAAAGAGGCCUUAAUAUCCCUUAGAUUUCCUUAUGGACCCCGCUAACAUGCACUGGUGUGCGUCAGUCCUAAACAAACAGUUUUUAACCCCUUUCCACGACGACAUUUGGAACCAUCGCCAAGUAAGUGUGGGCGAUAGGGGGGUCCUUCCCACACGACCCAGAAACCGUUGGGGAUAGGGACCCUACAGUACUCCUACUCGUUUCUGCUCGCAUUGCCAUCGCAGUCGGUAUUCUGUGGUGCUACGUUUACGAUGCGCGGCCCAUCACAAAUGGCUCACUAUUAUAGAACAUGUAUGAUGCUCGGCCCAUCACAAACGGUUCACUAUUAAGAAGAUUAGCUAAUCAUCGUACAAGUGUCAUACAGGAUUAUGAAAUGUCAGACCGCCGUAACAUCGUUGUACAUGACAACUAUCGCACACACUAUUCUGUGAUGCAACGUUUACGAUGCACACUUCAUCAGAAACAGUUCAUGGUUGUGAAUCGUGUACGAUAAGGCAACUAACACAAACGUUUAGUUUGCCCGCACCGUUUGUGAUAUUGUCUGACAUCGCCCACGCUUUGGAAAUGGCAACUGUGUGCAUGCUUGCACACGUUUCCUCUCUGUGAACCGUCUCGGAUUAUGGUGUAUAUCGCAAACGUUUGUGUUUUACCAACCGUGUGUGCCAUAACAACCUGGAGAGCGUAAUUUCACCAUAAUUUAAUUGCUGCUAUUUCCAAUUGUACCGGAUUUGAAUUUGAAUUUGAAUGUAUGCUACAACUUUAUUCAUAUCAAUCAGGUUCAAACAACCAAUGCAUUAUUCGAUUCAUAGGUACAUAUGUUCAAGAAUUACAUAAGAACCAAGUAAAGAAUGAUGAACCACAGUUGUAUACUUGUACUAUUAAAGACGGUAAAGAAAGAGGCGAAAUAUAUUCUGGUUGUUGAACAAGGUGAAGCGGAAUGCCCAUAUUGUGCCCUCCUCCAUGAAGAAGGCACACACGACUCUAGUCCAACCCCUUGUGAUGGCCGACCACACAUCCUUCACGGUCUUCAUGAAAACAUCUAGAUAAUCAUCGUGUUCUGGUAGAAAUACUUUAACCUUUGCAUGCCCACCAAUCAUGUAGUUUGAGAGGUAAUCUUGAGUAAACUGCUUUAGCAACCACUGCAAAGGAAAAAGAUUCAGACAUUGUCAUCCAACACAACUCAUUAUGGUCAGUAAAAAGAAGGCUGCAGAGUUCUUACUUACCAUCCUGCAGUUCGCUAUUGUCUUGGAUAAAGUGUAAACAAAUAGUUUAAUUACCAUCUUUGGACCCAUUUUACUAACAAUCUUUAUCAGCUUCCUCACUUGAUGUUGGUUCAUCGAUAUCUCAUUGCCCCAUACACAGAAAGGGUCGAAGUGCGGAUCUUUACCAAUGACAUGUGUACCUAAAAGCACCAAGUUAAUAUUAGACGCUGAACAACAAUUGCACAAUGAUGUAGUACAACACUCUUUUAUAAUAUGUCUAUAUACAUCCGUAUGUGGUAGUCCAUUUGAAAUAUUUAAAAAUACAAAUAUUUCGGAACGGAGGGAGUAUCUUAUAACAUCCAAUAUACUCACAUAUUAGAUGAAUUAACAUCUUAUAUUAUGGGCCAGAAGGAGUUUAGUGCAUUCUUACAAAUUAUUGGCUGAUUAACUGCUGCUGUAUCCAGGGGUUACAGUUAGUUUGAGCUAGUUUGGGCUCAAAAAGCCCUAAAGUAUAUCUAAACAUGAGGGCUAGUUUGAGCUAGUUGCAUCUAUAACCCACCCAAAAAUAUAUCCAACCCAAGAGGUGCUAAUUGGAGCUAGUUCUCCUAGUGCAUUUAUUGUCAAUCUAACCCUGCCAUCCAAACAACUCUUUGGAUGGAGUUAGUUCAGGGUUAGUAAUGAGCUAGAAACUAACUCUAACCUCUAGCUAAGUUGAGUAUCCAAACAGGGUUGUGUUGUUGUUGUUGUUGUUGUUGUUGCUGCUCUUCUACGUAUAUCUAGACAUCAUUAGAACAUUAAUGUAACACUCUUCCUUGUUGCUAUGUAGCCUAGGAUUGCAUAUUUAGAUAUUAAGUACAGUGCAUGUUGCUAUGUAGCCUCGGAUAUAAUACAUAUGACCCUAGUUAACCUAACGAUAAAUGGGUUGCAGAUAUAUUCAAUUAAAAGUACGAUUCACCGAUUAGUCCUUUAUCAGCCGCCGGCCUAUAUGGUACCAGCUACCGAUAUCCUAAACAGUGAGCAGAUAUAAGCCAUGUGAUGAAACUAACCUCGAUGGAAAACAACAGUUGUUCCCAAAAUUGUCAUGUGUAGGUACAUCGAGAAGCAUGUUAAGCACAAUAGUUCAUACUUGCACAUAUAGAACAUCACGUUGUGAAUAACUGGAAUAAACAAGGCAUUUAAAACAAAACAGAAGCUAGCCAACUCGCUCCCAGAAUGCUCCCCCGAUUGCAAGCUUCGUCGGCCGUCGGAUCUGCCCCUCUGGCUCGCUGCACCGUUGGAUCUUCACUUGCAGUUAAAUUGUUUUUCACCUCCCAGUCAUUUUCCUUGCCCAAUGACGAGUGGGCUCGUCUCAAGCUUGCAUUGGCUGUCUCAGCAGCGGGUCAUCUUCGGGCGGGUGAACCUUUCCUCGCGCGCCGCGCGUUUCGUGGCUGGGGCGAGGAGCCCAUUGGACAUAACCGCACCAAACCCUAGCCCCCCGUCCACAGCCACCCGCUCCUUCUCACAGCCGCCGCACCAUUCCUCCCUUCCGCCCCCUCCCCCUUCCCAGAUCCCCACCACGGCGCCGACCUGCAGGCAAAGGGCGACAGCGGUGGCACUUAGUUAGAUCUGUAGGAGAGAGAAGAUGAGAGGGAGAGAGAGGAGGGAGAAAGAGAGGAAGAGGAGAGGAGGCAUGGUGUCGGAUGGGAGAGUGGCCAACUCGGCUCGCGUCGGUUGGGGUCGCACCCCUCCCCGAAGGGCGGCGAUGAUGGAGGGAGCCGCAGGCGCCAUCCAGGCUCCCGACCGACGGACUCGCUGGGUCGCCGCCCCUCCCGUGCGGCAGGGACAUCCACGGCGGCGCGGGCUAUGGACCGAGCGGCAGGGACCGUGAUGCGUUCCGGUCGAGGGAUUGGUCGGGCCGGCGCGGGAUCUUAGCCGCCGUCGAUGGAUUACUCGCUGCUUGGCUACCUGUUGCUUUGGAUCCGGUAUGAUCCCCAUCUCUCUCUCUCUCUCCAAGAAAAAGCUCUUUAUUUGAAUGACCAAGAAUCCAUGGUGUGCUCCUGAACUGCAAGGAACACUCCACUAUGAAACUCACUUAAGCAGGCUGAUAGAUGAUACCUUGUCUUGAGCCUAUUUUCUCAAAAUAAUGAGAGGCUGAAUGAUUCAGACACAGGCUGAACCAUCUUUCUCACCUCAUCAUUUUGUUACAUUUGAUUACAACCCAAACCCUAUGUUGAAUCAGGCGAGCUCUCGUUGCCGGAUCACUAGCCAAUCGUCGGGUUGGCGACCACGUCAGUUCCGCACCGCUGCCAGCGAGCGCUGUUCUGUUGCCUUGGAUUCGGGUGUGGCGUUGGCUGGGAACCGUAUGGUGUUUGUCUGAUGUGUCGUCCGCAUCGUGGGGGUUUGGUCGGUUGACUCCAGGUAUGAGCAGCUCCUGAGCUUGAUGGCUGGAUGUGUGCACACAUGUAACGGGGUAUCAUGGUCAUGUUGCUUGGUGUGCAGAGGCAACCUCAUUUUUGGACCAAAAAGAGGGGCGAUGACGACGAUGACUGGCUGAAACAAUCAUGUCUUGAGCAAUCAAGACAGCCUUGGCUUAUGGGACUAAACAGAGCUGAAAAAGUCGGUGUCACCGUUGGAGUUUCCCUUAGAGCCUACCCUUACCUUUGUUGUAGCCUGCUCAAUUUUAUUUCCGAUGUUGGAUGAUUUGUGCCUUGGACGGUCGCUCAGAUGAGUGAUACUCUGGGACCAGGUCUAUUUCGCCACACACGAACCCAUUGACCUCCCAUGUUCCUGGGGAGCGUUGCAUUUCGGAAAAGUUAGGGUUUGUGUCACACAAAGUUCUGCAUUGACACUUAGAAAGCAAGUGAAAAGCGAUAUGCCAUUUUUUGAGGCUACCUACAAUCCCGUUAAAAGGAAACUGCUAAACACUGAAGGGCAAUGGAACUCAAUUUGUCGGUAUCGCAGUUUGAUAAAUUGUAUUAGUGGUAUUUCUUGGAUUUAUAUAAGAAAAGCAAAAAUAGCUACCUUUGUGUGAAUUACAGUGCUAAUGAUGAGUUCUUUGUAUCAGACAUGAAUGGACAGAUUCAAGAUUUCCUUUCACCUAGGCUUGGUUAGUUGGCCACUUUAAUUCCCACUUUCUGUCAUGUAAUCUUGAUGUCGAUACUUUGACAUUACAUACAUAAUACGAUGCAUAAUGUAGAAGUUACUAAUGGUCAAAAAAAAUCUGGAUACGACACCUGCUUACUCCUAUUCACAUUAUGUAGAAGUUGCAUAAGGCAGAACAAGACUAAGAACAUUUGUCAGUUUUUUCAUGUGCAGGUUCAGCAGCGGGCAAUGCUCAAGACAGAGUUGGGCGCACAUCAUAUAUAUACAUAUGUUGUCGUGUCUUAAUAAAUGGAGAUGAGCAGAAGUAGAGAUGAGAUAUCUAUCCGACUGUCAUCCUUCCAAGACUUGGGUUUGUCAUCUCUGUCAGCGUCCGCCUCCGCUUCCUUCGUUGGUUGUCGUUUCUUUGUACACUGCUGUAGUUUAGAGAUCAUAAUAUAUUUUCCAUGGAUACAAUUGAAUACGACACCCAAUUUGCUAUAUAAUUGUUCAGCUCUCUAUCAUAGCGAUUCAUACAAAAUAUCAUGCAUAGUGGUCCCAGCUUAAGUAGAAUAUAACCAUUGGAUUGUUCAAACUUUGCUCGUGUUUCGCAGGGCACCAUAACUCUAAUCCGACAUGAGUAGUGCAACCAUGACAGUGAGCAGUGGAACCGCAAGAUAGAGAUAGAUACAAGUAGAAUAUAACUGAUCAUAUUUCUAAAAUGAUCACACUACUUAUGGUGCCGGAAGAGAAGGCAUCAGUGAUAGUGGGCUUGGUGAUGAGGGCAUCAAUACGAAGAGAUUAAUUCACAACUUUGUUCUUGAUAGGUUGUACAAAUAUACAAGGCACUAUUGUUUCCUUUUAUGUUUAAAUAGCUUUGUGAGUACAAUUAUAUGAAAAUUCUGCGAUUCAUGGUGCGGAAGCGGGCAUCUUUGUUUUCCUGACCAAAAAUACUUAGCUUCAUGCCUCCAUGGUAUAAUUUAGAGGCACAGUCCAAUGAGAGAUUCCUACUUAGCUAGCUAAUAUAUAACAUUUGACGGUACUGUCUUGUCUUGUAAAUACAAAAUAUGCUACAUGAGCAUUACUUUUAUUUUGAAUUUAAUUUUGUGUUUGAGCCUCUUUUACAUAUUAAGUGUAAUAUCACAGACUUUCUUCUUUCAGGGUUAACUGGCCAUGCAAAAACUGUUGUGAGGCAUUAAAUGGUACUCCCUCUGUAAACUAAUAUAAGAGCGUUUAGAUCACUAUUUUAGUAUUCUAAACACUCUUAUAUUAGUUUACAGAGGUAGUACUAUAUGUUUUUGGCUUGCUUUUGUUCACUUUUGUCCUUUCCAAAGUGGAAUAAGAAAAGAAAGUCAAAACAGGCUCAACCAUGACUACUCUGCUCUUGUCAUCACCAAUUUCUGCUCCAUUGCGCACAAGAAAGUAAUGACUAUUUAUUUGCUUAAACAAUAUGUCCAGCGCUGCUUGUCCUGCUAAUAUUCCUUUAUGGAUGUAUCGCACAAAUUUCAGUUAUUGGAUAUGAAAUGUACGUUCUCUACUCAGAGCUUGGUCCAAUGGUCAAUGUAGCUCUAUGUUGUGCUAUCUUGCUAUUGGGAUCUUUUUCAUUACUUAAAAUGGUCAGAUAUCUCUGAUGUUAAAUUCGUGGUUGAUUGCUUAUAUCCAAAAUAACUAUGUUAGUACACUGAAGCCAAUUUCUACAUUGUUAGUGAAGUUGGCCAAAUUUAGUCCAACAUUUGCAGUAUGUAUCUUCUUCUGCUAUCAAUGUUAAUUCUGCCAUAAGCAUAUUACUCUCCUAGCAUUUUUUUCUUUCGAUGAAAAACAGACACUUGUUCAGUUUUUUACUACAUAGAAAAAGAUAAGUUCAAUUUGGUUUCUAAUGUUCAUGUCGGCCUUUGCCUAAGCAAAAAAGGUAACCAGUUUAUAUUGUAAUGUGGUUUUUAGUUUCUCUUUGAUUCAACCUUUUUUGUGUGUGAUGUCUAACUGUUAGAUUGUCUGGAACAUCUCGGAACAACCUUUCGUGUCCCUGAUAUUAUCUCGUUUCCUGCACAAUAUUAUUUUAUUUGCUUUAUCUGCCACCAUGAAUUCCUAGACUUCCUUUCUCUCCUUCCAAUUGACAUUCUUAGAUGUGAUUCUAUUAGAAAUUUUGUGCCAUGACAAAAGUAAUGGUUGAUUGCUCUGGUUUAGCCUUUAUGUCAGUUGUUGCUGAGGGUCCGGUUUCUCAUUUUUCAGAAUUUGUAGUAGCAGGGAUGUGUAUAAUAUGGAUAACUGAACUGGUGUUUAGGGGUUUCAAUGCAGGACUGCUACUUGCUCGAUUAGUUAUAUCAACUGGUGUUUGGAGAUUUCAAUGCGAGUGAUGUUCCAGUUUCGAUUGCAUGGGCUUCGAGAUGCACCAUGAGGAUUGAAACAAGUCUUAUAUAGGGCUGCUAAAUUAUUAUGCUUUUGGUCUUUUCUGAAUUUAGUUGGCAUAAAUACUUCCACAAUACCUCUUAUAAUAUGGAAGUCUGUUGGUAACAACACUGAUUUUGCCAGUUUGGGGAACAUGCUUCAUUUUUGUAGGUAAAAGAAGGAAGAGAACAUUGGAGAAAAAGGCAGCAUGACGGAUUCUCUAAGCUUUCUCAAAUGUUUGAACAAUUAGAAGAUAGUUACAAUCAUUUUUCUCUUGCCUUAUUACAUCUUGAUGUUAAUAGGCUUUGGAAGGUACUAUGCGCCCCGUUCAAGGUUUACAGAAUUUGCACCAUCCUAUUACAGUUUGUUCUGAUGACAUAAUUGACCAGUUCUUCCUUGAGUAAAUUAAUAUUGUGGCAGCUACUCCUUUGUGCAUUGUUACAUAGAGUUAUAUAAUUGUGAAGGUGUGUACACAUCAACAUAUAAUUCCCACGAUCCUAUUAUAGUUUGUUCUGACGACAAUAUUGAGCAGCUCUUACUUGAGUAAAUUGUGCAACUCUUCCUUGAGUAAUUUAGUAUUGCAGUUACUAAGCCUUUGUGCAUUCCGAUACAGCUCUACUAAAAUACUACUUUCUUAUGCCCAUUUUAAACCGAGACCCGACUUUACAUCAUUUCUAUUCUCAUCCAUUCUCCUGAAUUUUAGUCCGCUUCAGCAAUGCUAUGACCUGACACUUCAUGUAUAUAUAUGAAAAAAUGACCGCAAUUUUGUUGUUGUGAUUUGGUCAAUCCUCAAAGUUUCGAUUCCUACCAAACUAUCCUUUGUUUGGCAAGUGAUGCCACCCGAAGGGCUGCAAGCCCAAGACAACAUCGGUAAUAUCCUUCACAUAUUUGGAAGGAGCGGAACAAUAUCAUUUCAACUUAGUCAGGUGCUGGCCCAAGGAUGUUAUUUCUCGCUGAUGUUUUAUUUAAUUAUUUUGAAACGAGGCAAAAGACUUCCAUUUUCAUUAGCUUAGAAGAUAGUGAGAAUUGCCUGGUUAAUUGAGGAAAAUCGGGCUAAAACCAAUACAACUCAACCCACACAACAUGGGUACCACCGGCCAACCUGGCCACAUGCUAACAGAUGGCUACACACGCGAAAAAUUGACAACUCCGACUUUGAAGAUGAGCUUCGCAAGGGAAAUAUGCAAGAUUUGCGCUGAUCAUGCAAUCCGCAAAUGACCACCUAGUGUCUAUCAUCAUCGCCACCUGGACUCCCUCAGAAAUCAACGCCCCCGAAACGGCUGCCUCGGCGAACCACAUCAUUCACAUGAAUUGUAGACAACUUUGUUGCUGAUGUGAAUAUCUUUGGAUGUGAUGUCCGUCAUUCACAUCUUAUAGAAUAUAUAACUCUGUGCUACCAAAUUAGAAUUUGUAUAUACAUCUCAUUAUAGACAACAAAAUAUACCAUGUUUUUCCUACUAAAGAGGAUUAGAUUUGUUACAUACAUUUUGUUUCAAACAGAACUCUAUGUUACCAAAUUUAAUUGUGUAUAUACAUCUGAUUGUUGAUAACAAGCCCUGUUUUUUCAUAUAAGAAAGAUUAAAUUUGUUGUCGUAUGUGCAUACCCGUAACUAUAUCAACUAAACCAUGGAUUUCUUUUCGUCACUAACAUGGAAUCAGCAGGUCUCUGCGCCAUUUGGCGCAACGGAUGGUUUAGUUGAAGGUUCUUGCAGCAUGAAACUAUUUUCAUCGACAACAUGUCUUCAGCGGGUCUCUGUGCCAUUUGGCGCAACGGGUCAACUAGUACUACAAACAACCAAAGAUAGCAUCUGAAACUGGACAUAUGCUAACUACAAACAACCAAACAAUCAAAAAACUUUAAAAGAGGCAUAUGCUAGCUAUAACAGGCUUAAAAACAAGCAAAUAUAUGCAUUCCUAUCGGUAUGUUUAAAACUGGAUUGAUGAAAUGUACUGCACAGUAAAUAAUUGCACAUAUGGAGCAUCACAUUGUGAACAACUGAAAUAAACAAGGCAUACUGCAAACAACCAGAUAUAGCAAUUAAAACUAGACAUAUUCUCACUACACUACAAAAGGGACUCGACAAAACAUCAUGGGUUUCCCCCUGUGAAGAGGCGUAGCAAAACAAAUCAUGGGUUUCCUCACUUGUCACAGAUGAGCUCGUUCCCGUGGGAAGAGCACGGACCCUGGAUGCGCUCCAUGUUGUCGCAGAUGGGCUCCUUCCCCUUGGAAGAGCACGGCUGUAGGGUGCCCUCCCUGAUGUCGCCGACGGGCGCAUUCCCCUUGGAAGAGCCGGAGAGGAUGCCCUCCUCGUGGUGACUUUUGAUGAGGUCUGACUUGGAAGCUGUGGAUCCCAAGCCAGCGUCGCAAAACGUGUCCUUCAGAAAUGACAAAAGGGGCUCGAUGGCGAUGUAGAAUGGCAAAUUGUUGGUAGCGAGCCAGAGGUGAUCAGCGGCGGGGCCAUGGAUGAGAUCGACGGUGGUCGAACCCGAGGGGUUGGGGGUGGACCACUUAACCUGUGACAUAGCCCACCUCAGGCCGUCGCUGUUGAUGACCUCGGUGUCAUAGUCGGCGGCCGAGACAUGCCCGCAUACUCUAGCCUGCUGCUUGAGUGUCUGCCGCUAGUAAUGGUCGUCAGCUUCCUCGGCAACGUCGAGCGAAGAGACCGCUAUACACCUCUUUUGGGCCAGUCGCUCCUCGAGCUCCACGGGAAGCGUAGCCGGUCUUAGGCUGCGAUGCUCUAGGGUGGGGGAUGGGGAUGGGAUGGGGGUCUGUGGGAAAGGGGGCAUUUGGCAGGCGUCAUCUAAGAAACUCAGGGUGGCCUGGGUAUGGAGAUCGGUGGGUAAGGUGCACGGGAAAACCGGCAGAUGUUGACAAUGGAGGCCUUGCGGCGGCGGUGGCGGGGACCUUGCUAGGGUUUCGAGCGAGCGAGGGUGUGUGUGUGUGAGCGCACGCCCGAGGAGGUUUUGGUGUGUGUGUGUGUGUGUAUGUGUGUGUCGAAGGGGGUGUUUGAGGAAAUGACGUGGGUACUGAAAAUUUUACUACGCGGGAAUGAAAUGAUGGGCUAUUGAAAAUUUUCAUGAUUGUGCAUCGCACAUGGUCGGGAGAUAACAACUGUGUGUUAUGAAACAGAAAAACUCUCGAGGUGGGCAGAUAUUUUCUAGGGAUGCAGGCGGGAUUGGGAACAAGAAACAUCGCACACGGUCCGGAAAUAACAACCGUGUGUUAUGAAACAGAAAAACCCUCGAGGCACACAUAUAUUUUUGGGAGGGGAGCCUUGUGGAGCCCAAUGUACUAUGCGGAUGUGUGCGUGACAGAGGCACCGGCGUGGCACACGGUUAGUUUGAGUGAACCGUGUCUGUUGCGUCAUCUGACUUGUCUAAUGUUCAUAAAUUUGGCAAAAAAUGACGCGGGAGAGGGUCAGAACACGAACACACUUGCAUGUGGACAAAUUUAUGUAUCAAAAGGGUGGUUUGAUUUUCAAAUACCAAAUGCAACUUCGAUGUGGCACCUCUCUCGCAAAGUGCACGUUAUUGCUUGCCCCCACCCCCCUCGUGUUGGCAUGGAUUGGGAAUCCUAAGCUAUGCAUGCAUGCCCCCUCCCCCCAACCGAGGUUCACCUAGCAAAGUGCGAAGUAGCUAGCAGCCCCCUCCUCCCUCGUGUCAGCACGACGGAAAUCCUAGCUAUGAAUGCAUGCCCCCCCAACCGAGGUUCAUUCACCUAGUGAUGUAGACACAUGCCUAGGGUAGGGUAAUAUGCCUGACCUAUACGCCCCACCUAAAGUCUUGUCCUAAGAACUAAGAAGUUCAAGAAUCAGAAGCAGAGGACCCGCAAAGGUGUCGAGCGAAGUCCACUCGACCUAUCAAUCACUCGAAGACCUCUCUUAUCCAGGUCACUCGACCACCAAACCACUUGACAUAUCAGAAGACCUAAAGUCGCUCUGUGCAGCAACGGUCAAGCAUUCAUUCACAUACUUAAUGAUCAUUUGUAGCACUUUAAUAUAGGCGUUACCUAUAACGCCUCUUCUUAAUGCAUAUUGAACCCUGUGUAACGGAGGGGAGCUGGGGUCCUGGCGUACUCUAUAUAAGCCACCCCCUCCUCUGGGACAAGGGUUCACACCCCCUGUAACUCACACACGCAUAAUCCAGUCGACCGCCUCUGGGCUCCGAGACGUAGGGCUAUUACUUCCUCCGAGAAGGGCCUGAACUCGUAAACCUUGUGUGUACAACUCCUCCAUAGCUAAUAUCUUGCCUCUCCAUUCCUACCCCCAUAUUCUACUAUCAGACUUAGAACCACGACAGUUGGCGCCCACCUUGGGGCAGGUGUCUUAGCGACUUGUUGGAGAAGUUGCGAUUUUUCCGAUCCCCUUCAUCAUGGUUUCAGGCGGAGUUUUGGUGGAGGGCCGCGAGAUCCAUCUCGGCGCGCUCACGUUCAUCGCCGACGACUCCGCUUGGAUUUAGGAGGCUCCGCUCGAUGUCGAUGCGCUCCCUGUCCGCGGGGCAACGCACUUUCGCGCAUGCGUCCGCGCCGUCCUCUUGCAGCAGCCGUCGACCCAGUAUCGGUCGGCCCCUGUGUCGCCCUCCCUCCCUGUUUCCCGCCGGCGCAAGCGCUUCGGUUGGUCAAGACUUCAGCGGUGGGUGAGACACGCGGUGGCUCGCCAGUCGGCCACCCCCGAAGUCACAGUGAUCGAGCCUGACGAAUCUCUCUACGGCCUGUUCGACUGGCUCCGCAGAGACUGCAUACGAGUGCGACAACAGUGAUCCAGCGGCGGAGGUUCUGAUGGUCGAUGAACCACGCAGUCCUCCCGGCUUUCCCCGCACCGACGGAGGCGACGGCGGAGGCGAUCCGUCGCAUGCCCAUGAAGACUAUCUCCCCGAGCCCCUCACUUUGCUACAGAGAGAAGAACUUCGUCGUCGGAACAUGGAUGCAUUGCACACUCCUAUCAUUGGAGAAACCCCCGAGGCCCGUGCCUUAGAGGACGCGCGCUUGGCCAACUUGGCUGAGCGCACUCGAUUGGAGAACCUCCAGCGAGUACUCGACGGGCGUGCGCGACAACGGAUUCCAACAUCCAGUCGAUGUCAACUCUUUCCGCCACCGACUCAGGUAUAUCGAACUCCGAUUCAGAAUUUAGCAGCUAUAGCCCGUAUAGCAGAGUCGAUUCAGCCUUCUCAGUCAGAGGCUGGCAGAGGCUUGUUACAGAUCAGAGCAUUACUCCGGGCGGCAGGAGAUCAAAAUUCAGCCGUAUCACAGUCGCAAAAUAGGAUCCAUAGCAGAUCCGUCGCUGCAGAUACAGUCCAGUCGGCCCACAGCCCAAGAUCGCCCCUGAGGCGUGAGGGGCAUGGGGACUGGCGUGAUCAGAACAAGAACCGUGAGCAGUAUGAUCACCGACUCGAUCGAGAUGAUUGACAUCGAGUGCCCACCCCUCCCCCAAGGAGUGGAUCGUACAUGCCUCGAUAGCAGGAUGACAGACGCCCUCACGGUGUUGGGCGAAGGAUUCCAGUCGACCCCAGGGAACCAGGCUUUGAUGCGAGAUCCAUUCUCGUUCAGGGUUUGGUCGACAGGAAUAGAGCCCACCGAGAAGGUCAUGACAGAGACGUACCCACCAGCAGCAGAGUACACGUCUCAGGACCAGAGUGCUUCAGCAGAGCCAUCAGAGCCGCGGUGAUUCCUCCCAACUUCAGGUUGGCGACUGGAGUCAGUAAGUUCACUGGUGAGUCCAAGCCUGAUACUUGGCUUGAGGACUACCGAGUGGCUGUUCAGAUUGUCGGCGGUAACGAUGAAGUGGCAAUGAAACACCUGCCUCUUAUGUUGGAAGGUUCGGCCAGAGCAUGGCUGAAUCAGUUAGCACCCAGCAGCAUUUACACUUGGGAAGAUCUUGCCCGAGUGUUUGUCAGAACAUUUGAAGGAACUUGCAAGCGACCAACAGGGUUGAUAGAGCUGCAGUCUUGCGUGCAGAAGCCGAAUGAAACUUUGAGGGCCUACAUCCAGAGAUGGAUCACAUUGCAUCACACAGUAGAGAACAUAUCUGAUCACCAAGCAGUCUGUGCCUUCAAGGAAGGCAUUAAGUACAGAGAACUGAACCUGAAAUUCAGUCGAACCGGAGACAUGUCUUUGAGUCGAAUGAUGGAGAUUGCCACCAAGUGUGCCAAUGGUGAAGAAGAGGAUCGGCUCCGGAGUGGCAAGCACAAGUCAGUCGCCCACGAAACCGGAGGAGGGAACUCCAGUCGGAAGUAGAAGCGGAAAGCCGAGCCAGCUACUCCUGGAGAAGCCUUGGCCGUGACUCAAGGAAAGUUCAAGGGGAAGCCCAAAGGGCCUUGGAACCCCAAGAAGGUGAAAGACCAAGACAGAAAUGAUGUGUUGGAUCUGCCAUGUCACAUUCACACAAAGAAAGAUGAAGAGGGUAAACUCAUUUAUCCGAAACAUACCACUCGACAGUGUCGGCUCUUGAUCCAGCAGUUCCAAGGGAAACAACCCAAAGAUAAGGAAAAGGAGUCGGACAAAGUUGAGGACAAGGAAUAUAGUGAUGAUGGGUACCCCCAGGUCAAUUGUAUCCUGAUGAUUUUUGCUGAUGUUGAAAGCAAAAGUCGAUUGAAAGUUAUCAACCGAGAAGUGAAUAUGGUCGCUCCGGUGACACCCAGUUAUUUGAAAUGGUCUCAGACUGCCAUCACAUUCGACCAGUCCGAUCACCCGACGCACAUAGCCACCCCUGGGAGGCAAGCUUUGGUGGUCGACCCAAUUGUUGAAGGCAAUCGACUGACCAAAGUUUUGAUGGAUGGAGGCAGUGGCCUGAAUAUACUGUAUGCAGAGACGUUGAACGGGAUGGGCAUUCCGAUGUCUAGACUCAGUACCAGCAACAUGAGUUUCCAUGGAGUAAUUCCUGGAAAGAAGGCUGAGUCACUCGGCCAAAUUGCUCUUGAUGUGGUUUUCGGUGAUUCCAAAAAUUACCGCAAAGAAAAGUUGACAUUUGAAGUUGUGGAUUUCCAGAGCGCUUAUCACGCUAUUUUGGGAAGGCCAACUUAUGCACGAUUCAUGGCUCGACCAUGUUAUGUGUACCUCAAAUUGAAGAUGCCUGGUCCCAAAGGUGUGAUCACUAUUACCGGCAAUCGGAAGAAGGCGGAAGAGUGCUUUCAGAAAGGCUCAAAGAUCGCCGAUGCUCAGAUGGCAGUGGUAGAGAUGUAGGAAUACCAGAAAACUACAGACCCGAGUGAUUUGUUGCGAGCCAAGAAGCCCGCUACAGAAUCAGCGUUUCAGUCGUCCGGUGAGACAAAGUCGAUUCACAUUCACCCGGCCGACCCCAAUGCUGCUCCGACUCAUAUCUCUACGACACUCGACUCCAAAUAGGAAGAAGCGCUCAUCCAGUUCCCCUGUGAGAACUGGGACAUCUUCGCAUGGAAGCCUUCUGACAUGUCGGGUGUUCCCAGGGGGCUGGCUGAGCACCGUCUACGAGUCGACUCAAAAGUGAAACCUGUCAAAGAACAUCUUCGACGGUCCGCCGUCCAGAAGAGAAAGGCCAUUGGCGAGGAGGUGGCUCGACUCUUAGCAGCAGAGUUCGUCCGAGAGAUUUACCACUCCGAGUGGCUUGCCAAUGUUAUCAUGGUCCCCAAGAAGGACAAGUCACUUCGCAUGUGCAUUGACUUCAAACAUAUCAAUCGGGCCUGCCCGAAAGAUCAUUUUCCUCUCCCCCGCAUCGACCAGAUAGUCGACUCGACUGCGGGAUGUGAGCGCCUGUCUUUUUUAGACGCCUAUUCCGGUUACCAUCAGAUCCGUCUGUAUGGUCCCGACGAGAUCAAAACAGCUUUCAUCACUCCAUUCGGGUGCUUCUGUUAUGUUACCAUGCCAUUCGGCCUCAAAAAUGCCGGAGCCACGUUCAUGAGGAUGAUUCAGAAGUGUUUGCUGACUCAAAUCAGUCGGAAUGUGGAAGCAUACAUGGAUGAUAUUGUGGUCAAGUCACGGAAAGGUUCCGACCUGCUGACUGACCUUGCUGAGACAUUUGCCAACCUCAGGAGGUAUGAUAUCAAGCUUAACCCAUCAAAGUGCACAUUCGGAGUUCCUGGCGAAAAGUUACUCGGUUUUCUCGUUUCCGAACGAGGAAUCGACGCCAAACCAGAAAAAGUUGGUACUAUACUCCGAAUGAAGCGCCUUGUGCGCGUGCACGAUGUCCAGAAGCUUACUGGUUGCUUGGCCGCUUUAAGUCGAUUCAUUUCUCGUCUCGGUGAAAAGGCAUUGCCUCUUUACCGACUGAUGAAGAAGUCAGACAAGUUCGAGUGGACUCCUGAAGCUGAUGCAGCGUUUGUAGAGCUAAAAGCCCUGCUCUCCACCCAGCCGGUGCUUGCUGCCUCAAUCAGCAAAGAGCCUUUGCUGCUUUACAUUGUAGCCAUGAGACAAGUCGUCAGUUCAGUACUUAUGGUCGAGCGGGAAGAAGAAAGAAAAACCUUUAAAGUUCAGCGCCCAGUAUAUUAUGUUUCUAAAGUUUUGACCCCAUCAAAGCAAAGAUAUCCUCAUUAUCAGAAGCUUGUAUAUGGGAUUUAUAUGACCACGAAGAAGGUUGCACAUUACUUCUCUGACCAUUCCAUUACAGUCGUUAGCGACACUCCAUUGUCAAAGAUUCUGCACAACAGAGAUGCAACUGGUCGAGUGGCAAAAUGGGCGAUUGAAUCCUUCCCCUAGAUAUCAAGUUUGAGGCAAAGAAAGCUAUCAAGUCCCAAGCAAUUGCAGAUUUCGUCGCCGAGUGGAUUGAACAGCAACUGCCGACUCAAGUUCACUCGGAGCACUGGACCAUGUUCUUCGACGGUUCUAAGAUGCUGAAUGGUUCCGGUGCUGGGGUAGUAUUGGUUUCCCCCCGAGGAGAUAAGCUCAGAUAUGUUCUCCAAAUCCACUUUGAUUCCUCCAAUAACGAAGUAGAUUAUGAAGCACUUUUGUAUGGGUUGCGCAUGGCCAUUUCACUCGGUGUCCAUCGCCCCAUGGUCUAUGGCGACUCAGAUUUGGUGGUGAAUCAAGUGAUGAAGGAGUGGGACGUCAGAAGUCUAGCCAUGACUGGUUAUUGCAAUGCAGUGAGAAAGCUAGAGAAGAAAUUCGAGGGGUUAGAGCUGCAUCAUAUACCCCGACUGAAAAAUCAAGCAGCUGAUGAUUUGGCAAAAAUAGGUUCCAAGAGAGAAGCCAUUCCCAGCAAUGUGUUUCUGGAACACAUCCACACACCAUCAGUUCAAGAGGAUCCUUUCACCGAAGAAGCCCCGCAGCCAAAAAGUGCCACGGAUCCGACUGAAGUUGAGGUUCCAGCAGUGGUCGACCUGAUCAUGGAAGUUUUGGUCAUCACUCCCGACUAGACAGUGCCGUACAUCGCGUACAUCCUAAGGAAAGAACUCCCAGAGAAUGAAGAAGAGGCUCGACAGAUCAUCCGUCGAUCUAAGGCCUUUACUGUGAUAAAGGGACCGUUGUACAGGGAAAGCGCGACUGGAGUCGGUCAAAAAUGUAUAACACCAGAAGAAGGUCAAAUAAUUCUUGAUGAUAUCCACUCGGGGACCUGUGGCCAUCAUGCGUCCUCUCGGACCAUCGUGGCUAAAGCAUACCGAGCGGGAUUUUACUGGCCAAAAGCAAAUGAAAUGGCAAAGGAGAUAGUCGACAAAUGUGAAGGAUGUCAGUUCUAUUCCAAUAUGUCGCACAAACCCGCCUCAGCCUUGAAGACCAUUCCACUUGUCUGGCCCUUCUCUGUUUGGGGAUUGGAUAUGGUUGGGCCGCUGAGAACUGGCAGGAGCGGCUUCACCCAUGUGCUGGUGGCAGUCGACAAAUUCACUAAAUGGAUUGAAGCUAAACCUAUCAAGAAUCUUGAUGCCUGCACUGCUAUCAGCUUUAUCAGAGAGUUGAUAUUCAGAUAUGGAGUUCCGCAUAGUAUCAUCACUGACAAUGGGUCAAACUUCGAUUCCGACAAGUUCAGAGCUUUUUGCGCCUCUCAAGGCACACGAGUCGACUACACGUCAGUCUCUCACCCCCAGUCGAAUGGACAAGCAGAAAGAGCAAAUGGUCUAAUUCUCAAAGGACUAAAACCCCGACUGAUGCGCGAUCUCAAGCAUGCAGUAGGCACAUGGGUCGACGAGCUUCCGUCAGUUCUUUGGGGAUUGAGGACCACCCCUAAUCGGUCGACUGGACGAACUCCAUUCUUUCUGGUCUAUGGAGCUGAAGCAGUUUUGCCGAGUGACUUGCUUCACAAUGCACCCCGAGUCGAACUCUACUCUGGGGAUGAAGCAGAACAAGCCCGGCAGGACGCAGUCGACCUCCUAGAAGAGGAAAGAGAGAUGGCCAUGAUCCGAUCGACCAUCUAUCAGCAGGACUUGCGUCGAUUCCAUGCCAGAAAUGUGAAGAGCCGAGCCUUCCAAGAAGGAGACUUGGUCCUCCGAGUGGAUCAACAGAAACCACACAAGCUCGCUCCUACUUGGGAAGGUCCUUUCAUCGUCACCAGAGUUCUCCACAAUGGAGCAUACCAUCUUUACAAUGUCGAUCGCCAGAUUGAUGAGCCACGAGCUUGGAAUGCGGAGCUGCUCCGCCCCUUUUAUACUUAAGUACUCACUCGGAUGAGAUGUAAUAAGAGAUACCUCUGUAGUUUAUUUAUAAAAAGACAAAAGUGUUAUAAUUUUCCCAGUGAUUGUUUUUGCUUUUGCUUACGUGAGAAAUCCCCCAGUGGGUGGCUUAGCCGCGAAUCCAUUUCGCCUAAGUUUGUAAAAAUCCUACCGAGUGGUGAGCAAGCCUCUCACUCAGGGGCUUAGCUGCGAAUCCAUUUCGCCUAAGUUUGAAAAAUCCUAUCGAGUGGUGAGCCAGCCUCCCACUCGGGGGCUUAGCUGCAGUCCAAGUACUCGCCUAAGUUUGAAAAAUCCUACCGAGUGGUGAGCCAGCCUCCCACUCGGGGGCUUGGCUACAGUCCAAGUACUCGCCUAAGUUCUAAAAAUCCUACCGAGUGGUGAGCGAUCCUCCCACUCGGAGGCUUAGCUGCAGUCCAAGUACUCGCCUAAGUUUUAAAAAUCCUACCGAGUGGUGAGCCAGCCUCCCACUCAAAGGGCUUAGCUGCAGUCCAAGUACACGCCUAAGUUUUAAAAAUUCUACCGAGUGGUGAGCCAACCUNNNNNNNNNNNNNNNNNNNNNNNNNNNNNNNNNNNNNNNNNNNNNNNNNNNNNNNNNNNNNNNNNNNNNNNNNNNNNNNNNNNNNNNNNNNNNNNNNNNNNNNNNNNNNNNNNNNNNNNNNNNNNNNNNNNNNNNNNNNNNNNNNNNNNNNNNNNNNNNNNNNNNNNNNNNNNNNNNNNNNNNNNNNNNNNNNNNNNNNNNNNNNNNNNNNNNNNNNNNNNNNNNNNNNNNNNNNNNNNNNNNNNNNNNNNNNNNNNNNNNNNNNNNNNNNNNNNNNNNNNNNNNNNNNNNNNNNNNNNNNNNNNNNNNNNNNNNNNNNNNNNNNNNNNNNNNNNNNNNNNNNNNNNNNNNNNNNNNNNNNNNNAAAUACUCGCCUAAGUUUGAAAAAUCCUACCGAGUGGUGAGCGAUCCUCCCACUCGAAGGCUUAGCUGCAGUCCAAGUACUCGCCUAAGUUUUAAAAAUCCUACUGAGUGGUGAGCGAUCCUCCCACUCAGAGGCUUAGCUGCAGUCCAAGUACUCGCCUAAGUUUUAAAAAUCCUACCGAGUGGUGAGUGAUCCUCCCACUCGGAGGCUUAGUUGAUGUCCAAGUACUUGCCUAAGUUUAAAAAUCCUAUCGAGUGGUGAGCGAUCCUCCCACUCGGGGGCUUAGCUGCAGUCCAAGUACUCGCCUAAGUAUUCUCCACUUCAGAGCUGCAUUCCAAGCACAAAGAGUAUUCCGAGUAAAAAGCAAAGUCCAGUCAAAAGCAAACACCAGCAUAUUCAGAAAUAAACCAAGUUCGGAUAAACCCCAAGGUUCCAGACGGUAGAUCAAAAGUAUUCGAGCAUCAAGCCCGAAGAAGUUUAACGGUUACACAAUCACUCGGCAUUCUGAGGCAAAUAAAAGUGGAGCAUGAUGUUUUUCGGUCACGCAUCAGGAGAAGGACUGGCUGGGUCGCAGAAACUGUCGAGGUCAAUGCUGUCUGCAAUGCGAGUGGCAGCGUCAAGGAAGGUGUCCAUGAAAGACUGGAACAUGUGCUUCCUCGUGUUAGCAACCUUGAGCUCCGCCAGCUUGUCUUCUUUGACAUCCUUGCAGUGCACUCAAACCAAAGACAGAGCGACGUCAGCACCACAGUGAGCAGAUGACUUCUUCCAUUCUCGCACGCGUUCAAGGAUUUGAUUUAGUCGAGCCAUCAAAGACUCGAAAUCUUGAGACAGCUCCGCCUGAGGCCAAAGACCAGCAUCAACCCGAGUCAUUGCAGCUUUCAAGCAUGCCAGAUAAGCAACCGCGCUGUCCAUGCGAGACUCCAACCGCAGCAUGUUCAUUGCAACAUCAUCUUUGACUGGAUAGUUGAUGGGAUCGAGACCCAUCUUGACCCGCCCGGUUUCUGCUUCAAAGUCUUGGCAAAGUUCUGCCUGAUCGAGUGAAUUAUGAGUCGACGGCACCAUUAGACUUGUCAGUCGACAGAAAUAAGACAGAUUAGUCAAUACCUUCAAGUUUCAAGACUAGCUUCGCAGCAAGUUGGCCCAGAUAAGAUUCUAGCUCGCCAUUCUUGGCCUUGAGGCUUCCAAGUUUGUCGGUCAACUUCUCUUUGUUCUUCUUCAGUCGCUCGACCUCCUGAUUGGCAUCAGAUACAACAGUCUUCAGCUUGGAGUUUUCUUCUUCUAACUUGCCGACUGAAGCAAGCUUCUUGUCAGCAAGCGCUGUCUUCUCACGCGCCUCCUUCUGUGCUGCGGCAAGAUCCAGAUCCUUCUUCUCCAAAGCUUCCUUCAUUUUCUCUAAAGAAAUAACAUUCUUCAGGCGAGCUUGGAGUUGGCGGUUUUCACUACAUACAUCUGCUCGAGUGAAGCCACUCGGUUCAAAGAUGGAAAGGAAAAGUGCCAGUGUUGGGAUAUGAAGCGGUCGAUUGGUUACCUCCAAUGGCAGCUACUUCAUCACGAGCGGUCUUGAGGUUCUUAUUGGCCAGUUCCAGAUCAAGGUUGAGGCUGAUUUGUUGUUUGUUCAUGUCAGAAAGUUGAGCCCCAAGAUCACAAGAUUUCUGCAUUCACAGCCAUAUCAGUCGACAGAGAUAAAAAGAGAUAAUUAUUGUAAGACUACCGCCGAAUCAAACAUUCAAUGGCAGUCUCGGGGACUACACCCAGUGGGUGCACUUAGCGUGCCCCCACUGAUUUUUAGACCACAGUCGACGGUCGAUUGGCUUUAAAAAAAGGCAGAUCCAAAUUCUCAGACCACAAUCGACUGCCCGCAGUCAACUACGGUCUCGGGGACUACACCCAGUGGGUGCACUCAGCGUGCCCCCACUAGUGCAAAGAAUCAGUUCGAACUGACACAAAGAGAUAUACUAUUUCCGAACAGCCACACUCUAGUGGGUGAUCAGACAAGAAAAACGGUUGAUCGAAAAAUCAACUAACCUGGACAUUGGCUUGCAUGGCAGCUCCGGCGUUGAAGGCCACCUGACUGGCCUCAUGCACCACCUUCAGCUGCCCCAUCACAAGGUUCAGUUGAAGAAGAGCUUCUCUGGCAGCAGUCAGUGUAUCGUCCGGAUUUUGAUAUGCAGUAAAAAGUGACGGAGGUAGAGCAAUCGAAGCAGCCGCCGGAUCUAAAGCAUGGAGUGACGUCAGCGCAGCAGGAGCCUGAGCAGCUGAUCCCGAGGGACAAACAGUCGACAGAGGAACAACGAAGGUGACGUUGGUUCGAGCCGGGUCUGUCGAUCGCUCGACCGUCGCCCCAGGUGUCCCAGUCGACCGAAGAACUUAGGCUUCAGACACCUUCCUGCCCGGCUCCUUGUCCUUCCUCCUCCUUCCUCUUAGCGGUACUUCCUCUUCAUCGUCUGGGAGCACAACAAUGUCUCGUGGGGCUGCAAUAAACAGAGAGAGCCAUAAAGACAACUGACCAACACUCCAGUCGACCAAACAAACUUCGAGUCGGGCAAAAUUACUGGCUUUGGAGGUGACAUCGUCAUCAGCUUCCUCAUCGGCAGGGGUCUUGUCAACAUCCAUAUCAGUCGCAGCUGAGGUCGGGCUAUAUAGGUUCAUCAUCCGCUCGGUCAGAACAAGAAAACCGAUCGGAACAAGAAAAUAUGAGAAGAACAUUUACCCAGAGGCAACAGGGACGUCCAUCUUGAUCCUGGGCAAGGUCUUCCGAGCCUUCGAAGGAUUAGCUUUGGGCUGCUUGGGGACUGUCUUAGUCAACUCUAGAGUCGGAGACCGAGCGCGCUUGUGAGAUGGAGCACUCGACGCCACAGCUUUGCCGCGUCUAUUCACGGGGUCGUGCCGCUGCUUGGAUCGACGUUCAGAGCGAGGCGGCGAGUCGGCCACCUCCUCAUCGUCAGACUCGUCACUCUCAUCAUCUUCACCAUCAGCUGGGGACUCCCACUCGCCGCUCUCCUCGGCGCUGUCCCCACCCUCUUGGUCUUGCUCCAGGGCUUGUUCACCAUUGGGCAUCGAAUACAUCUCCGUGUAAAUCUGCAAAACAAGGAACCGAUCACAAGUCAGUCGGAACCUCAAUCAGUCGGAAAAUAUGUUCAAAAAUUCAGUUAUGACGACCAGACCUUGUCUGGCAGGUUGCUGUCGCUGAAAGGGUCGACUCUCCUGGCACCCCUGGGGUUGCCUUUGUUCCCGGUAAUGCUCAUCAGCCAAUCGGCAACAGUUUUGGCCUCCACUUCCUCCGGAUGAACCCGAGAAGUGUCGCCAGCCCCGGAGUACAUCCACAUAGAAUGAUCGCGAGCUUGGAGGGGUUGGAUCCGCCGACCGAGGAACACCUCGAGCAGGUCCAUACCAGUGACGCCUUGAUUGAUUAGUUGGACUACUCUCUCAACUAGCAUGCAUGUCUCUGCCUUCUCAGCAGCGGUCACUUGCAAGGAAGAUGGAGUUUGGACACGGUCAAAAGAAAAAGGGGGAAGUCCGGUCGACUGGCCUGGGGUCGCGAUAUCCUGGCAGUAGAACCAGGUCGACUGCCAGCCCCUGACCGAUUCAGGAAGAGUCAUUGGAGGAAAAGAGCUCCUCUUCCUCUUCUGAAUGCCCAGGCCCCCGCACAUCUGGAUAACGUGGGUUUUCUCAUCUUUCGAGUUUGCUUUCUUCACGGUUUGGGAUCGGAUGGUAAAGAUGUGUUUGAAGAGGUCCCAGUGUGGUCGGCACCCCAAAAAAUUCUCACACAUAGAGACGAACGCAGCAAGGUAUGUGAUGGUAUUGGGAGUAAAGUGAUGUAGUUGGGCACCGAAAAAGUUUAAGAAGCCCCGAAAGAAAGGAUGUGGUGGAAGCGAGAAACCACGAUCGACAUGGGUUGCGAGCAAGACACACUCACUCGGUUGCGGCUGCGGCUGCGGCUCCGAUUCCCCCUCGGUAGGCGCACAGACUCAUGGACGAUCAGCCCUAACUCAGCCAAAUCAUCCAAGUCCUCUUGCCGGAGCGAAGAUCGGAUCUAGUCUCCCUGGAUCCAACCUGACGGCAGCCCCGAGCGCGAUGAAGACCCCCAAUUCAUCUUCUUGUUCUUCGCCGCCCCCGUCGCCUUCUUCGCACGCUCUAACGCCGCCGUUUUGUCCUUCCCCAUGGCGGCAGAACAACGGUGUCGAGAGUGGUCGUGCUAGGCGAGGUGGAGACGCGAGAGGAAGAAGGGGAAUGAGCACGCACAGUACGAAUACCUCGGCCUCGCCGCUUUUAAAGGCCUACUUCCAAGUGGCUGACGCGUGGGCCCGAUCAAUCCUGUCAAAUCCCCCCAACAGUUGCACACAUGAUACGUGGCGAAAAAGGUGGCGCGGAAAUCAAAACGUCCGAUUUAUCAACUCCACUUACCGCGGGACGUUCCGCCUGGCGCGCUUCGACCCAAAUUUCGAAUGCCAUGAGAUCCGGGAUCCUAUGUAACCGAUCUCACCAAAGAUUCCAAUCAGAGAUAUCACUCGAUAGAUGCCACUGAACAAACCAAUCGGUGAUUUUUGAAUCGAUCAAGGCGACUGAAACGAAGUCGAAAGUUUCGGCAGCUGACCUCCACUUGGAGAAGAAGACAAGGCAGAUCAAGGGCGGAAACCAGGUCAACUAUCAUCCUUCUUUUUCACUCAAACCUCGAUCCAUUCGGGGGCUAAUGAUGUAGACACAGACCUAGGGUAGGGUAAUAGGCCUGACCUAUACGCCCCACCUAAAGUCUUGUCCUAAGAACUAAGAAGUUCAAGAAUCAGAAGCAGAGGACCCGCAAAGGUGUCGAGCGAAGUCCACUCGACCUAUCAAUCACUCAGAGACCUCUCUUAUCCAGGUCAAUCGACCACCAAACCACUCGACAUAUCAGAAGACCUAAAGCCGCUCUGCGCAGCAACAGUCAAUCAUUCAUUCACAUACUUAAUGAUCAUUUGUAGCACUUUAAUAUAGGCGUUACCUGUAACGCCUCUUCUUAAUGCAUAUUGAACCCUGUGUAACGGAGGGGAGCUGGGGUCCUGGCGUACUCUAUAUAAGCCACCCCUCCUCUGGGACAAGGGUUCGCACCCCCUGUAACUCACACACGCAUAAUCCAGUCGACCGCCUCCGGGCUCCAAGACGCAGGGCUGUUACUUCCUCCAAGAAGGGCCUGAACUCGUAAACCUUGUGUGUACAACUCCUCCAUAGCUAAGAUCUUGCCUCUCCAUUCCUACCCCCAUAUUCUACUGUCGGACUUAGAACCACGACACCUAGCAAAGUGCAAAGUAGCUAGCAGCCCUCCCCCCUCCCUUGUGUCGGCAUGAAGGGAAUCCUAAGCUAUGAAUGCAUGCCCCCCCAACUNNNNNNNNNNNNNNNNNNNNNNNNNNNNNNNNNNNNNNNNNNNNNNNNNNNNNNNNNNNNNNNNNNNNNNNNNNNNNNNNNNNNNNNNNNNNNNNNNNNNNNNNNNNNNNNNNNNNNNNNNNNNNNNNNNNNNNNNNNNNNNNNNNNNNNNNNNNNNNNNNNNNNNNNNNNNNNNNNNNNNNNNNNNNNNNNNNNNNNNNNNNNNNNNNNNNNNNNNNNNNNNNNNNNNNNNNNNNNNNNNNNNNNNNNNNNNNNNNNNNNNNNNNNNNNNNNNNNNNNNNNNNNNNNNNNNNNNNNNNNNNNNNNNNNNNNNNNNNNNNNNNNNNNNNNNNNNNNNNNNNNNNNNNNNNNNNNNNNNNNNNNNNNNNNNNNNNNNNNNNNNNNNNNNNNNNNNNNNNNNNNNNNNNNNNNNNNNNNNNNNNNNNNNNNNNNNNNNNNNNNNNNNNNNNNNNNNNNNNNNNNNNNNNNNNNNNNNNNNNNNNNNNNNNNNNNNNNNNNNNNNNNNNNNNNNNNNNNNNNNNNNNNNNNNNNNNNNNNNNNNNNNNNNNNNNNNNNNNNNNNNNNNNNNNNNNNNNNNNNNNNNNNNNNNNNNNNNNNNNNNNNNNNNNNNNNNNNNNNNNAACAGACCAAGAAUAAUCCACCUUGUUUGUACAACCUCUCUCUUGUUGUUGGUCAAAGUGAUGGUCGCCCAUGCGAGCCCAGAGAUGGGCUAGCUCGCCAAUAAUCACGCAAGUAGCUAGUCCCCGAAGACCACCACUGCAUGCGUGUGGCCCAAACAUAUGUAUGGAUAGGUGUGUUUUUUGAGUAAUAAUGGAACAACUUUGAUGUGGCACCGUGAUUUCGAACUAGAAAUCCCCACACUGAGUGAGGGUUAGGUUGACGAUGCAUAUGUAUGUUACACCACACUUCAAGCCAACGACGGGGAUUCAUGCACGCAUGCAUGCAUAGUAUAUGCACUCAAACUUAAGGUCUUAAUCUCACCAUGACCUAUACUACAAUAACACGAACCAAAUGAAGAAUCCGUCAAGUAACCUAUCUUGUUGUUGGUCAAGGUGAUCAUGGAUGUCCACGUGGACCCACGAAUAUAUAGGCUUGUCAACCACACGAGGGAGUGUACAGUUCGAAGACAACCACUACAUGCAUAUAUAUAUGGAGGUGAUGCGUGCAUGCAUGUUUGAAUACACAACAUUGAUGUGGCGCGUGCGUCAAAAAUCAUACACUAGCUCCCCACACAGAGCGAGAUCGGUUCAUGAUGCGUCGUUGUACUAGCCACUUCGACUCGAUGGGAGGGAUUCAUGCAUACACAUGCAUGUGUGUGUGAUCAAACUGUAUCAUGCAUGUCAUCCCAAAGCAAAAAUAAUAAUCCCCUCCUAAGUCAAAUUAACCUCUCUUGUUGUCAGGCAAAAAGUAGUGAUGGACCAAGCGGGCCCACAGAUGGAAAGCAUCGAUAUCGCUGAUAACCGCUUAAGUGGGUGUGAGAGGACAACCACCACCGCUUUGCAUGUGGGCCAAACAUAUAUAUGUUGAAUACCCAAAAUACACAACUUUGAUGUCCCACAUGCCUCAAAUACCGUAAACCAUGCCACAUAGAGCGAGGUUCAUCAAGCGUACUACAUAUGAUGAUCCCAUUCCCCCCUCUUCACCGCAUACUGUAUGCUCCUGCCGUAAUAUAUGUACAACCCAAAAGAAUCCUCAUUGAUGGUGAAAUUAAUUAACCUCUCCCAAUGUAGGUCAAAGUGAUGCAUGCAUGCAUCGACGAUGGCCUCGUGGGCCCAUAGAUGGAAGUGUCACACGUGAGUGUCCUAGCUAGGAUAUGCAUGUGGCCCAAAAAGGUGUUGUAUGAUGUCUGAAUAGCCAAUUUCACAAUUUUGAUGUGGCACGUGCCUCAGAAACCAAAAAGUCUCGACACUGAGUGAGGUGUACUUGUUCACGGACGCGUACGUAUAGUACAUAUGCUAGUCCCCUCCCACCUCUUCGACGCGUAGUAUAUACCACCAUAACAAAAACAAAAAAGAUUAUACCUUGUUGGUCAAAUUAACCUCACUGACGGCUGUUCAUCAAAGUGAUGGACGACGACCUCGCGGGCCCACAGGAAGCGUCACACGCGAGUAUCGAGUGUCGUGUAGGACAACCAUCGACUUCAUGUGGCCAAAACAUUUAUGUAUGAAAGGGUUGUGUAAUGUUUUAAAUGACGAUUUCACGACUCUGAUGUGGCACCGGCCUGCCUAACAAAACGGUCAACCCACACAGUGGCUCGCAACUUGUAGUGUACUGCGAGCCACCCGCCACCCCUAGAUGCACACACCCACACACACACACCAGGAAUCCACCGCAACUACGAUGCAUGUUAAAUUAAUUAUCUCGCAAUGAACAUAUAUGUUACCAAAGGAGGGAUGUUUUAAUUUAAAUAAUUAUCACAGAGAUCAUUAAGACAUUUUAGUAUAUUGAUUGAUUAAUUUUCUACGGGUAUAAUGUGCAAAAAACAAAUUUGAGCUACAUGCACACGUGACAGUGCACCUAAAUGGAUUGCAAAAACACAUGUGUCUCACUAGGUGCAUGUUUACUCCCUGUGAAACAAAUUUCAAACAUUGAGAAUCUUGAUUUUUAAACUCUAGUACAUCCAGAACUUAUUUGAAGUUCAUGAAACUUAUCAUGUUGUCAUAUGGACACCAAUGCAAAGUGGUAUUGUACUUUUUUUGUCAAAUUUGAGACCAGUUUGAUGUAAUCUUUACCUAAUUACAGACGAAAGAUUAUUAAUAAUUGGGAACCAAUAUCCCAAACGGGUUAUUUAUUCGAACCGUGAGUGUUAGACCAACAAUGGAUACGUGCCAUGCUUCGGGUAAGCAAUAAAGUGGCAGCAUUAAUCAUCCAAAUAGAAAAAUAAUAUACGUGUCGCCGCGUGACCCGUGUGCCGUGCGAGCAGGCGUGAGUUGAUGAGACGCGUCUGCCACGCAUGCAAACGAGGAGGCGUGCAUGCAGGUGUGUGAAUUGACGGAGGCGUGAUCGCUGCGUAGUGUCAUCGGGAGGCGUGCGAGUAGCUGUGUGAAACUUUGGUAGGCAUGCCAGCAGUCCGGUGCACAGGCUCACCGAGAGGCGAGCCAUCAGUUUGACCGCCGCCCACCUCUCUCCCACAACUCCCACUACUCCAUAUUAAUGGUGCGCCCGAGCGGCCGCACCCCCCAUCCUCGCUACACACACACAAUCCUCUCUCUCCGCUUGCAUCCUCGAUGCCGCUCUUAGUCCUCAAAGCUGUCAGUGUAUGAGGAAGCCACCAAAGUGCCCCAUCGGAGGGAGUGGUGACGCCGAGGCUGCUAAAGCACCAGAGCACGGCAUGGAGAUGGAGACAGAGGUUGCCGUCACAGCCGGCGAGUUAUCGCUGCACCCUGACAUCAUCGACGGCGUCGAGCUUCCAUAGCCGGAGGUGAAGUUCCACACCGACUCCGACGACCUCUCCGGUGAUGACUCCGACGAUGACGGACAGCUGGUUAGUCAUCUAUACCCAUUUAUGUGUCAAAUAGAUCAUAGGGUUUCUCUGGUUACUCCUACCUCCCCCUUUUUGGAACAGAAAUCCUAUGGCUAUGUUCUCUCAAUCCAUGAAAUACGGGUAAGUUUCGUUAGAUCCAUGUAGUGUAUUGAUUGUUUGAAUGGUACAAGUGAUAAGUGAUUAGUUGUUUCAUCUGUGCAAAUGAUUUCUGCUAGUAAUCCGACUAGGGUUAGUGUUCUUGCUAAUAAUUCCUAGACAGGGCUUGAUAAUUGAUUUUGAAUGACCAACAUAUGUUUGUGCCAUUAUUUUCUUCAAGAUUGGUUUGUACAUAGACGACUGUGCUUAAAAGUCGAACCAUAAUCUCUGGAUAUGUAUAAAUAAAUAGCCUCAAAUUCAUAAUCCUACUUCACGGCAUGUAAUCAUUGAUUUGAUGCCAAAUUUGUUUUACUAUUUGUAUAGGUGAUGUCUGACAAUGUGGACAGCGAGGAUGAAGAUGUCCAGAGGAGGUACAACAGGCAAAUCCCGAGGGAGCUUUAUGCGGGAAUGCAUAACAGGCAUAUUAGGACCUGGAACGGCGGCUAUGGAUGCACAUUUUGCAACCAGAAGCUUCAUGACGCGUAUCUAAGUGUUCUGGCACAUGCAAGAGGACAGGCCGUUGGCUCCUUCAAGCAGAAGUAUUCUCGCAGGGUGGCGCACGUCGCGUACGCCAAGUACCUGGAGAAGCUUCAGGAUCAGCCAGCCGCAUGUGAGAUGAGAUGUGGGAUGGAUCGAACUAUGUGUGCUUGAGUAUGCUUAAUGCGGUUGAACUAUGUACUACUUAUGGUUGAACUAUGCUUAUGUACGUGUAUGCUUAUUAUCUAUGUCUGAGUCUGUUAAAUAUUUGGUCAAAAUUUGGUAAAAAUUACAAAGGGGGACCAAUAAACCAGGACAGAGGUAGUACAUCGAUCACACACACUUCCCAAAAUUGGAACCGUGUGCAAUGACUUUCAUUUUGCCUGUUGCGUCAAUCACACAUGGUUCGCUCUAGAAAACCGUCGCCCCCAAAAUUCUUUGUGGGACAGAAAACCCUCACCACCCAAUUCAAAAAAGAAAAAAGAAAACCCUCACCAUCCCCAUGUCACAAAUGAAGGAAAUAUGCCCUAGAGGCAAUAAUAAAGUUGUUAUUUAUAUUUCCUUAUAUCAUGAUAAAUGUUUAUUAUUCAUGCUAGAAUUGUAUUAACCGAAAACUUAGUACAUGUGUGAAUGCAUAGACAAACAGAGUGUCCCUAGUAUGCCUCUACUCGACUAGCUCAUUAAUCAAAGAUGGUUAAGUUUCCUAGCCAUAGACAUGUGUUGUCAUUUGAUGAACGGGGUCACAUCUUUAGAGAAUGAUGUGAUGGACAAGACCCAUCCAUUAGCUUAGCAUUAUGAUCGUUUAGUUUUAUUGCUAUUGCUUUCUUCAUGACUUAUACAUGUUCCUCUGACUAUGAGAUUAUGCAACUCCCGAAUACCGGAGGAACACCUUGUGUGCUAUCAAACAUCACAACGUAACUGGGUGAUUAUAAAGAUGCUCUACAGGUGUCUCCAAUGGUGUUUGUUGAGUUGGCAUAGAUCAAGAUUAGGAUUUGUCACUCUGUGUUUCGGAGAGGUAUCUCUGGGCCCUCUCGGUAAUGCACAUCACUAUAAGCCUUGCAAGCAAUGUGACUAAUGAGUUAGUUACGGGAUGAUGCAUUACGGAACGAGUAAAGAGACUUGUCGGUAACGAGAUUGAACUAGGUAUGAUGAUACCGGCGAUCGAAUCUCAGGCAAGUAACAUAGCGAUGACAAAGGGAACAACGUAUGUUGUUAUCUGGUUUGACCGAUAAAGAUCUUUGUAGAAUAUGUAGGAGCCAAUAUGAGCAUCCAGGUUCCUCUAUUGGUUAUUGACCAGAGAUGUGUCUCGGUCAUGUCUACAUAGUUCUCGAACCCGUAGGGUCUGCACGCUUAACGUUCGACGAAGAUUUGUAUUAUGAUUUAUGUGAUUUGAUAAACCGAAGUAUGUUCGGAGUCCCGGAUGAUAUCACGGACAUGACGAGGAGUCUCCAAAUGGUUGAGAGGUAAAGAUUCAUAUAUUGGAAGGUUGCAUUUGGACAUCAGAAUGGUUCUGAGAGGUUCGGGCAUUUUUCCGGAGUACCGGGAGGUUACCGGAACCCCCCGGGAGAAGUUAUGGGCCUUAUGGGCCAUAAGAGGGAAGAACACCAGCCCACAAGGGGGUGUUGCACCCCCUAGGGCAGGAGGCCGAUUAGGACUAGGAAAAGGGGUCCCCCCCCCUUUCCUUCUCCUUCUCCCUUUCCCCUUUCCUACUCCGUGUGGGAGGUGGAAUCUUUUGGGGAACGUAGUAAUUUCAAAAAAAUUCCUACGCACACGCAAGAUCAUGGUGAUGCAUAGCAACGAUAGGGGAGAGUGUUGUCUACGUACCCUCGUAGACCGGCAACGGAAGCGUUGACACAACAUAGAGGAAGUAGUCGUACGUGUUCCCGAUCCGACCGAUCCAAGUACCGAACGUACGGCACCUCCGAGUUAUGCACACGUUCAACUUGGUGAUGUCCCUCGAGCUCCAAUCCAGAAAAGUGUUGAGGGAGAGUUUUGUCAGCAUGACAGCAUGAUGACGGUGAUGAUGUUCUACCGACGCAGGGCGUCUCCUAAGCACCGCUACAAUAUGACCGAGGUGGAAUAUGGUGGAAGGGGGCACCGCACACGGCUAAGGAACGAUCACGAAGAUCAACUUGUGUGUCAUGGGGUGCCCCCUUGCCCCCGUAUAUAAAGGAGGGAGAGGGGGAGGUGCGGCUGGCCCAAGGGGUGCGCCUGGAGGAGUCCUACUCCCACCGAGAGUAGGACUCCCCCUUCUUGCCUUGUUGGAAAAGGAAGGGGGAAGAGAGAAAGAGGAAAGGGGGGCGCCCCCCUUCCUUGUCCUAUUCGGACUAGGGGGGAUAGGGGCGCGCGGCCUGCCCUGGCCAGCCCUCCUCUUCUCCCUUAGGGCCCAUGUAGGCCCAAUAAUCCCUGGGGGGGUUCCGGUAACCCCCCCCCCCCCCGGUAUUCCGGUAAAAUCCCGAUUUCACCCGGAACGUUUCCGAUAUCCAAAUAUAGGCUUCCAAUAUAUCAAUCUUUAUGUCUCGACCAUUUCGAGACUCCUGGUCAUGUCUUUGAUCACAUCCGGGACACCGAACAACCUUCGGUGCAUCAAAACACAAAAACCCUAAUUAUGAUCGUCACCGAACUUUAAGCGUGCGGACCCUACGGGUUCGAGAACUAUGUAGACAUGACCGAGACACGUCUCCGGUCAAUAACCAAUAGCGGAACCUGGAUGCUCAUAUUGGCUCCUACAUAUUCUAUGAAGAUCUUUAUCGGUCAGACCGCAUAACAAUAUACGUUGUUCCUUUUGUCAUCGGUAUGUUACUUGCCCAAGAUUUGAUCGUCGGUAUCUCAAUACCUAGUUCAAUCUCGUUACCGGCAAGUCUCUUUACUCGUUCUGUAAUACAUCAUCCCACAACUAACUUAUUAGUUGCAAUGCUUGCAAGGCUUGAGUGAUGUGCAUUACCGAGAGGGCCCAGAGAUACCUCUCCGAUAAUCGGAGUGACAAAUCCUAAUCUCGAAAUACGCCAACCCAACAAAUACCUUUGGAGACACCUGUAGAGCACCUUUGUAAUCACCCAGUUACGUUGUGACGUUUGGUAGCACACAAAGUGUUCCUCCGGUAAAUGGGAGUUGCAUAAUCUCAUAGUCAUAGGAACAUAUAUAAGUUAUGAAGAAAGCAAUAGCAACAAACUAAACGAUCAAGUGCUAAGGUAAUGGAAUGGGUCAAGUCAAUCACAUCAUUCUCCUAAUGAUGUGACCCCCUUAACCAAAUAACAACUCAUGUCUACGGUUAGGAAACAUAACCAUCUUUGAUCAAUGAGCUAGUCAAGUAGAGGCAUACUAGUGACACUCUGUUUGUCUAUGUAUUCACACAUGUAUCAUGUUUCCGGUUAAUACAAUUCUAGCAUGAAUAAUAAACAUUUAUCAUGAUAUAAGGAAAUAAAUAAUAACUCUAUUAUUGCCUCUAGGGCAUAUUUCCUUCAGUCUCCCACUUGCACUAGAGUCAAUAAUCUAGUUCACAUCGCCAUGUGAUUUAACACCAAUAGUUCACAUCACCAUGUGAUUAACACCCAUAGUUCACAUCGUCAUGUGACCAACACCUAAAGGGUUUACUAGAGUCAAUAAUCUAGUUCACAUCGCUAUGUGAUUAACACCCAAAGAGUACUAAGGUGUGAUCAUGUUUUGCUUGUGAGAGAAGUUUAGUCAACGGGUCCGCCACAUUCAGAUCCGUAAGUAUUUUGCAAAUUUCUAUGUCAACAAUGCUCUGCACGGAGCUAUUCUAGCUAAUUGCUCCAACUUUCAAUAUGUAUCCAGAUUGAGAUUUAGAGUCAUCUGGACCAGUGUCAAAAUUUGCAUUGACAUAACCCUUUACGGCGAACCUUUUUGUCACCUCCAUAAUCGAGAAACAUAUCCUUAUUCCACUAAGGAUAAUUUGACCGUUGUCCAGUGAUCUACUCCUAGAUCACUAUUGUACUCCCUUGCCAAAAACAGUGCAGGGUAUACAAUAGAUCUGGUACACAGCAUGGCAUAUUUUUAUAGAACCUGUGGCCAAGGCAUAGGGAAUGACUUUCAUUCUCUCUCUAUCUUCUGCCGUGGUCGGGUUUUGAGUCUUACUCAACUUCACACCUUGUAACACAGGCAAAAACUCUUUCUUUGACUAUUCCAUUUUGAACUACUUCAAAAUCUUGUCAAGGUAUGUACUCAUUGAAAAACUUAUCAAGCGUCUUGAUCUAUCUCUAUAGAUCUUGAUGUUCACUAUGUAAGCAGCUUCACCGAGGUCUUUCUUUGGAAAACCCCUUUCAAACACUCCUUUAUGCUUUGCAGAAUAAUUCUACAUUAUCUCCGAUCAACAAUAUGUCAUUCACAUAUACUUAUCAGAAAUGCUGUAGUGCUCCCACUCACUUUCUUGUAAAUACAGGCUUCACUGCAAGUCUAUAUAAAACUAUAUGCUUUGAUUAACUUAUCAAAGUGUAUAUUCCAACUCCGAGAUGCUUGCACCAGUCCAUAGAUGGAUAGCUGGAGCUUGCAUAUUUUGUUAGCACCUUUAGGAUUGACAAAACUUUCUUGUUGCAUCAUAUACAACUCUUCUUUAAUAAACCCAUUAAGGAAUGCGGUUUUGUUUAUCCACUUGCCAGAUUUCAUAAAAUGCGGCAAUUGCUAACAUGAUUCGGACAGACUUAAGCAUAGAUACGAGUGAGAAACUCUCAUCGUAGUCAACACCUUGAACUUGUCGAAAACCUUUUUGCGACAAUUCUAGCUUUUGUAGAUAGUGACACUACUAUCAGUGUCCGUCUUCCUCUUGAAGAUCCAUUUAAUAUUAAUGGCUCGCCGAUCAAUGGGCAAGUCAAUCAAAGUCCAUACUUUGUUCUCAUACAUGGAUCUCAUCUCAGAUUCCAUGGCCUCAAGCCAUUUCGCGGAAUCUGGGCUCAUCAUCGCUUCCUCAUAGUUCGUAGGCUCGUCAUGGUCAAGUAACAUGACCCCCAGAACAGGAUUACCGUACCACUCUGGUGCAGAUCUCACUCUGGUUUACCUACGAGGUUCGGUAGUAACUUGAUCUGAAGUUACAUGAUCAUCAUCAUUAGCUUCCUCACUAAUUGGUGUAGUAGUCAUAGGAACAGAUUUCUGUGAUGAACUACUUUCCAAUAAGGGAGUAGGUAUAGUUACCUCAUCAAGUUCUACUUUCCUCCCACUCACUUCUUUCGAGAGAAACUCCUUCUCUAGAAAGGAUCCAUUCUCAGCAACGAAUAUCUUGCCUUCGGAUCUGUGAUAGAAGGUGUACCCAACAUUUUCUUUUGGGUAUCCUAUGAAACGCACUUCUCCGAUUUGGGUUUGAGCUUAUCAGGUUGAAACUUUUUCACAUAAGCAUUGCAACCUCAAACUUUAAGAAACGACAGCUUAGGUUUCUUGCCAAACCAUAGUUCAUACGGUGUCGUCUCAACGGAUUUAGUGGUGCCCUAUUUAACGUGUAUGUAGCUGUCUCUAAUGCAUAACCCCAAAACGAUAGCGGUAAAUCAGUAAGAGACGUCAUAGAUCGCACCAUAUCUAAUAAAGCACGGUUACGACAUUCGGACACACCAUUACACUGUGGUGUUCCAGGUGGCGUGAGUAGUGAAACUAUUUCACAUUGUUUUAACUGAAGGCCAAACUCGUAACUCAAAUACUUUACUUCUGCGAUUAUCAUAGAAACUUUUAUUUUGUUUCGAUGAUUCUCCACUUCACUCUGAAAUUCUUUGAACUUUUCAAACGUUUGAGACUUGUGUUUCAUCAAGUAGAUAUACUCAUAUCUGCUCAAAUCAUUUGUGAAGAUCAGAAAAUAAUGAUACCUGUCGCGAGCUUCAAUAUUCAUUGGACCACAUACAUUAGUAUGCAUGAUUUCCAACAAAUUUGUUGCUUGCUGCAUUGUUCCGGAGAAUGGAGACUUAAUCAUCUUGCCCAUGAGGCAUGGUUCGCAAGCAUCAAGUGAUUCCGAAAGUCCAUCAGCAUGGAGUUUCUUCAUGCGCUUUACACCAAUAUGACCUAAACGGCAGUGCCACAAAUAAGUUGCACUAUCAUUAUUAAGUUUGCAUCUUUUGGUUUCAAUAUUAUGAAUAUGUGUAUCACUACGAUCGACAUCCAACGAACCAUUUUCAUUGGGUGUGUAACCAUAUAUGUAAACAGAACAACAAUUUAUUCUCUUACUUAAAUGAAUAACCGUAUUGCAAUAAACAUGAUCAGAUCAUAUUCAUGCUCAAUGCAAACACCAAAUAACACUUAUUUAGGUUCAACACUAAUCCCGAAAGUAUAGGGAGUGUGCGAUGAUGAUCAUAUCAAUCUUGGAACCACUUCCAACACACAUCAUCACUUCACCCUUAACUAGUCUCUGUUCAUUCUGCAACUCCCGUUUCGAGUUACUACUCUUAGCAACUGAACCAGUAUCAAAUACCGGGGGGUUGCUACGAACACUAGUAAAAUACACAUCAAUAAUCCGUAUAUCAAAUAUACCUUUGUUCACUUUGCCAUCCUUCUUAUCCGCCAAAUACUUGGGCAGUUCCGCUUCGAGUGACCAGUCCCUUUGCAGUAGAAGCACUUAGUCUCAGGCUUCGGACCAGACUUGGGCUUCCUCACUUGAGCAGCAACUUACUUGUCGUUCUUCUUGAAGUUCCCCUUCUUCCCUUUGCCCUUUUCUUGAAACUAGUGGUCUUGUCUACCAUCAACACUUGAUAUUUUUCUUGAUUUCUACCUUCGUUGAUUUUAGCAUUACGAAGAGCUUGGGAAUCGUUUCCGUUAUUCCUUGCAUAUCAUAGUUCAUCACGAAGUUAUACUAACUUGGUGAUGGUGACUAGAGAAUUCUGUCAAUCACUAUCUUAUCUAGAAGAUUAACUCCCACUUGAUUCAAGCGAUUGUAGUACCCAGACAAUCUGAGCACAUGCUCACUGCUUGAGCUAUUCUCCUCCAUCUUUUAGCUAUAGAACUUGUUGGAGACUUCAUAUCUCUCAACUCAGGUAUUUGUUUGAAAUAUUAACUUCAACUCCUGGAACAUCUCAUAUGGUCCAUGACGUUCAAAACGUCUUUGAAGUCCCGAUUCUAAGCCGUUUAAGCAUGGUGCACUAAAACUAUCAAGUAGUCAUCAUAUUGAGCUAGCCAAACGUUCAUAACGUCUGCAUCUGCUCCUGCAAUAGGUCUACCACCUAGCGGUGCAUUAAGGACAUAAUUCUUCUGUGCAUCAAUGAGGCUAAUCCUCAGAUCACGGAUCCAAUCUGCAUCAUUGCUACUAACAUCUUUCAACUUAAUUUUCUCUAGGAACAUAUCAAAUAUAAAACAGGGGAGCUAAACGCGAGCUAUUGAUCUACAACAUAGAUAUGCUAAUACUACCAGCACUAAGUUCGUGAUAAAUUAAAGUUCAAUUAAUCAUAUUACUUAAGAACUCCCACUUAGAAAGAUAUCCCUCUAAUCCUCUAAGUGAUCACGUGAUCCAAAUCAACUAAACCAUGUCCGAUCAUCACGUGAGAUGGAGUAGUAUCAAUGGUGAACAUCAAUAUGUUGAUCAUAUCUACUAUAUGAUUCAUGCUCGACCUUUCGGUCUCCGUGUUCCGAGGCCAUAUCUAUUAUAUGCUAGGCUCGUCAAGUUUAACCUGAGUAUUCCGCGUGUGCAACUAUUUUGCACCCGUUGUAUUUGAACGUAGAGCCUAUCACACCCGAUCAUCACGUGGUGUCUCAGCGCGAAGAACUUUCGCAACGGUGCAUACUCAGGGAGAACACUUAUACUUUGAUAAUUUAGUGAGGGAUCAUCUUAUAAUGCUACCGUCAAUCAAAGCAAGAUAAGAUGCAUAAAAGAUAAACAUCACAUGCAAUCAAUAUAAGUGAUAUGAUAUGGCCAUCAUCAUCUUGUACUUGUGAUCUCCAUCUCUGAAGUACUGUUAUGAUCACCAUCAUCACCGACGCGACACCUUGAUCUCCAUCAUAGCAUCGUCGUCGUCUCGCCAAUCUAUUGCUUCCACGACUAUCGCUACCGCUUAGUGAUAAAGUAAAGCAUUACAGCGCGAUUGUAUUGCAUACAAUAAAGCGACAACCAUAUGGCUCCUGCCAGUUGCCGAUAACUCGGUUACAAAACAUGAUCAUCUCAUACAAUAAAAUUUAGCAUCAUGUCUUGACCAUAUCACAUCACAACAUGCCCUACAAAAACAAGUUAGACGUCCUCUACUUUGUUGUUGCAAGUUUUACGUGGCUGCUACGGGCUUAGCAAGAACCGUUCUUACCUACGCAUCAAAACCACAAUGAUAGUUUGUCAAGUUGGUGCUGUUUUAACCUUCGCAAGGACCGGGCAUAGUCACACUUGGUUCAACUAACGUUGGAGAAACUGACACCGGCCAGCCACCUGUGUGCAAAGCACGUCGGUAGAACUAGUCUUGCAUAAGUGUACGCGUAAUGUCGGUCCGGGCCACUUCAUCCAACAAUACCGCCGAACCAAAGUAUGACAUGCUGGUAAGCAGUAUGACUUAUAUCGCCAACAACUCACUUGUGUUCUACUCGUGCAUAACAUCAACGCAUAAAACCUAGGCUCGGAUGCCACUGUUGGGGAACGUAGUAAUUUCAAAAAAAUUCCUACGCACACGCAAGAUCAUGGUGAUGCAUAGCAACGAGAGGGGAGAGUGUUGUCUACGUACCCUCGUAGACUGGCAACGGAAGCGUUGACACAAUGUAGAGGAAGUAGUCGUACGUCUUCCUGAUCCGACCGAUCCAAGUACCGAACGUACGGCACCUCCGAGUUCUGCACACGUUCAACUCGGUGACGUCCCUUGAGCUCCGAUCCAGCAAAGUGUUGAGGGAGAGUUUCGUCAGCGCGACGGCGUGAUGACGGUGAUGAUGUUCUACCGACGCAGGGCUUCGCCUCAACACCGCUACGAUAUGACCGAGGUGGAAUAUGGUGGAAGGGGGCACCGCACACGGCUAAGGAACGAUCACGAAGAUCAACUUGUGUGUCAUGGGGUGCCCCCUUGCCCCCGUAUAUAAAGGAGGGAGAGGGGGAGGUGCGGCCGGCCCAAGGGGUGCGCCUGGAGGAGUCCUACUCCCACUGGGAGUAGGACUCCCCCUUCUUUCCUUGUUGGAAAAGGAAGGGGGAAGAGAGAAAGAGGAAAGGGGGGCGCCCCCCCUUCCUUGUCCUAUUCGGACUAGGGGGAGUGAGGCGCGCGGCUUGCCCUGGCGAGCCCUCCUCUUCUCCCUUAGGGCCCAUGUAGGCCCAAUAACCCCCGGGGGGUUCCGGUAAGCCCCCGGUAUUCCGGUAAAAUCCCGAUUUCAGCCGGAAUGUUUCCGAUAUCCAAAUAUAGGCUUCCGAUAUAUCAAUCUUUAUGUCUCGACCAUUUCGAGACUCCUGGUCAUGUCCGUGAUCACAUCCGGGACACCGAACAACCUUCGAUACAUCAAAACACAAAAACCCUAAUUAUGAUCGUCACCGAACUUUAAGCGUGCGGACCCUACGGGUUCGAGAACUAUGUAGACAUGACCGAGACACGUCUCCGGUCAAUAACUAAUAACGGAACCUGGAUGCUCAUAUUGGCUCCUACAUAUUCUACGAAGAUCUUUAUCGGUCAGACCGCAUAACAACAUACGUUGUUCCUUUUGUCAUCGGUAUGUUACUUGCCCGAGAUUCGAUCGUCGGUAUCUCAAUACCUAGUUCAAUCUCUUUACCGGCAAGUCUCUUUACUUGUUCCGUAAUACAUCAUCCCGCAACUAACUUAUUAGUUGCAAUGCUUGCAAGGCUUGAGUGAUGUGCAUUACCGAGAGGGCCCAGAGAUACCUCUCCGACAAUCGGAGUGACAAAUCCUAAUCUCGAAAUAUGCCAACCCAACAAAUACCUUUGGAUACACCUGUAGAGCACCUUUAUAAUCACCCAGUUACGUUGUGAUGUUUGGUAGCACACAAAGUGUUCCUCCGGUAAACGGGAGUUGCAUAAUCUCAUAGUCAUAGGAACAUAUAUAAGUUAUGAAGAAAGCAAUAGCAACAAACUAAAUGAUCAAGUGCUAAGCUAAUGGAAUGGGUCAAGUCAAUCACAUCAUUCUCCUAAUGAUGUGAUCCCGUUAACCAAAUAACAACUCAUGUCUAUGGUUAGGAAACAUAACCAUCUUUGAUCAACGAGCUAGUCAAGUAGAGGCAUACUAGUGACACUCUGUUUGUCUAUGUAUUCACACAUGUAUCAUGUUUUCGGUUAAUACAAUUCUAGCAUGAAUAAUAAACAUUUAUCAUGAUAUAAGGAAAUAAAUAAUAACUUUAUCAUUGCCUCUAGGGCAUAUUUCCUUCAGAAUCCUACUAGGACUAGGGAGUCCUAGUAGGACUCCACACCUUGGCGCGCCCCCUUAGGGCCGGUUGGCUCUCCCUCUCCCUCCUUUAUAUACAUGGCCAGGGGGCACUCCAUAGACACACAAGCCAUGUGCGGUGCCCCCUCCACAGUUACACACCUCGGUCAUAUCAUUGUAGUGCUUAGGCGAAGCCCUGCGUCGGUAACUUCAUCAUCACCGUCACCAUGUCGUCGUGCUGACUGAAGUGUCCCUCGGCCUCAACUGGAUCAAGAGUUCGGGGGAUGUCAUCGAGUUGAUCGUGUGCUGAUCACGGAGGUGUCGUGUGUUUGGUACUUGGAUCGCAAAGACGUUCGACUACAUCAACCGCGUUACUAAACACUUCUGCUUUCGAUCUACGAGGGUACAUAGACACAUUCUCCCCCUCUCAUUGCUAUGCAUCUCCUAGAUAGAUCUUGCGUGAUCGUAGGUAAAAUUUUGAAAUACUACGUUCCCCAACAGUGGCAUCCGAGCCAGGUCUAUGCGUAGAUGUUAUAUGCAUGAGUAGAACACAAAGAGUUGUGAGCGAUAAUAGUCAUACUGCUUACCAGCAAUGUCUUACUUUGAUUCGGUGGUAUUGUUGGAUGAAGCGGCCCAGAGCGACAUUACGUGACUGCGUUCAUGAGACUGGUUCUACCGGCGUGCUUCGGACAAAGGUGGCUAGUGGGUGAUGUUUCUCCAGCUUUAGUUGAAUCGAGUUUGACUACGCCCGGUCCUUGUUGAAGGUUAAAACAGUACACUUAACGAAAAAUCGUUGUGGUUUUGAUGCAUAGGUAAGAACGGUUCUUGCUAGAAGCCCGUAGCAGCCACAUAAAACUUACAACAACAAAGUAGAGGACGUCUAACUUGUUUUUGUAGGGCAUGUUGUGAUGUGAUAUGGUCAAGACGUGAUGAGAUAUAAAUUGUAACACCCACGAUGCGGCUAUACCUCCCACGUGUCGAAGCACGACUUAGAGGCAUAACCGCAUUGUAGGCAAUGUCGCAAGAGGGGUAAUCUUUACACAUCCCAUGUACUGAAAGAAAAGAGAUACAUAGUUGGCUUACAAUCGCCACUUCACCCAAGAGCAUAAAUAUAACAUUACAAUCAUCCAGAUACAAUAAAGGUCCGACUACGGAACCAAAAUAAAGACAACCCCAAAUGCAUAAUGUCCCCGAUCGCCCCAACUGGGCUCCACUACUGGUCGUCUGGAAAGGAAACGUAGUAUCGUCCUGAGUCCUCAUCGAACUCCCACUUGAGCUCAGUCGCAUCUCCUGGAGCGGUAUCAUGGGUCCCUGCAUCUGGUUUUGGAAGUAGUCUCUGAGUCACGGGGACUCAGCAAUCUCACACCCUCACGAUAAAGACUAUUUAAGCUUAUGGGUAGGUAAAAGCUAUGAGGUGGAGCUGCAACAAGCACUAGCAUAUAUGGUGGCUAACAUACGCAAAUGAGAGCGAGAAGAGAAGGCAAGGCACGGUCGAGAAACUAUGAUCAAGAAGUGAUCCUAGAAAUAUUUACGUUCAAGCAUAACACGAGACCGUGUUCUCUUCCCGGACUCCGCCGAAAAGAGACCACCACGGCUACACAUGUUGUGGAUUCAUUUUAGUUAAAUUUAAGUUUCAGGUUUUCUACAACCGGACAUUAACAAAUUCCCACCUGCCCAUAACCGCGGGCACGGCUUUCGAAAGUUCAAAUCCCUACAGGGGUGUCCCAACUUAGCCCAUCACAAGCUCUCACGGUCAACGAAGGAUAUUCCUUAUCCCAGGACGACCCGAUCAGACUCGGAAUCCCGGUUACAAGACAUCUCGACAAUGCCAAAACUAAACCAGCAAAGCCACCCGAAUGUGCCGACAAAUCCGAUAGGAGCAGCACAUAUCUCGUUCUCAGGGCACACCGGAUUGUCCAAGGUUCCGGUAGGCCAUCCCAGAGUUGCCACUGGUGGCCACCGGCAGCUGACAGGUUGGACCAACACUCAGAGGAGCACUGGCCCGGGGGUUUAAAAUAAAGAUUACCCUUGAGUCCACGGAACCCAAGGGAAAAAGGCUAGGUGGCAAAUGGAAAAAUCAAAGUUGGGCCUUGCUGGAGGAGUUUUAUUCAAGGCGAACUAUCAAGGGGUUCCCAUUAUAACCCAACCGCGUAAGGAACGCAAAAUCAAGGAACAUAACACCGGUAUGAUGGAAACUAGGGUGGCAAGAGUGGAACAAAACACCAGGCAUAAGGCCGAGCCUUCCACCCUUUACCAAGUAUAUAGCUACAUUAAAGUAGACAAGAUAUAAUAAUGAUAUCCCAACAAUAAACAUGUUCCAACAAGGAACAAACUCCAAUCUUCACCUGCAACUAGCAACGCUAUAAGAGGGGCUGAGCAAAGCGGUAACAUAGCCAAACAACGGUUUGCUAGGACAAGGUGGGUUAGAGGUUUGACAUGGCAAUAUGGGAGGCAUGAUAAGCAAGUGGUAGGUAUCAUAGCAUAGGCAUAGCAAUAGAGCGAGCAACUAGCAAGCAAAGAUAGAAGUGAUUUCGAGGGUAUGGUCAUCUUGCCUGCAAAGUUCUCCGAGUUGAUGUAAGCUUGAUCCUCGUAAACGUUCUCAACGGGUUCCUCGAUCACGUACUCGUCUCCUGGCUCUACCCAAAGCAAGAACACAAGCAAAGGGAGACACAAUCAACCACGGUGCAAUGCGCAAGCAACAUGAUGCAAAACAUGGCAUGAUAUGCGGGAUGUGAUAUGCAAUGCAUAUGCGUGCUUCGGAAAGGAAAGAUUGAACCAGGCCUCAACUUGGCAAACCAAGAGUGCCGCUGGAAAGAGGAGUUGAUUUCGGUCGAAAUCGAUAUAAAGAUCACCGGAAUCGGAUGCAUGGUUUGCAAAUGGCAAGCAAAACAAUAAUGUCACAAAGCUGCGAUCAACAGCACGAGGCCAUCUAAAUGCAUCAAGAAAAAUAAGCUACUGCACUCUAACAUAGCAACAAAACACAUGGCGGUGAUCCACUCAAGAUGCUUGACAAAAGAUGAACACUGAGCUACAUCUAAUUCACACAAUAGCAGGUUCAAACAAGCAUGGCAAAAGUGCAAAAGAUAUUAGGUUCACAGACUUAGUGAAAACAACAUGUCAGGAUUUAACAUCAGGAAGCAAUGUUUAGAGCAAGAUAACAACAUGCUACAGGAACAUAUCAUGGCAAAGCAAGGCAUGGCAUGAAACUACACAAAGCAUAUAACAAAAGUCCCUUACUGACCAUAAGCCAAAAGGGAUCAGAAGAUACAAUGUCAACCAUGUAAACAUAGCAAGUUUCGUUAACAGAUUCAGACUUAGCAGAAAACUGGAACAUGGCAAAACAGAAUUAUGUAGGCAUGUUUGCGAGCUCGAUGCACUUACCACAAGGCAUUGCAUGACAAGAUAAGCAUACACCCAGCAAGUAGACAUGUUAAAUAAGCUAACCAUGGCAAGAACACUCUCAUAGCAUGCAUGGAUCAACUACAACAACCUCGGCAAAAUUGCUUAACACGUAAACAAUCUGCCAGGAACAUUUUAUAGCAGAAGUAGAGCAAGAUUGAGUCAUGAUAGGGUGAUCCAUAAUUGUAAACAAAGACAUGGAUGGAUAGAGCAUAACAUUAUCUCAAAAACAACCUUACUGAACAUGCCCAAAAUAGGCAUGGAUCACUCUGUAGCAACAUGAAUACAUGGCAUAAAAAUAUCAUCAGGGAAAUGACUUAGAAGAAAUCUAAAUCCCUGAAAUCAGCAACAUCACGAGAGCUACUUUGCAUUCUUGUGCUAGUCACCACAAUGAUCACAAAAAUACAUGGCAUACACCCCUGUAAAGAAGGCAUGGCAUAUAACAAAACACAUGUAGGGCUCAAGUCCAUAGGAGGCACACAUUAAACAUGGCAAAAAUGAAAAUUGUCCAUAUUCUGAUAAGAGACAGACACUAACAUUACAUAGCACUCUUGCAACAGCAUUUAGGGCAUCAAGAUGAUCUCAAAUGAACAUGGUGCAAUGGAAUGAAAUGAAGUGCACAUCCAGACGAACAAUUUGAUAGGCUACACGCCCAAAACGGAGCCACGGAUGUAAGGUUAUGACAAGAUGAAGUUGCCUAAAAAUAAUCCAAACUAGGGACUUAGUGAGGGGAAAAAGGUCAACCUCUAUGGAUCUAGGGUUUCCAGCACGGGUCUCGAGGCAGUAGCGGAUCUCGCCGGAGAGCUCGCGGGAGAAUGCCGCGGUGGCCGAAGUUCGUCGGGGACGGCGGAGACGAGGCCGGAGAGGAGGGACGGCGAGGUGGAGGCCGGAUCCGUCGGGGACGACGAGGUACGCGGCGGGCGAGGCGACUGGAGAGGCGGCCGGCGACGGUGGCGUGGUGGCGCGCCGGCGUGGCGACGGCGGAGGUGCACCGGCGGCGGAGAAGCGGCGAGGGCUUGCGAGGCGGCGGCGCUCGGGCGCUGGGAAGGCGCGGCGGCGGCGAUGGGCCGGGCGGGCCCGAUCCGGGCUCGCCAGGCCGGCGGCGGAGAGGACGGCGGCGGGACACAUGGUGGGCGGAGAUUGGCUGGGCGACGGCGGGCAGACGUGUCCGGCCGUCGCGGACACGUCCGGUGGCGGCAGGGGACGGAAAUUAGGGUUUCACCCGCAAAUGAAGGAGGGGGAGGCCUAUUUAUACAUAGAAGGAGCUAGGAGGCUCCAAAUUGAGCACGAUUUUCGGCCACGCGAUCAUGAUUGAAUGACCAAGAUGAUGGAGAAGGUUUAGGUGGGUUUGGGGCCACUUUGGAGAGGUGUUGGGCUGCAACACACACGAGGCCUUUACGGUUCCUCGGUUAACCGUUGGAGUAUCAAACAAAGUCCAAAUGGCACGAAACUUGACAGGCGGUCUACCGGUAGUAAACCAAGGCCACUUGGCAAGUCUCGAUCUAAUCCGAGAACGUUUAACACCCGCACAUGAAAAGAGGCAAAAGGGGACACCGGAGGACAUAGGAGCACCGGAAUGCAAAACGGACAACGGGGAAAAUGCUCGGAUGCAUGAGACAAACACGUAUGCAAAUGCGAUGCACAUGAUGACAUGAUAUGAGAUGCAUGACAAGACAAAAUGCAAAAUGAAGAUGAAACCCAACAACGAGGAAACAUCAUAACUUAGUGCCAGAAAUGGCAAGAGUUGGGAUACAAAUAUGGCAAAUUACAUACGGGGCGUUACAACACUCCACCACUACGAAAGGAUCUCGUCCCGAGAUCUAGGACUGGAAAAACUCUGGAUAUUCAGAACGGAGGUGGUCCUCGCGUUCCCAGGUGGCUUCAUGAUCGGAAUGAUGUAGACCACUUCACUUCCAGGAAUUUUAUAGACUUGUUGCGAGUCUUCGGUCAGUUUCUUCAAGAAUAGUAACGGGAUGCUCAUGAUAAGAUAGGUCUUCUUGGAGAUCAAUCUCUUCAAAGUUGAUGGUGCGGUCAGGAGUCUUGAAACACUUGCGGAGCUGAGACACAUGAAACACCACGUGCACAUUUACAAAGUUGGAUGGAAGCUCAAGUUGAUAGGCGAGAUUGCCUCUUUUGCCAAUGAUCUUGAAAGGACCCACGUAUCUAGGGGCAAGCUUCCCUUUGAUACCGAAGCGACAAGUACCUUUCAUUGGAGAGACAGGGAGGUAGACAUGGUCUCCGAUCUCGAAAGCCAAGUCAUGAUGCUUGCUAUCAUAGUAACUCUUCUGGCGCGAUUGCGCGGCUUUGAGAUUUUCACGAAUGACUUUGCACAUUUCUUCAGCCUCUGUGAUCAAGUCAUUGCCCAGAAGUUGGCGUUCACUAGUCUCUGACCAGUUAAGAGGAGUAUGGCACUUCCUACCAUAGAGAAUCUCGAAUGGGGCCUUGCCCGAACUCGCUUGGAAGCUAUUGUUGUAGGAGAACUCAACAUAUGGAAGACAAUCUUCCCACUUCAUACCGAAAGAAAUGACACAAGCUCUGAUCAUAUCUUCAAGAAUUUGAUUGACUCGCUCGACUUGGCCACUGGUUUGAGGAUGAAAAGCUAUGCUGAAGCGAAUGUUGGUGCCCAUAGCCUUCUGAAAAGAAUCCCAGAACUUAGAAGUGAAGAUGCUUCCACGAUCUGAAGAUAUCAAUUGUGGAAUGCCGUGCAAAGAGACAAUCCUGGAGGUAUAUAGCUCUGCCAACUGAGCUGCUGUGAUAGACUCUUUGAUAGGAAGAAAAUGAUCCACUUUAGUGAGCUUGUCGAUGACAACGAAGAUAGCAUCAUUGCCAUGCUUGGACUUUGGAAAUCGAGUCACGAAGUCCAUCUCAAUAUGGUCAAACUUCCAUUCUGGAAUGGCAAGAGGUUGGAGGAGACCAGCUCGCCGUUGGUGUUCUGCUUUCACUCUUCUGCAGACAUCACAUUCAUUCACGAACUGAGCAAUCUCGCGCUUCAUUCGAGUCCACCAAUACGACUGCUUGAGGUCAUUGUACAUCUUUGUACUUCCGGGGUGAAUAGAGAGGAGUGAAUUGUGAGCUUCGUUCAUAAUGACUUUACGAAGGUCACCCUUAGGAACAACAAUGCGAUCCUCGAAGAAUAGAGUAUCCUUGUCAUCAAUGCGAUAGCACUUGUACUUGGGUUGGCUCUUGGCAAUCCCAAUCUUCACCUUCUUCACCAUAGCAUCAAGAAGUUGAGCCUCGCAAAUCUGAUCUUCCAAAGUAGGAGAGACUCGGAGGUUGGCAAGGAAUCCUUGAGGAACAACUUGGAGAUUAAGUUUGCGGAAAGCUUCAUAAAGCUCUAGUUGGUAGGGCUUGAUAAUCAAACUGUUGCAGUAAGCCUUCCUGCUCAAUGCGUCAACAAUGACAUUGGCCUUGCCUGAAGUAUAUUCAAUACUCGGAUUAUACUCUUGAAUCAUUUCGACCCAACGAGUCUGCCUGAGGUUGAGGUUGGGCUGAGUGAAGAUGUACUUGAGACUCUUAUGAUCAGUGAAGAUGUCCACUUUCCUUCCCAACAAGAGAUCUCUCCAUGUUAAAAGAGCAUGGACAACUGCCGCCAACUCGAGGUCAUGAGUGGGGUAGUUCUUUUCGUUGGGCUUCAACUGGCGAGAGGUAUAGGCCACAACUUUCUUCUCUUGCAUUAACACUGCACCGAGGCCUUGAAGGGAAGCAUCACAGAAAACCUCAAAUGGUUUGGAUUCAUCAGGAGGAGUCUGAACUGGAGCUGUGACUAACUUCUCUUUGAGGGUGUUAAAAGCUACGUCACAUUCAGGCGACCAGACAUACUUCACAUGCUUUUGGAGAAGGUUUGAAAGAGGCUUCGCGAUCUUUGAGAAAUUCUCAAUGAACCUUCGACAAUAGCUUGCGAGCCCAAGGAAGCUGCGGAGUUGCUUCACAUUCUAAGGCGGUUCCCAAUUCACAAUUGCAGACACCUUCUCAGGAUUAACAGCUAUGCCCUUGGCGGAGAUGAUAUGCCCAAGGUAGAGAACCUCAUCGAGCCAAAACUCGCACUUUGAAAACUUCACAUAGAACUGAUGUUCUCUGAGUUUAUCCAGCACCAAUCUCAAGUGCUUGGCGUGAUCCUCUUUGUUCUUGGAAAAGACCAAAAUGUCAUUGAGAUAGACCAAGAAGAAGUCAUUUGUGUAGGCGUUGAAGAUGAAGUUCAUCAUGCGAGAGAAUGUUGGAGGAGCGUUGACAAGGCUGAAAGACAUGACAGUGUAUUCAUAUGAACCAUAGCUUUUUUGAAUGCUGUCUUGGGGAUAUCUUGUUCAUGAAUGCGAAUCUGAUGAUAGCCCAAACGGAGGUCAAGCUUGGAUAAUACUUGAGCACCUUUAAGUUGUUCGAAAAGCUCAUUGAUGUUGGGAGGUGGGUACUUGUUCUUUAUGGUCUUCUUGUUCAAUGGAUGGUAGUUGACACAAAGUCGGUCCGUUCCAUCCUUCUUCUUGACAAAAAGAACACCACAACCCCAUGGAGAAGAACUUGGUCGGAUGAGACCCAUACGCUCUUGAAUAUCGAGUUGUUUCUUCAGCUCCUUCAACUCUUCAGGUCCAAGCUUGUAAGGACGUUUGCAAACAGGUUCCGUGCCAGGCUCAAGAUCAAUGACGAAUUCAACUGGCCUGUGAGGAGGCAUUCUGGAAGCUCUUCUGGAAAGACGUCUUGAUAUUCACAAACGACUGGAAUCUGAGAGAUGGCAUCCAACUCGCCCUUCUCAUUGAGAGAAAACAGUCGAAUGGUAUCAUCACGAGCGGCAAAGACAAUCACAUCCUUAGAUGAGUGUGUCAAUUGAAUCUGCCUAGCAGCACAAUCAAGCUGAGCCUUGUGCUUAGAAAGCCAGUCCAUGCCGAGAAUAAGAUCAAUAUCCGAGUCACCAAGAACAUUAGGAGAAGACAGAAACUUAUAGUCGCCCAUCGUGAUGGUAACAUCCGGAACCAUGGAGUUAGCGUUCAUGCGUUUACCCGGUGAGACAACUGCUAACGGACUAGGCAAAACUUGGAAAGCCAACUCAUGCUUAGAUGCAAAUGGUCUCGAAAUGAAACAAUGCGAUGCACCAGUGUCAAAAAGAACUUUUGCAGGGAUAUCGUUAACAGGAAGGUUACCCAUGAUCACUUCUGACGAGUCCUCUGCCUGAGCUGCGUUCAUCAUGUUGACCUUUGCAAACUUGGGAUUAUGCUUGACCACUGCAUUGCUGGCAGAUCUUACAGGAGGAGGAGGAGGAAGAUGCCUCUGAUUGAAGCAUUUAUUUGCAUAGUGACCCUUCUGCUGACACUUGUUGCACGUGACCUCUGAGAGUGGACGGUGAUACAGAGCACUUGAUCUUGGAGCAUGAGACGAAGUCUUGUUCUGAAAGCCUGGGUUGGGUGGGUGGGAAGAUCCAUUGCCACAUUUGCUCUUGUGCUGAUAAGGCUAACGGGAUGGAGGAGUAGGAGGCAACCAAUACUUUUGCUGCUUAGCUGCCACUUGAGUUGAGGAAGAAGAAGGAGUUGCAUCCCCGACUCUCUUCUUGGAAGCAUCGCACUUGAGUUGAGCAGCUUCUUGCUUCAGUGCCAUGUUGUAGAAUUCAUCAUACUUCUUCGGCUCAAAAAGCACAAGGGCUAGUUGCAGAUCUUCUCUGAGGCCACCUCUGAACUGAUAAAUCAUGCUCUUAUCAUCAGGGACGUCUUGCUUAGCAAAACGAGCGAGCUUCUGGAACAUGAUGUUGUACUGGUAAACAGACAAGCUGUCUUGCUUCAGAUUGCGGAACUCCUCACGCUUGCUCUCAAAAACACUCUGAGGAAUGUGGUGAGCUUUGAAGUCUUGGCGGAAUUCAUCCCAGGUAAUCACACGACCUCCUCUGGAAUCUUUGUAUUGCUGAUACCACUCUGUAGCUUGGUCUUUGAGUUGGAAUGAGGCAAACUUGACAAAGUCCUCAGGUCUGGCGUUGCUGCACUCGAAAUGUUUGCAGAUAUCCAUGAGCCAAUCAUCAGCGUUUGUUGCCUUGACACAGUUAUUGAAGGUCUUUGGCUGGUUUGCGAGGAACUGGUUGAGUGUAGCAAACUGAUUUUGAUUGUUUCCAUGGCCUUGAUUUCCUUGGUUGCACUCUUGCAAGAGUUGCAUAAUCAGUUGUGUGUUGGCGUUGGUAGCGGCCAUCACAGCUUGCCAUGCCUCCGGAGGUGGAGGUGGUGGUGGUGGUUCCAGAUUCUGAUGCGUUGGAGGAGCCAUCCUGAAGAGGGUGACAUCCGUUAGCAUCUUGAAAGACAUAUAUUCAAGCUGAAUCAAAUGGAUCGAAAUAGCAACAUAUAGUCUUAACAUUCGAAAAAGAAUGAACGAAUGCAUUCCAAAUUAAAUGGUCAACUUCCAUAAAUUGAGAAGCCACUUAGAUAGAGGUAGAAGAAUAAAACAACAAGGUACGGACAUGAACAAAUACUUGGUAAGGAUUACCCAAUCACAAACCAAAUAUCUGCGGAAGAAAUACUAGAGCUACAUGAAUUCCCACCUAUGAAACUCCCGAAAUUUUCCGGUUAUGCAAUCAGGUGUCGGGGAUACAGGGGAAGCAUAAUAUCUCACCCAAAUCUAGCAAAUCCUACAUCCAGCUGUAUCCAUCCUUCAACACAUAACCAAGAAACCUUCGGAAAUCAUUUACCUCAACCUUCGAAAAGCAUCCGUUAUACGAGUUAUGGCAAUACUCCCGAACUCCCGCCCCAGUACUGGGUGGCGUCAAGGUUAUCUCACCAACAAAUGCAUAAAAGAGAUUUUCGAUGUCGGCGAAACUCAGGUAUUCCAGAACUGCAAUGAUAAAAUUGUGACGACAACACCUCGGAUCUCAACUCCCCGGGACACUGCCACAACCCCUAAAUGUCAGGAGGCACCCAGAACAAUGUUCUUGUCACAAAACCAUCGGAACGAUUCCAAGAUACCCGCAUGAUCCUAAAAAAAUUUAGUGAAAUUUGAGAAGAGAAGAGUCAAAAAUCUACGUCAGGAUGCCUGACCAGAGCGACGAAGGGACUGAGGAGUUAAAAGAAUCCUACUCUCUGAUAUAUAUAUAAUCCUAUAAGACUCAAAACAUUUUUCUAGACUCAACAACGCCAAUGAUUCGAUCAAACAGGGGGGCUCCUAAGUCGGGGCAGGCUCUGAUUACCAACUUGUAACACCCACGAUGCGGCUAUAUCUCCCGCGUGUCGAAGCACGACUUAGAGGAAUAAACGUAUUGUAGGCAAUGUCGCAAGAGGGGUAAUCUUUACACAUCCCAUGUACUGAAACAAAAGAGAUACAUAGUUGGCUUACAAUCGCCACUUCACCCAAGAGCAUAAAUAUAACAUUACAAUCAUCCAGAUACAAUCGAGGUCCGACUACGGAACCAAAAUAAAGACAACCCCAAAUGCAUAAUGUCCUCGAUCGCCCCAACUGGGCUCCACUACUGAUCGUCUGGAAAGGAAACGUAGUAUCGUCCUGAGUCCUCGUCGAACUCCCACUUGAGCUCAGUCGCAUCUCCUAGAGCGGUAUCAUCGGUCCCUGCAUCUGGUUUUGGAAGUAAUCUGUGAGUCACAGGGACUCAGCAAUCUAACACCCUCCCGAUCAAGACUAUUUAAGCUUAUGGGUCGGUAAAAGGUAUGAGGUGGAGCUGCAGCAAGCACUAGCAUAUAUGGUGACUAACAUAUGCAAAUGAGAGCGAGAAGAGAAGGCAAGGCAUGGUCGAGAAACUAUGAUCAAGAAGUGAUCCUAGAAAUAUUUACGUUCAAGCAUAACAUGAGACCGUGUUCUCUUCCCGGACUCCGCCGAAAAGAGACCAUCACGUCUACACAUGCUGUGGAUUCAUUUUAAUUAAAUUUAAGUUUCAGGUUUUCUACAACCGGACAUUAACAAAUUCCCAUCUGCCCAUAACCGCGGGCACGACUUUCGAAAGUUCAAAUCCCUGCAGGGGUGUCCCAACUUAGCCCAUCACAAGCUCUCACGGUCAACGAAGGAUAUUCCUUCUCCUAGGACGACCCGAUCAGACUCGGAAUCCCGGUUACAAGACAUCUCGACAAUGCUAAAACUAAACCAGCAAAGCCACCCGAAUGUGCCGACAAAUCCUGAUAGGAGCUGCACAUAUCUCGUUCUCAGGGCACACCAGAUUGUCCAAGGUUCCGGUAGGCCAGCCCAGAGUUGCCCCUGGUGGCCACCGGCAGCUGACAGGUUGGACCAACACUCAGAGGAGCACUGGCCCAGGGGUUUAAAAUAAAGAUGACCCUUGAGUCCGCAGAAACCAAGGGGAAAAGGCUAGGUGGCAAAUGGUAAAAUCAAAGUUGGGCCUUGCUGGAGGAGUUUUAUUCAAGGCGAACUGUCAAGGGGUUCCCAUUAUAACCCAACCGCGUAAGGAACGCAAAAUCAAGGAACAUAACACCAGUAUGACAGAAACUAGGGCGGCAAGAGAGGAACAAAACACCAGGCAUAAGGCCGAGCCUUCCACCCUUUACCAAGUAUAUAGCUGCAUUAAAGUAGACAAGAUAUAAUAAUGAUAUCCCAACAAUAAACAUGCUCCAACAAGGAACAAACUCCAAUCUUCACCUGCAACUAGCAACGCUAUAAGAGGGGCUGAGCAAAGCGGUAACAUAGCCAAACAACGGUUUGCUAGGACAAGGUGGGUUAGAGGUUUGACAUGGCAAUAUGGGAGGCAUGGUAAGCAAGUGGUAGGUAUCAUAGCAUAGGCAUAGCAAUAGAGCAAGCAACUAGCAAGCAAAGAUAGAAAUGAUUUCGAGGGUAUGGUCAUCUUGCCUGCAAAGUUCUCCGAGUUGACGUAAGCUUGAUCCUCGUAAACGUUCUCAACGGGUUCCUCGAUCAUGUACUCGUCUCCUGGCUCUACCCAAAGCAAGAACACAAGCAAAGGGAGACACAAUCAACCACGGUGCAAUGUGCAAGCAACAUGAUGCAAAACAUGGCAUGAUACGCGGGAUGUGAUAUGCAGUGCAUAUGCGUGCUUCAGAAAGGAAAGAUUGAACCAGGCCUCAAUUUGUUAAACCAAGAGUGCCGCUAGAAAGAGGACUUGAUUUCGGUCGAAAUCGAUAUAAAGAUCACCGAAAUCGGAUGCACGGUUUGCAAAUGGCAAGCAAAACAAUAAUGUCACAAAGCUGCGAUCAACAGCACGAGGCCAUCUAAAUGCAUCAAGAAAAAUAAACUACUGCACUCUAACAUAGCAACAAAGCACAUGGCAGUGAUCCACUUAAGAUGCUUGACAAAAGAUGAACACUGAGCUACGUCUAAUUCACACAAUAGCAGGUUCAAACAAGCAAGGCAAAAGUGCAAAAGAUAUCAGGUUCACAAACUUAGUGAAAACAACAUGUCAGGAUUUAACAUCAGGAAGCAAUGUUUAGAGCAAGAUAACAACAUGCUACAGGAACAUAUCAUGGCGAAUCAAGGCAUGGCAUGAAACUAAACAAAGCAUAUAACAAAAGUCCCUUACUGACCAUAAGCCAAAAGGAAUCAGAAGAUACAAUGGCAACCAUGUAAACAUAGCAAGUUUCGUUAACAGAUUCAGACUUAGCAGAAAACUGGAACAUGGCAAAAUAGAAUUACGUAGGCAUGUUUGCAAGCUCGAUGCAGUCACCACAAGGCAUUGCAUGACAAGCUAAUCAUACACCCAGCAAGUACACAUGUUAAAUAAGCUAACCAUGGCAAGAACACUCUCAUAGCAUGCAUGGAUCAACUACAACAACCUCGGCAAAAUUGCUUAACAGGUAAACAAUCUGCCAGGAACAUUUUAUAGCAAAAGUAGAGCAAGAUUGAGUCAUGAUAGGUUGCUCCAUAAUUGCAAACAAAGACAUGGAUGAAUAGAGCAUAAAAAUAUCUCAAAAACAUCCUUACUGAACAUGCUCAAAAGAGGCAUGGAUCACUCUGUAGCAACAUGAAUACAUGGCAUAAAAUUAUCAUCCGGGAAGUGACUUAGAAGAAAUCUAAGUCCCUAAAAUCAGCAACAUCACGAGAGCUACUUUGCAUGCUUGUGCUAGUCACCACAAUGAUCACAAAAAUACAUGGCAUACACCCCUGUAAAGAUGGCAUGGCAUAUAACAAAACACAUGUAGGGCUCAAGUCCAUAGGAGGCACACAUUAAACAUGGAAAAAAUGACAAAUGUACAUAUUCUGAUAAGAGACAGACACUAACAUUACAUAGCACUCUUGCAACAGCAUUUAGGGCAUCAAGAUGAUCUCAAAUGAACAUUGUGCAAUGGAAUGAAAUGAAGUGCACAUCCAGAUGAACAAUUUGAUAGGCUACACGCCCAAAACGGAGCCAUGGAUGUAAGGUUAUGACAAGAUGAAGUUGCCUAAAAAUAAUGCAAACUAGGGACUUAGUGAGGGAAAAAAGGUCAACCUCUAUGGAUCUAGGGUUUCCAGCACGGGUCUCGAGGUGGCGGCGGAUCUCGCCGGAGAGCUCGCCGUAGAACGCUGCAGUGGCCGGAGUUCGUCGGGGACGGCGGAGACGAGGCCGGAGAGGAGGGACGGCGAGGUGGAGGCCGGAUCCGUCGGGGACGGCGAGGUACGCGGCGGGCGAGGCGACCGGAGAGGCGGCCGGUGACGGUGGCGCAGUGGCGCGCCGGUGGCGGAGAAGCGGCGAGGGCUUGCGAGGCGGCGGCGCUCGGGCGCGGGGGAGGCGCGGCGGCGGUGAUGGGCCGGGCGGGCCCGAUCCGGGCUCGCCAGGCCGGCGGCGGAGAGGACGGCGGCGGGACACGUGGCGGGCGGAGAUUGGUUGGGCGACGGCGGGCGGACGUGUCCGGCCGUCGCGGACGCGUCCGGUGGCGGCGGGGGACGGAAAUUAGGGUUUCACCCGCAAAUGAAGGAGGGGAGGCCUAUUUAUACAUAGAAGGAGCUAGGAGGCUCCAAAUUGAGCACGGUUUUCGGCCACGCGAUCGUGAUCGAACGACAUAGAUGAUGGAGGAGGUUUAGGUGGGUUUGGGGCCACUUUGGAGAGGUGUUGGGCUGCAACACACACGAGGCCUUUACGGUUCCUCGGUUAACCGUUGGAGUAUCAAACGAAGUCGAAAUGGCACGAAACUUGACAGGCAGUCUACCGGUAGUAAACCAAGGUCGCUUGGCAAGUCUCGGUCCAAUCCGAGAACGUUUAACACCCGCACACGAAAAGAGGCAAAAGGGGACACCGGAGGACAUAGGAGCGCCGGAAUGCAAAAUGGACAACGGGGAAAAUGCUCGGAUGCAUGAGACGAACAUGUAUGCAAAUGCGAUGCACAUGAUGACAUGAUAUGAGAUGCAUGACAAGACAAAAUGCAAAACGAAGACGAAACCCAACAACAAGGAAACAUCAUAACUUAGUGCCGGAAAUGGCAAGAGUUGGGAUACAAAUAUGGCAAAUUACAUACAGGGCGUUACAUAAAUUGUUGUAUGAGAUGAUCAUGUUUUGAUAAAGUUAUCGGCAACUGGCAGAAGCCUUAUGGUUGUCUCUUUAUUGCAUAAGAUGCAAGCGCCAUAUUAUUGCUUUACUUUAUCGCUAUGCGAUAACAAUAGUUGCAAAAGAAAUAGUUGGCGAGACGACCAUGUGACGACACAUUGAUAAAGAUCAAGAUGAUGGAGAUCAUGGUGUCAUGCCGGUGACGAUGGAGAUCAUGGCGGUAGUUUGGAGAUGGAGAUCAAAGGCACAAGAUGAUGAUGGCCAUGUCAUGUCACAUAUUUUGAUUGCAUGUGAUGUUUAUCUUUUAUGCAUCUUAUUUUGCUUAGUAUGACAGUAGCAUUAUGAGAUGAUCCCUUACUAAAAUUUCAAGGUAUAAGUGUUCUCCCUGAGUAUGCACCAUUGCGACAGUUCUUCAUGCUGAGACACCACGUGAUGAUCGGGCGUGAUAAGCUCUACGUUCACAUACAACGGGUGCAAGCCAGUUUUGCACAUGCAGAAUACUCAGGUUAAACUUGACGAGCCUAGCAUAUGCAGAUAUGGCCUCGGAACACUGAGACUGAAAGGUCGAACGUGAAUCAUAUAGUAGAUAUGAUCAACAUGGUGAUGUUCACCAUUGAAAGCUACUCCAUCUCACGUGAUGAUCGGACGUGGUUUAGUUGAUAUCGAUCACGUGAUCAUAUAGAUGACUAGAGGGAUGUCUAUCUAAGUGGGAGUUCUUAAGUAAUAUGAUUAAUUGGACUUAAAUUUAUCAUGAACUUAGUCCUGACAGCAUUUGCAUAUCUAUGUUGUAUAUCAAUUGCUCGUGUAUAGCUUCCCCAUUUUAUUUAUGAUAUGUUCCUAGAGAAAACUAAGUUGAAAGUUAAUAGUAGCAAUUAUGCGGACUAGGUCUGUGAUCUGAGAUUAUCCUCAUUGUUGCAUAGAAGAAUUAUGUCCUUGAUGCACUGCUAGGUGACAAAACUAUUGCAGGAGCAAAUGCAGAUGUUAUGAACGUUUGACAAGCUCGGUAUGAUGACUACUUGAUAGUUUAGUGCACCAUGCUUUACGGCUUAGAACCAAGACUUCAAAAAUGUUUGGAAACGCCAUGGAGCAUAUGAGAUGUUCCAAGAGUGAAAUUGGUAUUUCAGACUCAUGCCCGAGUCGAGAGGUAUGAGACCUAUGACAAGUAUUUUUGCCUGAGUACUACAAUCGCUUGAAUCAAGUGGGAUUUAAUCUUCUAGAUAAGAUAGUGAUUAACAAAGUUCUCUAGUCACUAUCACCAAGUUACUGGAACUUUGUGAUGAACUAUAAAUAUGCAAGGGGUGACGAAAACGAUUCCUCAAGCUCUUCGCGAUGCUGAAAUCGGUGAAGGUAGAAAUCAAGAAAAGCAUCAAGUGUUGAUGGUUGACAAGACCACUAGUUUCAAGUAAAAGGGCAAGGGAAAGAAAGGGAACUUGAAUAAGAAUGACAAGCAAGUUGCCACUCCCAUGAAGAAACCCAAAGCUAGACCCAAGCCUGAAAUCGAGUGCUUCUACUGCAAAGGAAAUGGUCACUGGAAGCGGAACUGCCCCAAAUACUUGGCGGAUAAGAAGGAUGGCAAAGUGAACAAAAGUAUAUAUGAUAUAUAUGUUAUUGAUGUGUACUUUACUAGUAUUCAUAGUAGCCCCUAGGUAUUUGAUACUGGUUUAGUUGCUAUGAUUAGUAACUUGGAACGGGAGUUAUAAAAUGAAUAGAGACUAGUUGAGGGCAAGGUGACGAUGUGUGUUGGAAGUGAUUCCAAGGUUGAUAAGAUCACCACCGCACACUCCCUUUACCUUCGGGAUUAGUGUUGAACCUAAAAUAAAUUUUAUUUGGUGUUUAGGUUGAGCAUAAUAUGAUUGGAUCAUGUUUAUUGCAAUACAGUUAUUCAUUCAAGUCAAAGAAUAAUUGUUAUUCUGUUUACAUGAAUAAAACCUUCUAUGGUCAUACACCCAAGGUGAAUGGUUUAUUGAAUCUCAAUUGUGGUGAUACACAUAUUCAUAGUAUUGAAGCCAAAAGAUAUAAGUUUAAUAAUGAUAGUGCAACUUAUUUGUGGAACCGUCAUUUAGGUCAUAUUGGUGUAAAGCGCAUGAAGAAACUCCAUGCUGAUGGGCUUUUGGAAUCACUUGAUUAUGAAUCACUUGAUGCUUGUGAACCAUGCCUCAUGGGCAAGAUGACUAAGACUCUGUUCUCCGGAACAAUGGAGCGAGCAACAGACUUAUUGGAAAUAAUACAUACUGAUGUAUGCGGUCCGAUGAGUGUUGAUGCUGACGACGGGUAUCGUUAUUUUCUAACCUUCACAGAUGAUUUGAGCAGAUAUGGGUAUAUCUACUUGAUGAAACAUAAGUCUGAAACAUUUGAAAAGUUCAAAAAAAUCAGAGUGAAGUGGAAAAUCAUCGUAACAAGAAAAUUAAGUUUCUACGAUCUGAUCGUGGAGGUGAAUAUUUGAGUUAUGAGUUUGGUCUUCAUUUGAAACAAUGCGGAAUAGUUUCGCAACUCACCCACCUGGAACACCACAGCGUAAUGGUGUGUCCGAACAUCGUAACCGCACUUUAUUAGAUAUGGUGCGAUCUAUGAUGUCUCUUACUGAUUUACCGCUAUCUUUUUGGGGGUUAUGCAUUAGAGACAGUUGCAUUCACGUUAAAUAGGGCACCAUCUAAAUUUGUUGAGAUGACAUCGUAUGAACUAUGGUUUGGCAAGAAACCAAAGCUGUUGUUUCUUAAAGUUUGGGGUUGCGAUGAUUAUGUGAAAAAGUUUCAAACUAAUAAACUCGAACCCAAAUCGGAGAAGUACGUCUUCAUAGGAUACCCAAAAGAAACUGUUGGGUACACCUUCUACCACAGAUCUGAAGGCAAGAUAUUCGUUGCUAAGAGUGGAUCCUCUCUAGAGAAGGAGUUUCUCUCGAAAUAAGUGAGUGGGAGGAAACUAGAACUUGAUGAGGUAAUUGUACCUUCUCCCUAAUUGGAAAGUAGUUCAUCACAGAAAUCGGUUCCAGUGAUUCCUACACCAAUUAGUGAGGAAGCUAAUGAUGAUGGUCAUGAAACUUCAGAUCAAGUUACUACCGAACCUCGUAGGUCAACAAGAGUACGAUCCACACCAGAGUGGUACGGUAAUCCUGUUCUGGAGAUCAUGUUACUUGACCAUGACGAACCUACGAACUAUGAGGAAGCGAUGAUGAGCCCAGAUUCCGCGAAAUGGCUUGAAGCCAUGAAAUCUGAGAUGGGAUCCAUGUAUGAAAACAAAGUGUGGACUUUGAUUGACUUGCCCGAUGAUCGGUGAGCCAUUGAGAAUAAAUGGAUCUUCAAGAGGAAGACGAACGUUGAUAGUAGUGCCACUAUCUACAAAGCUCGAAUUGUCGCAAAAGGUUUUUAACAAGUUCAAGGUGUUGACUACGAUGAGAUUUUCUCACUUGUAUCGACGCUGAAAGUCUGUCCGCAUCAUGUUAGCAAUUGCCGCAUUUUAUGAAAUCUGGCAAAUGGAUGUCAAAACUGUAUUCCUUAAUAGAUUUAUUAAAGAAGAGUUGUAUAUGAUGCAAGCAGAAGGUUUUCUCAAUCCUAAAGGUGCUAAAAAGUGUGCAAGCUCCAGCAAUCCAUCUAUGGACUGGUGCAAGCAUCUCGGAGUUGGAAUAUAUGCUUUGAUGAGUUGAUCAAAGCAUAUAGUUUUAUACAGACUUGCGGUGAAGCCUGUAUUUACAAGAAAGUGAGUGGGAGCACUACAGCCUUUCUGAUAAGUAUAUGUGAAUGGCAUAUUGUUGAUCGGAAAUGAUGUAGAAUUUUUUGGAAAGCAUAAAGGAGUGUUUGGAAGGAGUUUUUCAAAGAAAGUCCUCGGUGAAGCUGCUUACAUAUUGAGCAUCAAGAUCUAUAGAGAUAGAUAAAGAUGCUUGAUAAGUUUUUUCAAUGAGUACAUACCUUCACAAGUUUUUGAAGUAGUUCAAAAUGGAUCAGUCAAAGAAGGAGUUCUUGCCUAUGUUGCAAGGUGUGAAAUUGAGUAAAGACUCAAAACCCAACCACGGCAGAAAAUAGAAAGAGAAUGAAAAGUCAUUCCCUAUGCCCGAGUCAUAGGUUCUAUAAAGUAUGCUAUGUUGUGUACCAGACCUAUUGUGUACCCCACCAUAAAGUUUGGCAAGAGGGUACAAUAGUGAUCCAGGAGUGGAUCACUGGACAGCGGUCAAAAUUAUCCUUAGUGGAAUAAGGAUAUGUUUCUCGGUUAUGGAGGUGAUAAAGAUUUCAUCGUAAAGAGUUAUGUCGAUGCAAGCUUUUACACCAAUUCGGAUGACUCUGAGUCUCAAUCUGGAUACAUAUUAAAAGUGGGAGCAAUUAGCUAGAGUAGCUCCAAGCAGAGCACUGUAGACAUAGAAAAUUUGCAAAAUACAUACGGCUCUGAAUGUGUCAGACCCAUUGAGUAAACUUCUCUCACAAGCAAAACAUGAUCACUCUUUGGGUGUUAAUCACAUAGCGAUGUGAAGUAGAUUAUUGACUCUAGUAAACCCUUUGGGUAUUAGUCACAUGGAGAUGUGAACUAUUGGUGUUAAAUCACAUAACGAUGUGAACUAGAUUAUUGAUUCUAGUGCAAGUGGGAGACUGAAGGAAAUAUGCCCUAGAGGCAAUAAUGAAGUUAUUAUUUAUAUUUCCUUAUAUCAUGAUAAAUGUUACUAGGACUACUCCGUGUGGGAGGUGGAAUCCUACUAGGACUAGGGAGUCCUAGUAGGACUCCACACCUUGGCGCGCCCCCUUAGGGUCGGCUGCCUCUCCCUCUCCCUCCUUUAUAUACGUGACCAGGGGGCACCCCAUAGACACACAAGUUAAUCUUUUGGCCGUGUGUGGUGCCCCCCUCCAUAGUUACACACCUCGGUCAUAUCGUUGUAGUGCUUAGGCGAAGCCCUGCGUCGGUAACUUCAUCAUCACCGUCACCAUGCCGUCGUGCUGGCGGAACUCUCCCUCGGCCUCAACUGGAUCAAGAGUUCUAGGGACGUCAUCGAGCUGAACGUGUGCUGAUCGCAGAGGUGUCAUGCGUUCGUACUUGGAUCGGUUGGAUCGCGAAGACAUUCGACUACAUCAACCGCGUUACUAAACGCUUCCGCUUUCGGUCUAUGAGGGUAUGUAGACACACUCUCCCGCUCUCAUUGCUAUGCAUCUCCUAGAUAGAUCUUGCGUGAUUAUAGGUACAAUUUUGAAAUAUUGCGUUCCCCAACAACAAAAACCCUCACCCCUCCCUCCACCCCCUCGGCCCCUCCGGUAUGUUCCCUGUUCACACCUGCACAAGCACCUCCGUGUCUAUGCCAUGGCACCACCUAUCGCGGCGGUAAGCACUUAGCUCGAUGCCUGCCGCUGCCGCCAGGCUGCCGGCAAAGCCCGCCGCAUUUCGCCACUUCCGCUUGCCGCCACCUAUCGCCAUCGACUUUCUCGACGCUGCUUGUGGUCGACCCAGCUCCGCUCGGUUGGGGAAUCUGUCGUACUGAGGGUUCUUUCUCAUGGACGAUAAGGUAACUAAUUUAACAAGAUAUUAUCUCAUCUCUUAUCCCAGUUCAUCUGUCUCCUUUAAUCACCCGACAGAAAUCACCGUGAAUUCGUUUUUAUUCGAGCUGAUUUGAGGGUAUUCUUUCAUUCAUAUAAUGUACAGUGUGCCGACACUUAAGGACUUUGUGACCUCCGCCAGAGAUUCCAUCUCACCGUACCAGAUAACUUGAGGACGCGCGCGAUAUGUUCAAUCUCACCCUAAAUCAGUUGGCAUGGCCUACUUUCCUGAACAUAUUCUAAAUAUUGCUACAUUUGGAUAAAAGGUGCCACAUGCACCAUAUACAUCAAAGGGGAUUUUUCCCCUCUUCUUUCUAUAUUAGGCAAAUUAAUAAUGUAUUGUUCUUUCGAUUACUCUCAUAUUUCCAUGACAUCAUGUUUACCCUAUCUAUUUAAUUAUAGAUUUUUGUCCUUCGAUUUCAACUGCUGUACAAUUCUUUCAAUUUAGGCCCAUAUUUGCAUGUUACCAUAUUUUCUUUAACAAUCCUACCAUUUUCUGCAGAACAUCCCUUGCUAUGCAACAGAUUAUGUAGUGCACAAUUUUUUCCUUUACAUAGAUGAAGGCUCCACGGAUGUCAUACUACACACAAACCAUGGAUUUACAAUCAUUGCUACUGUAAGACUUGAUGAACGUGGUGGCUCCUAUUUUGGCACUAGCUUUUGGAAAGAAAUUGCAAAGUUUUAUGUACUGAAAGCUGGCAGUAAAAUUGCACUGCACAUAAAAGGGCCUGGUCAUGAGAUAUAUGCUAACUUCCCCGACAAAAUCAUCCGUCCAGACUUUGUCCGAAGUAAGUUUUCUUUUCAACUAUCUGCAUGUUGACUUAGCCAGCAAUGUCAAAUGAAUUGUGUAGUAUUUAAGCAACCAAUUGUUAUUCCCUUUUCUUACUAUAUUCCCACCUAAUAACUUCUAGUUACCAAUACACUUUUCUAUUGCAUUGUUUUAACUAAAUAUUCCAUGUACUCCCAUUUCUAUCAGAAAGCGCCACUGACAAGGAGACUCCAGAGGUGGAGAACGGAGCUGCCAACAAGCGGAGGCGGGGCGAGCUAGAACCACAAGCGACUCCGGCAGGACUAGACUUCAUCAGCAGCCUCCCCGAUGAUAUGUUGAGAGUCAUCAUCUCCCUCCUCCCAAUCAAAUAUGGGGCGCGGACAAACGUCCUUUCCCGGCGGUGGCGCCCCCCAUGGAACUCCAGCCCUCUCGACCUCAUCGACACCCACGAGCUCUGCCAUGGCUAUCACAAAAGCUUGGAUGUGUUCUCCAAGAUCCUCGGCAGUCACCUUGGCCCAACCAAAGGCCUUAGAAUGGGCAAGUUCUAUUCCAACGUCAAGGACCAAGCCAAGCUUGACGACUGGUUCCGAUCCCCCGCCCUAGAUCAGCUCGAGGAGCUCACUUUUGAUGAUGGGCAUAUGCGGUUGCUGCCAACGUCUACACUCCGCCUCGCGCCCACGCUGUGCGUCUCCAAGUUCAGGAACUACCAUCCCCCCCCCCUUAAUGACGCACCCUCACUUAUUCUACCAUGACUGAAGCACCUCGAGCUCAUCGCCGUCUGCCUCUCAAACGGUGACAUGAAGCGCCUGCUCCGUGGCUGUACUGCACUCGAGUACCUUCGUCUUCAGGCGAUCAAUGGGUUGAGUACCUUCCACAUCACCUCCAUGACUCUUCAGACUAUUUAUGUGUGUUGCUGGUGCGGUGGAAAGACAUCACAAGAUGUGUACCACGGUAUGGUCAGUGAGGACACACCUGCACUUGAGAGAUUACUUGUAGUUGAUCAAGAAGGUCCAACAAGAAUCAAUGUCAUUUAUACGCUGAAAUUGACAGUGGUGGGCUACUCGUCUCACAAAUACUCCGAACUUGUUAUUGGAUCCAUACCUGUUCAGGUACAAUAGCCACCUUCUACCUCUCCUUCUACAAAUUAACAUUAUUUCUAAUUUUGAAGAUGUUUGUUCAUCUGUCAUUCAGAAAGUGAUUCUGACAAGCUUGACCCCGAAACUGCGCAUAGUGAAGGUCUUGGCACUAGAAUCUAUCGGCCCCAACCUGGAGCAAGCUGUCAAUUUCCUGAGAUGCUUUCCAUGCCUGGAGAAGCUAUAUAUCGAGGUGAUGUUCCUUUCCUGUUAAAUGUUAACCAUAAGGGAGUUCAAGUUUUCCUAGGGAACUUUUCAUCCACUCCAACCUCUUGUGAAGAAGGCUACAUUUUUCUAGAAUGUAAUCAAAUGCCCAUGUUAAUCAUGUCAGAUCGAAGAUGGCAUGUUAGUGCAUUUUCCAAAUCCUGUAAACCAAAUAGGCCUAUAGUAAUGUUCAAAACUGCAUGUAGGCACUAACAUGUUUUCUUCUUUUGCAUAUAAGAUUAGGCCCAGUGGUGGAUAAUGUGAUACAAUAUAACAAUCACGUCGAAUGCCUAGAUCUGCAUCUCUCAGAAAUUACUUUGAACUCCUACCUAGGGACCUUACCGGAGAUUAUAUUCGCCAGGUUCUUUGUUCUCAGAGCAAGGGUGCUGAAGGAAAUUAGAUUUGCCCUACAUUUAUUUCGCAAAAAUGAAUGGUUUGUUGAUCAGUGCCGGCGCCUGCGGCAGAAUGGAGUAGGCUCCAAAAAUGUUGAAUUUCAUUUUGGAACUUCAGAUGACAUAGUAAUCGGAAGUCAUCGUGUCAACCCCAUACAUGACUUCUCAGUGGUUGACCCCUUUGCAAAAAUUGUGAGGUUUCGAAACCAGACUUAGAAGCGGUGAUAUUAGUUUGAACCUCUCUGAUAUCCAUGUUCAGCAGAUCAGCGCGAGCGUUUGCAGCUGAUGAGCUGAAUUUCAUUCCUAAUAUCAGUUUGAACCUUGUAAUCUUCGAAUUUGAGCCAUAUAACUCUAGAAUUUGAACCUUGUAACAUUUGGAGCUUUUAUGGUACAAUCGUUGAAAUGGCAUCGUAUGAGACUUGUAUAUUGCUAACACUAUUUUGACCUUAAUAUGAAAUGGUCUUAGAUUUUAUUAACCAUUCUCGAAUCAGUUUACCUUGUCGAUCUCACAGCACACGAUCUGUAUAGCUAACUCGACUGCGAUCUUCGACAUUAUUGCACACAAUUGGUUUCUUCCACCGUGUGCACUGUAGAGCGCAGAAUUACUUAUCGCACUCGAGUGUCCAUCAUCACCCUUCUGUGUAACUUUGACCUCAUCACCCACGGAUAAACUUAUGAUCGAAGGCAUUCCACACACUUCGUUUUUACAAAGCUUUUUGCUAAUAAACGCCCACCAUUUGUCCCUCUUCUAGUCGGCGCAUGGCCAAACUAGCCGGGUGGGAAGCUUGCGCGAUAAACGGUGCAGUAGCGGGGGAACAGGCUCACCGACGAUACAUUUGGUGCCUCUUCGAGCCCACGCGUGCGGUGCGGUGUUGUCAAGCGUGCACUGGAAUCCUCCGCUAUGAACGCCGUGAGAAGACGUGACGAUUACAGGCUGGCCGGCCCCCAUUUAUUACAGCGGCGAAUUAACCCUUGUGUCUCUUCAACCUUUCGAUCGUGCCCCACCAUUACAGGAAGCACACCCACCAUGAGAAAUUCUUAGAGGGUAUCUUGUGCAGCUCCAAUGGGGCUCCGAGCGGCUGCUGACGACGAGCAGCAGUUCACCAUGCGUGUCGUGGUGGACACCCACGGAAGGUUCGUGGACCUCUCGGUGGUGUACACCAACAACCCGGUCUGGGUGGAGCACUCCAUCCACAUCAUGGAGUUGUUGCUUGCCGCGGAGAAGUACAAGGUGGUCGGGUUCGACUUCGAGUACACCCGCGCUCCUGCCGGGUCUCGUCCCAAGGUCGUCGUUGACAGAUGUGUGUGUGCCACCACGUCCCCGUCUACCACUACUGCCUGGCCACAAGGCCUUGCGAGCGUUUCGCCAGGUUUGUCAAUAGCCCCCAUACAUGUUCGCUAUGGUGGACAUCACAAUGAUGUAAAGGCGCUCGAGAACUCGGGCAUCUCCUGCCAGAAUCUUGUCAACAUCCAGGGCCAAUACAAGGUCUGGGGCAGCAAGGAGCAUGAGAAGGACUCACUGGUUCACGUCGCCGAGGCCAUCAUCGACCCCUACUACAGAGACAUGAAGGAUUUGUGCAACAAGGACAAGCAUGCCUGGCACUCGGCCUGGAUGGAGAAACUCGACAAAGCUCACGUCAUGUACGCGGCCAAGGAGGCAUACACGAGCUACGACAUGUACAGGCGGAUCGUUGACAUGAGGAAGUGCCUCCUUCCCCAAAAAGGCCAAGGAUCGAGCCGGAAGUAGAGCAAUGGCAAGCGUCGUCGCAACAAUAAGUAGAUGAUUAGAUCCUCGUUUCUCCUACUUUAGUAUGCAUGUAAUUGCUUGCUUUAGUGUGUGGAAAUGUUAUGUGUGUAGUCACUUGUGUAAUUGUAUGCUUAAUUUGGUUAUGCAAUGAUGUCUUUUAAGUAUAUAUGUUGAUGCUAUGUAGACAGAGCGUAGAUGUUGUGCGGACAAAGAAAAUCACAUCGCACAAGGACUAAACAAUGUAACAUGUCGGUGAUGUUUUCAUCAACCACUCACAAUCGUAUACCAGCAAUCGUUUGCUCACAACACACAUGGCUUGUUAGCGGUAAUCGUCUAUGUUGUUAUCGGUCUUCGCACACAUUUCCGAUUACACACAUGUUUGCCUCGUAUCACGCACAUCUUGUUCAUUUGAACCUUUUCUGCUCUCAUGUCUCAAUGCAAAUAGUUCAGCCGAGUGAACCGCAUGUCGUAUAUCGCACACACCUUUGAUCUGGCUGACCAUUUCUUUUGUGUUGCCUAAUCACAAAUAGUUCAUCCGAGUGAACCCUAUGCUUUACAUCGCACACACCUUCAUCUGGCUGCCCAUUUCUUUUGUUCCUCCUCAUCGCAAAUAGUUAAUUGAGCUGAAAAGUAUGCCCUUCAUCGCACAUGCAACUAAAAUCUAAACCGUGUUUGAUGCAUCAUCCAUCGCAAAUGUUUUGCACCUUUUUGAUGGGUUUUUUACACCACCAUUUGCGAUUAUGGCAUCGCACACAGUUUCGUCGAAGGAUCUCUGAUCAUAGUGUCGCGUUAGCAGCAUCCUGCAGUGGUGAUGGGAGGGUAGGACAAAAGAUGUCAUGCAAUUUCUUAUUAUAACCAUGUAUGACUAUAUACGGAAUACAUGCCUAUAUUACGUUGAUGAAUUGGAGCUACUAUAUAUCUCUCUAGGUUGUGACUGUUAUAUGAUGAAUGUCAUCCAACACAAAUAUCCAUCACUAAUCCAAUGCCUACGCUUUUCUCAUAUUGGUUCUUGCUAAGUUACUUUCGUUGUUGUUGUUACAAUCACUACAAACUGCUAAUGUUACUAUUCCUAUUCCUAUUGUUAUUUUCCUACUAAACACUUUGCUGCAGAAAUAUAAUUUCCCAGGUGUGGUUGAACUGAAAACUCAACUGCUAAGGCUCAUAAAUAUUCCUUGGCUCCCCUUGUGUCAAAUUAAUAAAUUUGGGUGAGAUGCUACCCUCGAAGACUGUCUUGAUCCCCUAUAAUUGUGGGUUAUCAAAGUAUUGCCUGGCAGGUUUGCGAGGGCAAUACCAAGGUCAUACAAAAGAGGCCACCAUCAUGCUUGAAGCAAUGGCACCAAAGAAAUUGCGGAUUUGACAUGCCUGGUUUGCACAACGACAUCAAUGUGCUCCAGUAAUCUUUGUUGUGCAAGAGACUAUGUGUUGGGGAUACUCCAGCAUGCAACUACAUUGUCAACAUGCAUAACUACAAAUGGGAUAGUACCUUGCCAAUGGUAUUUAUCCCUAGUGGACGGCUUUUGUGAAGACUGUAUCAAAGAGCCAAGGUAACAAAUAAUGCCGUUUUGUACAAAUGCAAGAAGGUACUAGGAAAGAUGUGGAUAGGGCAUUCAGAUUGCUCCAGCCUCCUCGGGGUUUUGUUCAUGGAGCUGCAAUGAUGUGGGAUCCAAUGAUAUUGUGCAGUUGCUUACAUGUUGUGUAAUCUUGCACAACAUGAUUGUGGAUGAUGAGGGCGAUCUGCAAUCAGCAUACAUGAUUUUCGAAAGGGCGGAGGACAUGUCCACCUCCGAAAAUAAGAUGCAACCUAAAGUGCCAGUAUCAAAAAUAACCUGGCUGCACCCUAACUCUCCAGCUCGUCUCGCCGCCAUAAUAGGUGCCAAGGAUUCUGCAUGAAGAGCAUUCGAUAAAUUCUGCAACUUCCCCGCUCCAGCAGCUUCAGCCAAACCUUCUGAGUUCCUGAUUAUGUAUCCCCAGCCACCUGCAUUAUUUUCCACAUUAAAAGCUCCAUCACUAUUUAUCUUCGGAUAUGGAUCAAGUGGGGGUAUCCAUGUUCCCUGUUCAACCACAUUUCCUUUCUGUUUCUUCUUGUUGUUGUGCUCCAGACACUCCAUCAUAUGAUGCUCAAUUGAAGACACUAUCUCUGUGCAAUUUCUUGAACAUUCUCCAGCAUUUGCUCUGUUUCUCUCAUACUAUAGCAUCCAUAGAAGUGUGCAUAUCUUCAAGGUCUCUUCUUCUUUGAGCUUAAAAAUUUCCAUAAGAGCAUCUUGUGAGUUGAUGUACUUUGCAAGCAGUCCUCUCAUGUCUUCCAAUUGUACAGCCAUCCAAACCUGCUUAGCUUGCUUACAUCUGAAAAAAUAGUGCCCUCCAUCUUAGUAACAAAUGUUACAGAUAGGGCAUUUUGGGCUAAUAUCAAACCCUCUUCUAAUUAGUUUGUGGCGUAAAGGCAGACUAUUAUUUGCUAGUUUCCAAAUGAAGUGAAGCACUUUGCUCGGGAGGGGCAGUUUCCAUAACUUCUUCCAAUCAAACAUAGAUGAACUCAGUGAGCUACCUCCUAUUGAUUGAAUGCCUCUAUUAGUUUUCUUGGUCUCCCAGUCAAUGGCAACUUUGUAAGGAGACUUCACCGAAAAAAUCCCCUUUUUAUCAUAGUGCCAUGCUACAUGGUCUUCUAAGUCCUCAUUAUAGGGAUCUAAAUUAUAUCUGUGUCCUCCUGACAAAAUGUUUGAUUGACCAUGCCUUCAUCCCACACACCUAUAAUUGGGUCUAUCAGCUCCAAGACUUUCUAAAUUAUAUUUUUCCCUCUUUGAGUAACUGGCCUUCGAGUAUAGUUCCUCGGUAACCAGGGGUCUCUCCAAAUGUUAACACUUUGUCCAUUUCCUAUGCACCAUAUUAUGCCUUUAUUUAGGAGCUUCACUCCUUUCAAGAUACUUCUCUAGGAAUAUGACAUUCCUAUAACUGGUUUUGCCUUCAGGAUAUCACCAUCUGCAUAGUAUUUUGCUGGGAGCACCUGAAAACAUAAGGAUUGCGGAUUUUGCAGGAGCCUCCAAGCUUGUCUCGCAAGCAUAGCCAUAUUGAAAGCGUGGAGAUCACGAAAGCCCAACCCACCCUCCCUUUUAGGUUGUGACAAUCUUUCCCAACUAAUCCAAUGGAUUUUGUGCUCUUUAUCAUCUUGACUCCACCAGUAUCUACAUAUCAUGGUGCUCAUUUGAUCACAUAGGGUUUUGUAAUAUCAAAGCAUGCCAUGGCAUAUAUGGGGAUUGCUUGUGAUACAACCUUAAUUAGGAUUUCUUUCCCUGCAUUUGAGAGCAUCCUUUCCUUCCAACCUUGAAUCCUCUUCCAUAAUUUCUCCUUCAAAUAUUCAAACAUCAUGCUUUUAGAUUUGCCGAUGAACACGGGUGGGCCCCAUGUAUUUCUCUGACCUUGUUUCAUGUCUUAACUAAAGGAUGACCAUCACUUCUUGUUUAUCUUUAUCGGGCGUGUUCUUUCUAAACAUGAUUGUAGGUUUAUCUUUGUUAAUCACUUGACCUGAGCAAGCUGCAUAGGUCUUUAAAAUUCUCUCUAUCUCCAGCGCAUUGCUUGCUUCAGCCUUCAUGAGAAGUAAGAGUCAUCUGCAAGCAGAAGAUGGUUAAUGCAUGGUACCCUAGCAGAGACUUUAAUCCCCUCUAUCUUUUUAUGCAUGUCCGCUUCUUUCACUAAUGCCGAGAACCCCUCUGCACAUACUAAGAAAAGAUAUAGGGACAAAGGAUCACCUUGAAGGAGUCCUUUGCUAAGGAUAAUGGUACAUGUUACUUCAUGAUUUAACUUAAUUUGGUAUUUGACUAUGGUCACGCAUUUCAUCACCAAGCUGAUCCAUCUUCUGUCAAAGCCAACUUCAUCAACAUGUCAUGGAGGAAAGACCAUUCCACACGAUCAUAGGCUUUGCUCAUUUCCAGCUUCAGGGCCGCAUACCCCUUCUUUCCCCUUCGUUUAUUCUGCAAAAAAUGUGUUAAUUCAUAGGCCAACAUAAUAUUAUUGGAGAUCAUUCUCCCAGGAAUAAAGGCACUUUGGUUAUAUGGUAUAAUCUCUAGAAGAAUAAUUUUUAGCCUUCUAAUUAAUAUUUUGGAGAUGAUUUUAUACACCACAUUAUACAGGAUGAUUGGCCUCAAAUCUCUUAAAUUUUCAGGGUUGUGUACCUUGGGAAUGAGGACCAACAUUGUGUCAUUCCAACCCAAGGGCAUGUCACCCCCUUUAAGCACCUUCGGUGCCUCGUCUAUCACCUUCUCCCCCACAAUGUGCCAGAAUCUCUUGUAGAACAAGGCUGGCAUUCCAUCUGGCCCUGGCGCUUUGAGAUCACUGAUGUCGUCUAUUGCAGAUUUAACUUCUUCUCUUGAAUAUUCGGCACAUAGGAUUUGGUUCAUCUGUCUAUCUACUUUUGGGAGAACAUACCGUGCGACAUUUGUAUUAUCUGCCGGACCACUUGAAGUGAAUAAAUCUGAAAAGUAGUUGUGGAUUAAACCUUUCAUAUUCGAUUGACCCUCCACCCAGCCUCCAUCCUCCUUCCUCAAUUUUUUGAUGGUGUUCUUCCUUUUCCUAUCUGAAGCAAAAGCAUGGAAGAAACUAGUAUUUUUAUCUCCUUAUUUUAGCCAAUUCACAUGUGCCCUCUGCUUCCAGUAAAUAUCUUGUUGCUGCUCCAGCUUGUUUAUUUUUUUCUUUUAGUACUGCCUCAUGGUUCACCUGGUCCUGGGAUAUGUUCUGUAAUCUGUUUUGUUCUGGCUCUUUUUUAGCGAUUUCAGUCUCUUCAGGUCACCCAGCACCUUUGUAUCAAUUGUUUUAAAUAUCUUGCUACCUUCCUGAGUCCUUGCGAUACAUUAAAUGAGUUUGUGACUUGUGCUUCCUGCCAAGCCCUACAAACAAUACUUUCACAUUCUUCUUCCUUCAACCACUUGGCUUCAAAUCUGAAAUUUUGUCCCUUGCUUGACAAAGAAAGUUUUGUAGCUCCAUCAGUAUUGACUAUGAUUGGUCUAUUGUCUGAAUGUCUUGGGUCUUCAUUUAUGACACUGGUCAGAGGAAACCUUCUUCACUAACCCUCGGAUGCUACUGCUCUAUCUACUCUCUCCAUUACAUAAUUUGCUGCUAUAUGGUUGUGGUUCCUCCAUGUGUACUUAUCCCCUUCAUAUCCUAAGUCCCUUAAUCCACAAUAUUCCAGGGUCUCUUUGAAUCUGUCCAAGUGGAUUUGGUUCCUUGGUUGGUCUCCUCUUUUUUCGUGAUUGUGAAAGAUUUCAUUGAAAUCUCCCAAACAUAACCAAGGCCUCUCCAUUUGCGCAUUAAGAUUCCUCAAUAACCUCCACGCAUUUUCCUUUUUAUUCGGGGUCGGCUCCCCAUAUAUACCUGUGAGUCUCCAUCUAAAGCCAUCCUUUCGAUAAUCUCUACAUGAAUGUGCUAUUUUGAGUAAUUAUGUAGCUCCACAUUGAUGCCCUCUUUCCAAAAAAGGACUAAGCCCCCACUUUUUCCUUUCUUCACCAUACUAUCCUUGACUACCAUCUUUGACUGCUAGCAACCACCUAACGUGUUUCAUCCUUUUCUCUUCCAUUUUAGUUUCGGAUAGGAAAAGGAUGUCUAGGUCCUCCCACUUCUAGAGAUCCAGAAGCUCUCUAACUACUAGGCCAUUCCCCAAUCCCCGACAGUUCCAGGCUAUGAUCUUCAUUUUUGCUCGUAGGGUUGUCCCUGCAGCCCAGCAUUUUCACUUUCCGGUUAGUCAUUUCCUUUCUCUCAAUAUUUGCAGCCUCUUCAUCAACUUCCAUCCUUGCUUUUUUUAGUAUUUCGGUUUCCAAGUCUACCUCCAUCAGAUCAACACUCCUUUUCUUCCCCUCUAUUGUAAAGAAGUUGUUCUGAUGUUGAUUGCUUUUGGUUCUUUUAUAUAUCAUUUAAAGGUACCUUGAUUCACUUUCUUUUCCUCCUUCAAGUACUCCUUUUCCCAACUACUUUGUGCUCAUGUUUCCGCCUGGGUUUUCCUAUUGUCUUCUUUAGUUGCUUCUCUAUGUUCCAUAUUUGCUUCACUUUCCUGCCCCAGCUCUGGCUUGUUAGCAGUUUCUUCUUUGGGUGCAUGAUCCAUUGUUAUUUUCUCCUCUUUUAGAUCAGAUGUUUUUUAUUUGUCCUCCAACAACAACUUUUUUCCUUCAGUAGUCCUAGUUUGUUCAUUCCGGAUAGUCUUCCAAGCGCUUGUAACUCCUUUCUCCUCCCCUUUUCCUUAUUCUAUAUUCCUCCGCUUCUGACUGGGUGUUUUUCCUCCAUGAUGGACUGUUACUUCCCUGCUUACUAUCUCGACUUCCAGUACCGUCUGUAUGCCAAAAGUUACCUCUAUCACUCGAACUCCUGCUCUUUUCUUCACUAAAAUUUCCCUUAUAGAUGACCGCCCACAACUCUGGCCCAAAUUAUCUCGCUCCUUCUCUUCUGGUCAUGGAUGGGCAUGCUAUCUCUGUGUGCCCAAUGAUGCCCCAACCAUAGCAAAAGUCUGAAAGAUGUUCAUAUUUGAAAUCAAUAAUCUUCCUCUCUUUCUUCCUUUUAUUUUCUUCCUCCGCAACAGCACCCGUCAACUCCUCGUACAUGUCCUCUUGUUCUUCCUCAUCAUUUUCAAUUUCUAAAGUAAUAAAUCUUAUUAUUGGCACUGUGAUAUCCAUUCGUACCUUAAUUCUCAUAAACUCGCCCAUCGCAGUUCCAUCAUGAUCAAGGUCAAUGUCAAGUACUUCUCCAAUAUUCUUCCCAAUCAAUUCUCCUGUUUCAGAACUCAUCAUGCCCAUGGGAAUACCAUAAACUCUGACCCAGAUAGGAAUAAAUUUGAAUUCAUACUCAUCAAUUGUUUUACUAGGCACAAAAUUUUCCAUCACUAUCAGAUCCUUGUUGAAACUCCAUGGCCCACUAUCCAGAGCUUUCUUCUUGCUACUCUCAUCAUGGAAAGUGAAUAGACAGCGAUUUCUGUCGAGUAAAAGGGUGCCAUCAUUCUUUCCCCCGCAGGCUCUCGCGACCGCGUUGCCCCCGCGGGCGACCGGCCACGCCGUGACCCUCUUCUCCAGGCCCCCUCCCCCCUCCUUCCCUCCCCUCCGCUGUCGUCGGCGCUCACCGCCGGGCCUAGCCCGGGCGACGCUAGCGGCGGCGGCCCCCUCGCAAUUCCCCACUCAGCUCUCCUCUGGCGCGGGACGGAGCGGGCUGGGGGUGUCCCUAGGCAGCGGUCCGGCGUGGCGGCAGGGUCCUGGAGCUGCGCGGGCAAAUGUGUAACACCCAUGAUGCGGCUAUAUCUCACACGUGUCGGAGCACGACUUAGAGGCAUAACCGCAUAGUAGGCAAGUCGCAAGAGGGGUAAUCUUUACACAUCCCAUGUACUGAAUAAGAAAGGGGUAAAGAGUUGGCUUACAAUCUCCACUUCACACAAUACAUACAUAUAGCAUUACAUCAUCUAGAAUACAAUCAAGGUCCGACUACGGAACCAAAUAAAGAAAGACAACCCCUAAUGCAAAAGAUCCCCAAUCGCCCUGACUGGGCUCCACUACUGAUCAACUAGAAACGAAACAACACAACGAACACGAUCUUCAUUGAGCUCCUCCUUGAGCUCUGUUGCGUCACCUGCACUGGUAUCAUCGGCACCUGCAAACUGGCUUUGGAAGUAUCUGUGAGUCACGGCCUCAUGGGGACUCGGCAAUCGCACACCCUCGCGAUUAAGACUAUUUAAGCUUAUGGGUAGGAAAAAGGUAGUGAGGUGGAGCUUCAGCAAGCACUAGCAUAUAUGGUGGCUAACUUACGCAAAUAAGAGCGAGAAGAGAAGCAAUGCAUGGUCGUGAACUAGAAAUGAUCAAGAAGUGAUACUGAAACUACUUACAUUCAAGCAUAACACAAGAAUAGUGUUCACUUCCCGGACUCCGCGGAAAGAGACCAUCACGGCUACACACGCGGUUGAUGCAUUUUAAUUAAGUUAAGUGUCAGGUUUUCUACAACCGAAUAUUAACAAAUUCCCAUCUGCCCAUAACCGCGGGCACGGCUUUUGAAAGUUCAAACCCCUGCUGGGGUGUCCCAACUUAGCCCAUCACAAGCUCUCACGGUCAACGAAGGAUAUUCCUUCUCCCAGGAAGACCCGAUCAGGCUCGGAAUCCCAGUUACAAAACAUUUCUACAAUGGUAAAACAAGACCAGCAAAGCCGCCCGGAUGUGCCGACAAAUCCCGAUAGGAGCUGCACAUAUCUCGCUCUCAGGGCACACCGGAUGAGCCAGACGACGGGUUGGCAUAGACCCUGGUUGCCCAGGGGGCGCCGGACAUCGCUCAGGUUGGACCAACACUUAGAGAAGCACUGUCCCAGGGGGGUUAAAAUAAAGAUGACCCUCGGGUUCAGGAAACCCAAGGGAAAAAGGCUAGGUUGUUAGUGCAAAUGUAAAACCAAGGUUGGGCCUUGCUGGAGGAGUUUUAUUCAAGGCGAACUGUCAAGGGGUUCCCAUUAUAACCCAACCGCGUAAGGGACGCAAAAUCAAGGAACAUAACACCGGUAUGACGGAAACUAGGGCGGCAAGAGUGGAACAAAACACCAGGCAUAAGGCCGAGCCUUCCACCCUUUACCAAGUAUAUAGAUGCAUUAAUAUAAUAAGAGAUAUUGUGAUAUCCCAACAAUAAUCAUGUUCCAAACAUGGAACAAACUCCAUCUUCACCUGCAACUAGCAACGCUAUAAGAGGGGAUGAGCAAAGCGGUAACAUAGCCAAACAACGGUUUGCAAGGACAAGGUGGGUUAGAGGCUUGACAUGGCAAUAUGGGAGGCAUGAUAUAGCAAGUGGUAGGUAUCGCAGCAUAGGCAUAGCAAUAGAGCGAGCAACUAGCAAGCAAAGAUAGAAGUGAUUUCGAGGGUAUGGUCAUCUUGCCUGAAAUGAACUCAAAGUUGACGAAAGCUUGAUCCUCAUAAGCGUACUCAACGGGUUCCUCGGUCACGGUGCAAUACGCAAGCAACAUGAUGAUGGCAUGAUAUGCGGGAAGUGCUAUGCAAUGCAUAUGCGAGCUCCAGAAGGAAAAGAUUGAUAAAGGCAUCAACUUGGCAAUCCAAGGGUGCCGCUGGAAAGAUGAGAUGAUUUCAGUCGAAAUCAAUAUAAAGAUCACCGGAAUCGGAUGCACGGUUUGCAAAUGGCAGGCAAAACAAUAAUGGCACAAUCCUGCGAUUAACAGUAUGAUGCCAUCUAGAAUGCAACAAGAAACUAAGUUACUGCACUCCAACAUAACAACAAAGCACAUGGCAGUGAUCUACUCAAGAUGCUUGACAAAAGAUGAACACUGAGCUACGGCUAAAUCACACAAUAUCAGGUUCAAACAAGCAUGGUAAAAGUGCAAAAGAUAUCAGCAUCACAGACUGUAACGCCCCAGAUAUAACUUUCCCAAUUUGUACUCCAACUCUUGUCGUUUCCGGCGUUAAGUUAUAUUUAUUUCUCGGGUUCGGGUCUUUGUCUCCAUGUGUUGUUUUUGUUUUCAUGCAUCUCAUAUCAUGUCAUCAUGUGCAUUGCAUUCGCAUACGUGUUCAUCUUAUGCAUUCGAGCAUUUUCCCCGUUGUCCGUUUUGCAUUCCGGCGCUUCGUUCUCCUCCGGUGGCCACUUCUAGCUUUCUUUCGUGUGUGGGGAUUAAUCAUUUCUGGAUUGGACCGAGACUUGCCAAGCGGCCUUGGUUUACUACCGGUAGACCGCCUGUCAAGUUUCGUAUCAUUUGGACUUCGUUUGAUACUCCAACGGUUAACCGAGGGACUGAAAAGGCCUCGUGUGUGUUGCAGCCCAACACCCCUCCAAUUUGGCCUAAAACCCACCAAACUCUGCUCCAUGUCCUAGAGCGUUCGAUCACGAUCGCGUGGCCGAAAACCGCACCUCAUUUGGACUCUCCUAGCUCCCUCUAUGCUUAUAUAUACACCCCUCCAUUUUCGGAUCUCUUCUCCCUCUCCGAAACCCUAAAAAUCCCACUCCGCCGCCGCCGGACGUGUCCGGACGAGCCGGACAACGUCCGGAUUCCGCCGCCGCCACCCAGCGCCCGCCACGUGGCACCUCCGCCUCCACUCCGCCGCCAUCCGCCACCCCGGCCCGGCGAGCCCGCAGCGGGCCCGCCCGGCCCAUCGCCGCCUCCGCGCGCCAGGCGCCCGCUCCUCGCCUCCUUCCCCGNNNNNNNNNNNNNNNNNNNNNNNNNNNNNNNNNNNNNNNNNNNNNNNNNNNNNNNNNNNNNNNNNNNNNNNNNNNNNNNNNNNNNNNNNNNNNNNNNNNNNNNNNNNNNNNNNNNNNNNNNNNNNNNNNNNNNNNNNNNNNNNNNNNNNNNNNNNNNNNNNNNNNNNNNNNNNNNNNNNNNNNNNNNNNNNNNNNNNNNNNNNNNNNNNNNNNNNNNNNNNNNNNNNNNNNNNNNNNNNNNNNNNNNNNNNNNNNNNNNNNNNNNNNNNNNNNNNNNNNNNNNNNNNNNNNNNNNNNNNNNNNNNNNNNNNNNNNNNNNNNNNNNNNNNNNNNNNNNNNNNNNNNNNNNNNNNNNNNNNNNNNNNNNNNNNNNNNNNNNNNNNNNNNNNNNNNNNNNNNNNNNNNNNNNNNNNNNNNNNNNNNNNNNNNNNNNNNNNNNNNNNNNNNNNNNNNNNNNNNNNNNNNNNNNNNNNNNNNNNNNNNNNNNNNNNNNNNNNNNNCGCCCUUGGGCGCGGCUGCCCUCGUCGUCGGCGGGUCCUCCGGUGCCGGAUCCGCCCGGCCCGGGUCUCCUCCGACUUCCCCGGCGCCUCUCCGGCGAGAGCUCCGGCCGCCGUGCCCCUUUUUUUCUGGUGAACCUCGAACAGCUAAAGUGCAGCGCCGCGCCUCGGUUUCCGUGUGAAACCCUAGAUCUGAUCCGAGAGGUUGAUUUUUUUUACUAAGUCCCAGAAUUUUUGAUCCAUAUGCUCAUGUUCGCGGCCCCGUAACUUUGUAUCCGUAGCUCCGAUUUGGGCAUAUAAUAUAUCAAAAUGUUCGCCUCGACGAGUAUAUCAUUUCAUUCCAUUGUAUCAUUUUCAUUUGAGUUCAUAUUGAUGCCCAAAAUUCUGUUAGAAGAGGGCUUCGUGAGUUAAUUGUGAGAUCUGCUAGUUCAUCUUAGACUUUUGUCAUUUUUGCCAUGAUUAAUGUGUGCAUGCUAUGCCUGUGAGUCCUUCAUAUGUUUUUUUAAGCAUUUUGUCUUCUUUCCAGAGGUGCAAUCCAUGCAUUUUUAGGAUGUGUGUGGUGACUUGUGAAAGCUUGCAAAGUGAGGCACCCGGUAGAUCUGUUUUCAGAGACUUAGUAGUUUUCACCAAGUCUGGGAUUAUUUAGUUCAUGAUGCCAUAUGUUCAGCUUGUUUCCUAGUGAUCCGUGCCUCUUUUGAGGAUGAUCAGUAAAGGAGUUUUGUUAAUAAUGUUAUGCUCUAUCCAUCCAUGUCUUUGUUUGCAAUUUUGGAGCACCCUAGCUUGAGUCAAUCGAGCUCUACUUUUGCUUCAUUGUGAAUUUGUGCAGAUCGUCAACUAGUUUGCGAUUUUGCCGAUGUUGUUGUAGUUGAUCCAUGCAUGCUAUGCCAUUGUUCUUGCUAUGUAUAGCUUGUAUUUUGUGCCUUAUUUAAGGAUGUAUGCUUUUCUUGCCAUGAAUUGCACCGUGAUGAGUGCAUCGAGCUCGUAAACAUGCCUUCGUGAGUUAUAUUUCAGCAUGUCUCAGUUUUCACUAAGUCAGAAAACUCAUUGUGUUUGAGCUAUGUUCGUGUGCUUGUUAGUAUAUUUUGUGAUCCCUUUUGGCCCCAGGUCACUUUGGGACUUUUGUUAAGCUUGUUGAGUAGAUCCAUGCCAUGCUCUUCUUUGUCAUAAUCAGGUCAUGUAUCAUGUUGUUUUGCUGCUCCGAAGAGGGCUUCACGAUCUGAAAUUUCAGACAAGUGUUAAUUUCACUAAGUCUGGAAUCUGUUUUGCAUUUGCGUUUUUGCCAUGCUUGUUUGAACCUCAUAUUGGAUGAAUUGGCCGUAUCUCAGUGCUAGUCUUUUGUUAAUAAUCUUGUGUGCAUCCCUGCCAUGUAUUUUGUUGUCAUGUUUGGGUGCUGUAGCAUGUUCAUUUCGUUGCAUUUAGAUGCCUACUUGCUGUAAAUGGCAGACCGGUGUCAUAUCUUAAAACGCUUGCCAUUUCCAAACCGUAACUCCGUUUCCGGCGUUCUUUAUAUCGUUUUCAAGCGAUUUCAUCUCAUCUUUCCAGUGGCACCCUUGGAAUUCCAAGUUGAGGCCAGGUUCAUGCAUUUCCUGUCAUAUCUUGCAUUUUGUAUCCCGCAUCGCAUCCCGCAUAGCAUGUCAUCAUUGCAUCAUAUCGCUUGAUCCUUGCACGUGGUUGAUUAUAUCCUUGUUGCUUGUUUGUCUUGUUUGGGUAGAGUCGGGAGACGAGUUCUCUACCGAGGAGCCCGUUGAGUUUGCUUGUGAGGAUCCAGUCAACUCUAACAACUGUGCAGGCAAGAUGAUCAUACCCUCGAAAUCACUACUAUCUUUGCUAUGCUAGUUUGCUCGCUCUUGCUAUGCCAAUGCUACGAUGCCUACCUUUUGCUUGUCAGCCUCCCAAUUGCCAUGUCAAACCUCUAACCCACCUUGUCCUAGCAAACCGUUGAUUGGCUAUGUUACCGCUUUGCUCAGCCCCUCUUAUAGCGUUGCUAGUUGCAGGUGAAGUUUGGAGCCGUUCCGUGUUGGAACAUUUACUUACUUGUUGGGAUAUCAUUAUAUUGCUAUGUUAUCUUAAUGCAUCUAUAUACUUGGUGAAGGGUGGAAGGCUCGGCCUCUCGCCUAGUGUUUUGUUCCACUCUUGCCGCCCUAGUUUCCGUCAUAUCGGUGUUAUGUUCCCGGAUUUUGCGUUCCUUACGCGGUUGGGUUAUAAUGGGAACCCCUUGAUAUUUUGCCUUGAUUAAAGCUUGUCCAGCAAUGCCCAACCUUGGUUUUACCAUUUGCCACCUAGCCUUUCUUUUCCUUGGGUUCUGCAGACUCAAGGGUCAUCUUAUUUUAACCACCCGGGCUAGUGCUCCUCUGAGUGUUGGUCCAAACCGUCAGCCGCUGGUGGCUACCAGGGGCAACUCUGGGCUGGCCUACCAGAAGUUUAGACAAUCUGAGUGUGCCCUGAGAAAGAGAUAUGUGCAGCUCCUAUCGGGAUUUGUCGGCACAUUCGGGCGGUGUUGCUGGUCUUGUUUUAACCUGUCGAAGUGUCUUGAGUUAGCGAGAUACCGAGUCUGAUCGGAACGUCUUGGGAGGAGGUCUAUUCCUUCGUUUACCGUGAGAGCUUGUCAUGGGCUAAGUUGGGACUCCCCUGUAGGGAUUGAACUUUCGAAAGCCGUGCCCGCGGUUAUGGGCAGAUGGGAAUUUGUUAAUGUCCGGUUGUAGAUAACUUGAACCUUAAUUAAUUAAAAUGAAUCAACUGAGUGUGUUACCGUGAUGGCCACUUCUCGGCGGAGUCCGGGAAGUGGACACGGUGUUGGAGUAAUGUUUGCGCAGGCUGUUCUCUAGCUUCUCGCUCGUGCUUUGCCUCCUCUUCUCGCUCUCUUUUGCGAAUAAGUUAGCCACCAUAUAUGCUAGUCGCUUGCUGCAGCUCCACAUAUAUUUGCCUUAUCCUUCCUAUAAGCUUAAAUAGUCUUGAUCGCGAGGGUGCGAGAUUGCUGAGUCCCUAUGGCUCACAGAAUACUAUAACUCCAGAUGCAGGUCCAGGUGGUUCCGCUCCAGGUGACGAGUACGAGCUCAGGUGGGAGUUCGACGAGGACUCUCAGCGUUACUACGUUUCCUUUCCCGAUGAUCAGUAGUGGUGCCUAGUUGGGGUUCGAUUCAGGGCCUUGUCGCAUGUUGGAUUUUCUUCUAUUUUGGCGCCGUAGUCGGGCCAUGAGUGUUUGUAUGAUGGAUGUUAUUUAUGUACUUUGAUGUGACGUGGCGAGUGUAAGCCAACUAUGUACCUUCCCCUUUUUUUUAUGUAUUGCAUGGGAUGUUGUGAUGAUUGCCUAACUUGCGACAUUGCUUUCAAUGCGGUUAUGUCUCUAAGUCGUGCCUCGACACAUGGGAGCUAUAGCCGCAUCGAGGGCGUUACACAGACUUAGUGAAAAUAACAACAUGCCAGGAAUUAACAUCAGGAAGCAAUGUUUAGAGUAAGAUAACAACAUGCUAAAGGAACAGAACAUAUCAAACAAAGGCAUGGCAUGAAUAUACUUAAAGCAUAUAACAAAAGUCCCUUACUGACCAUAAGCCAAAAAGGAUCAGAAGAUAUGAUGGCACCCAUGUAAACAUAGCAAGUUUCGUUAACAGAUUCAGAAUUAUGAAGGCAUGUUUGCGAGCUCGAUGCACUCAACACAAGGCAUUACAUGACAAGCUAAGCAUACACCCAGCAAGGAGACAUGUACGACAAGCUAACCAUGGCAAGAACAAACUCAUAGCAUGCAUGGAUCAACUACAACAACCUUGGCAAAAUUGAUUAACACAUAAACAAUCUACCAGGAACAUUUUAUAGCAGAAGUAGAGCAAGAUUGAGUCAUGCUAGGGCACUUCAUAAAUGCAACCAAGGACAUGGAUGGAUAGAGCAUAACAAUAUCUCAAAAUCAUCCUUAAUAAACAUACUCAAAAAAGGCAUGGAUCAUUCUAUAGCAACAUGAAUACAUGGCAUAAAAAUAACAGCAGACAAAGACUUAGUGAAAUUCUAAGUCCCUGAAAACAGCAAUAUCACGAGAGCUACUUUGCAUGCUUGUGCUAGUCACCACAUUGAUCACAAAAAUACAUGGCAUACACCCCUGUAAAGAUGGCAUGGCAUAGCCCAAAACACAUGUAGAGCUCAUACUCAUAUGCAGCACACAAUAAUCAUGGCAAAAAUGACAAAAGCUCAUAAACUGAUAAGAAUCAGCACCUAACAUUCUAUAGCACUUUUGCAGCAGUCAUUAGGGCAUUAAGAUGGACUCAAACAAGCAUGGUGCAAUGGAACAAACUGAAGGGCACAUCAUGAUGAACAUUUUGAUAUAUCAUGCAUGCAAAACGGAGCAGCGAGCACAAAGUCAUGGCAUGAUGAAGGUAGCCACAAAAUAUUGGAAACAUCGGGGACUUUGAGAAAUUUAGACCUCGCGGGAAAAGUCAACGGGACGAAGACGACCAAGGACGAGGAGAUCCAGGACGGCGGGGAGGCGUUUGGUACGCGGAACGGGUGGAUCUCAUCCCACCCGGUCGGAUCCGAGGCGGGCGGCGUCCGGCGGCUCGCCGGAGCGAGGCGACACCGGCGAGCGGCGCAGCAGCGAGGAGGCGGCGGGCGGCUNNNNNNNNNNNNNNNNNNNNNNNNNNNNNNNNNNNNNNNNNNNNNNNNNNNNNNNNNNNNNNNNNNNNNNNNNNNNNNNNNNNNNNNNNNNNNNNNNNNNNNNNNNNNNNNNNNNNNNNNNNNNNNNNNNNNNNNNNNNNNNNNNNNNNNNNNNNNNNNNNNNNNNNNNNNNNNNNNNNNNNNNNNNNNNNNNNNNNNNNNNNNNNNNNNNNNNNNNNNNNNNNNNNNNNNNNNNNNNNNNNNNNNNNNNNNNNNNNNNNNNNNNNNNNNNNNNNNNNNNNNNNNNNNNNNNNNNNNNNNNNNNNNNNNNNNNNNNNNNNNNNNNNNNNNNNNNNNNNNNNNNNNNNNNNNNNNNNNNNNNNNNNNNNNNNNNNNNNNNNNNNNNNNNNNNNNNNNNNNNNNNNNNNNNNNNNNNNNNCCGGGUGGGCCAUGGCGGCGGGACAAGUGGCGGCACCGGAUUGGGCAGGGGUGACGACGGACGUGUCCGGCGAGGGGCGGACAUGUCCGGCGUGGACAGAGAGUUGGAUCUAGGGUUAGACUGCGCGAAUUUUCGGGAAGGCACAUAUAUAUAGGUAGAGGGAGCUAGGAGAGUCCAAAUGAGGUGCGGUUUUCGGCCACGCGAUCGUGAUCGAACGACCGAGAGGAUGGAGGGGGUUUGGAUGGGUUAUUGGGCCACUUUGAAAGGGUGUUGGGCUGCAACACACACGAGGCCUUUACGGUUCCUCGGUUAGCUGUUGGAGUAUCAAACGGACUCCAAAUGGUACGAAACUUGACAGGCGGUCUACCGGUAGUGUACCAAGGCCGCUUGGAAAAUCUCGGUCCAUUCUGAGAAAGUUUAAUACCCGCUCACGAAAAGAGGCAAAAAAGGGCGCUGGAGGACAUAGGAGUGCCGGAUUGCAAAACGGACAACGGGGAAAAUGCUCGGAUGCAUGAGACGAACACGUAUGAAAAUGCGAUGCACAUGAUGACAUGAUAUGAAAUGCAUGACACGCAAACAAAUGACAAGGCAACAACAGCGAAUAACUGGAAGACACCUGGCGCAACGGUCUCGGGGCGUUACAAGAUGGCUGGGCGGUGGCGUCGUCGUUGGCGGCAGGGUAGCGCGGCGGCGUGGUCUGGCGGCGCCCGCUCGGCCCAGAUCUGGGCCCUUCGAGCCCCAUCUGGGCCCGGGCGGGCUGGCUGUGGGGUGCGGCUGCGGCGCGCCCUCCAAGAGGCGGGGGAGAGGCGAAGAGCGGCAGGGUGCUGGCGGCGCCAUCGCCGGCUUGCUGCAGCAUGGCGGUGAGGCUUAGCGGGCCCGUUUCGGGCCAGGGUUGGCUUAGCAUGCCCUGCUGCCGCGUCCGGACGGCUACCGCGACGGUGCCGGAGGUUCUGGCCUCCCGCACGACGGCGGUGGAGGUGGUUCCCUCCCGUUCGGCUUCGGUGUUGCUUCUCCCUCCGCAGGGCGCUUCUCUCCGGUCCUCUUGGCCUCGUGUUGGUGUCGGCAGUGAGGCGACGUGGGUGGCGGCGCAACCGCGAUGACGCAUGGUGGUGGGCGGCGAUCUGGCUGGUCGGCUCCGGUCCGUUGGACGGUGGGGAUGGAGUGCGGGAGAAAUCUUUGCCGGUUCUUUGGCUCCGAUGCGGUGACACCUGCGGGUGCCACCAUUCCUUCCUGGAGGGUGUCGGUGAUAUCCAUCCCCCCCCACCUGCCGAGGGAAACUCUAGGACAUGUCCGGCCAGCAGCGUCGUUGGCGUCGCAUUCCUUCUUGGAGGUGUUGCUCGGUACGCAGCGGUUCGGGGCCUCGGGUUGUGGUGGUUUAUUUCUGGAGGGCGUAGCGGUGGCGGGUCGUCCGCGCUUUGUCGAGCUGCCGUUGUUGGCAUUUGUUUCUUCUUUUUUUUCUUUUGGGCUUGAUGUGCUGUUCGUCUCAGCGAUCCUUAUAUUGGUGUUGGUUGCUUUGAAAUACAAAGCGGGGGAACUCUUUUUCGAUAAAAGGGGGCCAUAGAUUUUCUAAAGUUCUACCCACAUACUCUGCUUUUGCUGGCCUUUGUGACAAAAGCUUACCGACGGCUUUAAGCUUGCCAAUCGUCGGGGAGCAGGCCUGCCUUCUACCAAUUUUGACACUCCUCUUUUCAGCCUCUGAAAGCUUCAAAUCUCUCAUCUUGCCCUCCACUCCGUCCAGGGCAGGGGUCCUCCUGUCCUCCAUUGUUGGAUGUCCUCACUGAAUCCCGAAGGGAAUACCCAGUAGCCACCUCCAAGCCCACCUCUGCACGCCAGGAAUCAGGAUUAACUGGUGCUUACGAUCGUCCGAGUCUAUAGGCGAGAGGCUUUUUUGGGGAUUUGAUUUUUGGGAUGGAUUUGCUUAUGUUCUUGGUCUGGGAACUGGUUUUGGACAACCAAAUCUCGAGCAGCAGUCAUGGAUUGGGUUGGAAGAUGGUGGGGAACUGGUCAUCUCUCAAUCGCUCGCAGCAAAUGAGAAAACCAAGUGUGGAUCUAGAAAUUCGGUGGGACGGACCUCGACAUGCAUUUAGGCUGCGUUUGGCAGCAAAGUUUUUUCAAUGUUUUCUGAGAAUAUUGUGGUUUCUGAAAAAGACCAAGGUUUUGAAUACUUUGCUGCGUUUGGCAUCAGAAAAAACCAAAGUAUUGUAAACCACGGUAUGCCAGAAACCAACGUAUUUUUGUGGUAUCUGGAAAAGAGGUCCCGACCUCUUUUUUUCAAACAGAACGGAGAGAAAUCAUCGGGGAGAUCACGGUGACGUUGCCGUCUACGUUGAGAUAAGAAUACCAGCUGCGAUCCCAUCCUAUUUUCCCUCUUUCUGUUAUGGUAUAAACUCCUGGUUAUAGCCAAUCUCAUCCUAUUUACGAGUAGCAGGUCUCUCAGGUUCUUCUUCUAGCCGGCGUCCCGUGCGAGUCUCGUCUCUUCUCUGCAGCGCCAUGAGCGAAUCAAGCUCUCCACCACGGAAAAAAGGUAUGAGCUCGUCUAUGCCCUACAAUUUUCGUCCUUAAAUUAUCUGUCUAGUCUGACCGUAACACUGCCGCAGGAGCUAGCAUAUAGGUUAGAGAUCAUACGGCCAGAUGGGAUGACGGCAAUGAUUAGUUUCAUGUGAUCUUGCAUGUUUUUCCUUGAUUCAUGUUAUAGAUGCUAGCUAGCUAACCGAUUCAGUAUGAAUGACGCACGUACACGCAUAAAGAAUUUAGAAUCGGCUGGAAGUACAGGCACGUAUAUAGACAUAUAAUGGCAAGACGCUCCUAAGAUUACUUCAAUCUAGUUGACUUCUCCUAGGAUGGUUUUACUUCAAUCUAGUUGGCUAAUUAACUAAAGUUGUCAUACGCUCUUGAUCAAUAAUGUACCUCCUAUUUAAAUUAAUCCAGCCAUUGAAAGCCAACUAAUCGAUUUGUUUCUUGCGCCUGUGUAGUUUGCAUAGUAGUACACAAAUCUGACCCUACAUGCAAAGAUGGUCCAUUUUACUCAGCAUGUAACUAGACUCCUGUUGAGUUGGUACAUCAUCUUUUGUUUACUAACAAUCUUAUUGUCUUGUUGUAAUUAUCGGUAAAUCUUUAUUUAACUAUAAUUUUUUGAAACAAGGCAAAAGAUUUGCAAUUUCAUUGAUUAAGGAAGAAGGUUUAGACAAUGCCACAUAGCGGCAAGAAAAUAAAGAACUACUCUCGCGCCAUUACAAUACUCAAAUGCUUGGCGCCCGCCAAAGCCCAAAGAGACAACUCCUCUUUAAUCCUGUUAAUAAGGACCACCGAAGGAGAGGCCGUGUUGCGGAAGAUUCUAGCAUUGCGCUCCGACCAAAUCUCCCAGGAGAUGAGCAUCAUCAACGAAGCAAGCGCCUUGGGGGAUUCGCUACGAAUAUGAAUGUUCCCGGUCCACCAUUGCUUCACCGAGCCCCUCGUCAUCCAAGCAGUGGUAUUGAUGUGAUGCAUGCCAAGCCACUGGAGGAUACCAUUCCACACGCGAAGGGUAAAACGACAUUGGAACAGAAGGUGGGCCGCUGAUUCCUGACUUUGCUUGCAAAGUGGGCAAAGACCGCGGUUGGGCCAUCCAUGACGAAGAAGGCGAUCUGAAGUCCAAAUCCUAUUUUGAAGAGCAAGCCAAGCGAAAAAUUUGCACCUCGGAGGAGCCCACACCUUCCACACCGAAUGGACCAUGUCUGACGUAGUAAGGCCCUCAAAUUGCGCCUUAUAGGCCGAGGAGGAAGAGUACAGACCGUCCUUGGUGAACUUCCAAAUAAUGGAAUCCUCCAUAUCCUCAGCAAGUGUGACCUGAGCAACCUUUUCCCAAAGGUGGGCGAACUGUUGGACGUGGUCUAGGGUUAGGCCAUUGGAAAUGUCAAUGUGAGAGAUCCAAGUGUUGUUAGAUAAAGCUUGCUGGACCGAGCAGUUUUUCUUUUUAGACAGAACAAAGAUGUCAGGCGCAAUGUCACGCGGGCGCAAACCAUUCAGCCAAGAGGAGUUCCAGAAUCUGGCAGUACGCCCAUUGCCAACCGUGACUGUAGUGGCAGCCGCAAACAAAUCUCUGUCCUCGUCCGUACAAGGCGUACCCAUACCAAUCCAUGGUUUUGUGGGCUCUUUCCAUUCAAACCAGAGCCACCGGAGCCUAAGAGCCUUGGAAAAUUUGCCCAAAUUGAGCACACCCAGGCCACCAUGUUUUUUUGGCUUGCAAACAAGGUCCCAAUUAACUUUGCAUUUCCCACCGGAGACCUUAUCAGCUCCCGCCCAAAGAUAGGCGCGACGAAUACGGUCAAUCUUCUUGAGAACCUCCACCGGGAUAUCAAGAGGCGUAAUAUGGUAAAUGGCGAUGGCAGUGAGGACAGCUUUGACAAGAACAGCCUGGCCAGCAGUAGCAACGUGUUUUCCCUGCCAAGGAGGGAGCUUGCCAGCGACCUUAUCCUCAAGGUGUUGAAAAUGGAUCCUCUUGAGACGCUUGACAGAAAGCGGGAGUCCUAGGUAUCUCAUCGGGAAUGAAGAACGGACAGCCGGGAAAGCAUGUAGAAUAUCAUCAAGGUCAACGUUUUCGCAUCGAAUAGGGGCCACGAGGCUUUUGGCGCAGUUGGUGACUAAACCGGUAACCUCUCCAAAGGAGGCAAGAGUGGAAGCAAGGAAUUGGACGUCCUCUUUGAUGGGCUUGACAAAGAUGGCAGCAUCAUCGGCAUAGAGCGAAGCACGGAUGGUUGUGUCUCUACCACAUAGAGGAUGGAGGUGCCCUUGGGCCGUGGCUUUGUUGAGAAGGUAGUGUAGAGGAUCAAUCGCCAAAACGAACAACAAGGGGGAUAGCGGGUCCCCUUGCCUGAGACCACGGCCAUGCUUCAACGGAUCACCCAACACACCAUUGAUCAAAACCCUCGAUGAUGCCGUGGAAAGGAGGGCGGAAACCCAGUCGCGAAAUCUACUUGGAAAGCCCAGAUGCCUUAAAAGAUCCAAGAGGAAGUCCCAUCUCACAGAGUCGAAAGCUUUCUUGAUAUCGAGCUUGAAGAGCAAAGUUGGGGUCCUAUUGUGAUGCAACUUUCUCGCCAAACCUCUCACAUACAUGAAAUUAUCAUGGAUGCUCCUCUUCUUGAUGAAAGCGCUUUGGGCAUUUGAGACAAGACUUUGCAUGUGCGGGGCGAGACGUGAAGCCAUCAUCUUAGCUAUAAUCUUCGCAAUGGCAUGGAUAAGACUAAUGGGGCGAAAAUAGGAGAUGCACUCCGCCCCAUCUUUCUUAGGAAUGAGGGCAAUGUUCGCCGAGUUGAGCCAAUGGAGGUUCGAGGUGUGCAAGCUCGAGAAGUGGUUGACCGCAUUCAUAAUGUCUCCUUUGAUGAUCUCCCAACAUUCCUUGAAGAAGGCACCGGUGAAGCCGUCCAGUCCCGGAGCUUUGUCACUUGGUAGAUCGAAGAUUGCCUUCUUGACCUCCUCCUCCGAGAAGGCAGCCCCAAGGUCUGAGAGAUCGCAAGCGGGGGCCGGGAUAUUACCCCAAUCGAUGUCAAUGGUACGGGGCACACCCCUCUUGGUGACCUCCCUGAAGUGGUUUUGAAUGAUGGACUUCUUGUGCUCAUGGUUGGUGACCCAACCGUUAUUGUGCUUAAGACGAUGGAUGAAAUUCUUUCGCCUUCUAUGAUUGACUCGAAGGUGAAAGAAGCCAGUGUUGGCAUCUCCAUCUUUGAGGUUGGUGAUUCUUGAACAUUGCCUUUUUCGCGCGCGUUCAAGCACGGAUAAACUAAGCACCUUGCGUUUGAGUCUCCUACGAAUGUCCCGCUCAUCAGCACUUAAAAGUCGGGUUUCUUGGGCCACAUCCAAGCGAAGGAUGAUCUCGAGGGCCAUGUGAAUUUGCACCUUUGAAUGCGCAAAAAUCGUCUUGCUCCACUUUCUAAGAACAUGACUUGUCUUUUUCAUCUUCUGGAAGAGGAUGUGAUAGGGAUCAAUAUGGUUCACCUCCUGGUUCCAAGCACCUUGGACAACCUCCUUGUAUCUGGGCAUUUUGAUCCAAAAGUUUUCAAAGCGGAACGACUUGGUCCUCGGAGGCCCUUUAUGAUUAGCAAGGAGGAGAGGACAAUGAUCAGAGAGCGAUGAGGAAAGAGCGUGCAGGAGGUGAGUGCUGAACUGAAGGUCCCAAUCUUCAUUGCAAAAGAAGGAAUCAAGCUUGCUCAAAGUUGGGUCACUUCGCUCGUUACUCCAAGUAAAUUUCCGGUUUUGGAGGUGUAUCUCUUUUAACUCACACGCAUUGAGGGCGUUGCGAAAACGAACGAUGCGGCUCCGAUCAACAUUCGCACGGUUCUUGUCUCUAGCUCGGUAUAUUUGGUUGAAAUCACCAUUGACCAACCACUUAUCACCAUGGGGGGGCUUCUCACUAACUAAUUCUUGAAAGAAGCCAUCUUUAAGAUUGCUUCGUGUCGGGCCAUAAACGGUUGUUAGCUUGAAGGAUGUGCUCGAAGAGGUGAUGGUGACAGUGGCCGAAAGGAAAAAGGCUCCGAUGCUAACAUCAUUGACAAAGACAAAAUUCUCAUCCCAGAGAAGCAGGAUGCCCCCACGGGUGCCCAGGGCUGGGCGUUGAGCAAAGCUCUUAAGUCUAUAUCCCCCUAGAAAUGCAGCAAUGAAAGGGUCAACCAGCUCGAGCUUGGUCUCUUGUAAACAGACAAGGUGGCACGGAGUAGCUGCGAUGGUCUCGUGAAUGGUAGCACGACGAUCAGGACAAUUCAAGCCUCGGACAUUCCAACUCAGAAUAUUCAGGUUUUGUUCUAACAUAAAUGGCACCAGAAUACUUCAGUAGAGCUACACUUGGCUGGACCAGCAUAAGAAGCAGAGUACAACAACACCAGGAGAAGCAACACGUUUAGCAACAUCAAACAACAGCCACAACAAACAUCGCCAUGCGCCUCGCAAGGGCACAACCAGAACCAUCGAGAGGUUGUAUCUAACAUAAGGAACAGAGUACAUCGACUGGAACAAACACAGUCCAUAUCACGCCGCCUCGUCGGCGACCUCCUGACCCGUCGUUUGCAGCUCCGGCCCGGCUUCUCCACCAUGCUCCACAAGGGCAUCUUCAACUGCCUUCGCCAGGUCACAAUCAAGGUUGAACAAGGCUCGAAGGGCAGAAACAGUGAUGUCGGGGAGCCUUCCCUGGAACAUGGCAACGAACUUUCCAAUGGCAUCUUCGGUGAGCUGCUGGCCUUCAUCAAUGAUGCCCAUGCGCUGACAGAGCAGCCUCUCUGCCAUCUUUGCGAUCGGCAUUGCCCUCUUAUUGGCACGUAGCCGUGGGCUGCACCUGGUCAGGUUGAAGCCUGAGACGCCCGCGAGCGUCUUCCUCCUGGUCGCUGGCAGACGAGGUGGAGAGGAGCUUGGAUCAGCUAGGAGUGGCGGCUGACGGGCGACGAAUAACGGAGAGCGUGGCGGCGACCCUGCUGGACUUCUAGGCGCGUGGACAUAGGGAUGUGGAUAGGGGUGACCGGAGGGGAAGGAGUCUCUUCUGGAGUGGAAAUCGCCAUGAGCUCGUCAGUAGAGCCAGUCGAAUCGGCAUGUUGGUGCAGCAGUGUGACAGAGCCAGGAGCCGACUGGUGGAGUGGCGUGAGGGGGCUUGGAGUCGGGGUGGUUGCACGCCGUAGCAGACGAGGCGCGGGACAGCCCGGUGGCGGGUCCUCCGGCGACACUUGCAAGCCCGGACACGGUGCCGCGCGACGCAGCCAAGCAGGAGCAGUCGGUGAAGGACGCAGCUCAAUGAUGUCUCUGUGAGCGGUGCGGGGGGAAGAUGGCGACGAUCUUCCGCAGUUCACAGGGGCCUUUGGGGACGGCCGCAGCACAAUGAUGUCAUGUUGUGUAGUGCGAGGCGAAGGAGGCGGAGAUCUUCCGCGGUUCUCUUCGUUGCGCGGGAUGAUAGACCUAGCUCUUGAGCGUGCACGCCUCAGCGUCAUGUCAGAUGGGCGGUCUCGGGGCCUCCUGCCUGAAGCCGGGAUGACAGUGCCAUCACGAAGGUGUUGCACACAUCCAUUGUUGAUUCUUCGGGCGUCGAGGAUUGGGAGCUCCAGACCACAGAGCCUGUCAUCUUCUUGACGGCCACAGAUGUCGCUGUCUUUUUGGAUCCACUCGUCGCACGAGUCUUGGCCUUGCUUAGCACGUCCAGGGUGAGCUCUUGAGCGUUGGCGGACGCGAAGCAACGAGUGCGAGCGCGGGCGGAGGGGAGUCCUUUCGGCAACAUCGUCCGGGGAGGACGGCAGCAGAGGCGAGGGAUGGCCCUGCGGUGCUGGUGGCAGGAGACGGUCUUGUUGUGGAGGCGGCGUCUUGCUAGUGCACUGACGAGCAUGGUGCCCGCUCUGUCGACAGAUCAGGCAUUUGUAGGGAUCACGGCAGUCAACUUUGCAGUGUCCCCGCUCCAGGCAGCGAUGACAGGUCGUACGAUGGAGCUUGACGAAUCUUCUGCUGGUUGGAGGGGAAUACGAAGGCAAGGAUCGUCGGGGUGAACGACGGUGGUCGGGAGACAGAGCUCUCCACCAGUACGGAGCUCGAACAAGCUUCCAACCCUCCUCUGAGCUGGCUUCCCCACUGGACGGCUCGAUCGAAGAAGCACGCGGCGAUGCAGGUCUGGAAGGAACGGGCGUCCACGCCGCACGCCGGCCGGCACUGAACCGCGCAGAUGACGAUGCCUUGAGGCAUGACCGGGGAGCGCCACGGACGAGCCCAAGAGGAGCUGGAUGCAGCAGAACUUCAGCGGCAGCAAAGCAGACCUUCCGGGUUGGAUCUGAAGCAACGAGAGCAGCAACUGCAGGUGGAUCUUCGGGGAUAGAAUCCCGGCCGAAAGAAGAGCCUGAAGAGGGAGGGUGCCUUGGCGGCGAGGCUGGAUCUGGCGUGGAUCCCGCGAGCUGUGGGAACAGAGAGAGCACGAGGCCGUCCCGAGCAAACCUUGGCGUGGGGAACCCGGGAGGAAACCGCGGCGUUGCAGGGGAGAGGUGCGGCUGGUGAAGGAGUGGCGCCGCGGCGGCGGAGACGGUGGCUGCGGGUGCCGGAGCGGCGCGGCGCAGGAGCAUGGGCGGGGGGAGCGACAUCCUUUUUUCGCGAAAGAUUAUAUGAUAGAUGCAAAAUGAUUAAUUUAACUAUAAUGAACGCUUGCAGGGCCAAAACAGGACAGAGCUACAUGGAAUAAUGGUCGCACUGGCUUUUUUGUGUCAAUGAUGAAAGAGUAUGCAAAUGUGGGAAGGUAUCAUGGCCAAAAUGGGUGGACCAAGGAAGGAUGGCAAGCUAUGAAAAACCGCCUUAAUGAGAGGCCUCUUGGAGCUAAUUUCACUGUUCAACAGCUGAAAGAUAGAGAGCAAAGGCUGAAGAAGAAACUUAAUGUUGUAAGUCUAUUAUAGAAAAGAGUGGUUUCGGUUGAGAUCCUCAUAACAAAGUGCCAACGGCUAUAGAUGAAAAAUGGGCAGAGCUAUCAAGCGAACAACGCAAGUGGAGAUACAAACAAUUCCCCUAUUAUGAUGUUUUAUGUGAAAUUUACGAAGGUAUUUUUUCUGACGAUGAUAAAAAAUAUAAAUUGCUCCUGUCAUAUUAUGUAUUACUUACAUCAUUUCUACACAGGUCAAAUGGCAGAAGGAAAGCAUUGCAAAAGGACAACCGAUGGUAAUGAAGAGAGGUACAAUAAUGUGUCCCAUUUUCCUGAACAUGGAAGUUAUACUGAUGAUGUUUUGAGGGUUGCCGGUAUGAAUUCUCCUGAGGCAACACUAUCUGCUCCAGGAUCAUCAAUGCCAGAAUAUGAGUUGGGCAGAGAUAAAUAUGGGGAUGAUGUUGACUUAUCAUAUGGUGGAUAUACAGAACCUCUAGGGAGUAAUCAAAUUCAUGCUUCAGCAGUAGAAGAUUUAACGAGUGUGGAUUCACCUCAAAGGAAGAGGCUUCGGAAUUCUAAAGGAUCUGAUGACGGAAGUGAGAAAAGUAAGGGGAAAAAAGAAAAGGACACUAUGUUGGCCAACUUGGUUUCCGUGAGGGAGGAAGAAAUGCAAACUUAUAAAGAAAUGAAGACGAAGCAAAUUGAUAGCUACAAGGAAAUCAAGAUGGCACAAAUGGAAAGGUGAUCCAAAAAAUGAUCCAUAUGGCAUGCCAAACUGCAAGCCAAGCUUAUUAUAGAUGAGGCCAACCUAUGGGUUACUGCAGGGGCUAAACAAUUAGGGAAAAUUGUAUCGCGCGAGUAAUUGUCAUGCCGUACUUCGGCCUUGUGUAACUCUACAAAACUCUAUUCUCCUCUACUUUAAUAGAUGAGGCAAAUCUUUUGCCUCCGUUUUGAAAAAAAAGAAUUUGGGACUCACACCAAAUGAUCAACACAAGAUGAUCAACCAUCUCAAAGCAGAUAUGCUAAACCGUCAAACAUUCAUGGAAGUGGAGGAUGAUGUUCUAUCCGUGAUUAUCCAAGAAGUCGUUGCCCCGCGGGUCUGAAGGAUACUGAAGUAGUAUAAAUUUUAUUUAAUCGUUACCAUUCCAUUUAUUCAUCAUUAUGUUCCAUGAAUUAGGAUCAUGUAUCUUUCUAUUCUGAAUAACGGAAGCACAAUAACUCUGUUGAAUUUUAUUUAUUUAUUCCUCCCGCACAAUGUUGAUAUAUAUUUUAGUCAUGACACUUCCAAAGUACCAAAAAAAUAUAGUAAGAACAAAUGAAUUUAUUUUAUUCUUGACACUUUUCAACUAAAAACAAAAAAAAUGAAAACAAAUGAACUUCAAGCAGUAUUUCUUCUUCCGCCUGAGAUAGUUUUGGUAGUCGUUCCACAUUGCAUCGGCUAUUUCAUCCCUUUUUGUGAUACCUAGUGCACGCCGCUCAUUGAGAGAAUGUAUAUCAUUUGUAUACUGCUUAUCUCCACUUGGAACAUCAAUUAUUUUUAUUGGAUCAAUCUCUGAUUCAACUUGGUCCAACCAUUGUUCGCCGCCCUCAUUAUUGGAAAUAAAAUUGUGAAGAGCACAACAUGCUAUCGCUAUUUCUGCUUCAGAGAUAGUCAUAUUCUACAGAUCCUGGUAUCUAGCUAGAUCGAGUCGAACGUGUGCAUGGCUGCAUGCAGCCAGCCACCGUUAACAGCCGCUAAUUACUCAAUCAUCCACUCCAAAUACUUGGGUCAAAACUUUGAUAAGACAACACCAGCCAAACACAUGUAAAACUGAGGAAAACAUUAUUUUAAAAAAACUGUGGUAUUCCUUGGCCAUCCAGGAGAAUACUCUGGUUUUCAAUUACCACAGUUUAAAAAAUACUUUGCUGCCAAACUAGGCCUUAAUGUUUUAAAAGCAAGAAAUGCGGUUGCAAGGAUGACAAGGGGUGACCAGCUACUGUUCAUAGACGCAUAGAAAAUAUCGACAGACAAAACCCAGUCCCGUUGUAGCUGUUCACUACAGCCUCAACCAAGGACCACUCUGCCAGGUACGGUCAACAGGAUGUGUGGAGCAGAUUAUGAAUGCACAAGAGAUGAGAACAAAUAAGUUUCAACAUCCAUUUUGCUGUCAAAGAAUCUGUUCUUCACAAGAGAAACUAUACAUAAACAUAAUCUAACAAAACGUCCAGCCAGCAGGCAGUCCAGUUGCAGUGAUCUCAAGCGAAACCAACAAAAAUAAAAAAGUUAAACCUGAAUAUCCAUGAAGACGAAUAGCAAGGGUUGUCUAGUCUUCAGGAAACCAAAUAUGAGCAGUUCCAUAUCACGAUUACAUUUGCCAAGUCUUUACCUAAUAACAAGUUACCGAAAGCUAGCCCAAUCACAAAUUCAGACAACCUAUUCAGGUUGUGAUAAUAGCAACACGUAACAGAUAGCACAACAUAACAAGGGAUCACGAAGAUACAACACACAACAACUACCCGUUAUUGCAUUUCAUUCACUCCUUGGAGGUCUUGUUGAUGAGUGACUUGUGGAUGUGAGGGAUGACACCACCACCAGCGAUGGUGCCCUUGAUGAGGGUGUCCAGCUCCUCAUCUCCACGGAUCGCAAGCUGCAGGUGGCG
rnacentral:lncRNA from 1 species